AAAAUUUCAGGAACAGAUUUUGAUGAGAAGGGAAUCGAAUUAGCAACCUGGCGGGGCAGGAAAGCCGUAGGACUUUUCACUGAUUCAACAAACUUCAUAUUCAUGCUUGAGCCGCGAUUGAGGUCCAUUUUCAAGAAAAAGACUUUCACUUUUGGGUCAAUAUGGAGCUCAUCUUCAGUAGGAUUUCCACAAUAAUGUUUGAAACUACAGCUGUCAUCAUAUGUUUUCAACCUGAAAUUGCCCCUUUCCGGCCACUUCCCUGUAUUUAUUGGAUGAGCAACAAAUUAGUACAACAUAUAAAUCCGGCCAGCUUUUAUUUCUGGUAAUGGACUACAAUGUCCCUGCGCAAAUUCUUCCAGCAAUAUCCCCCUUUUUAAGAUCCUUGUCAUAUGCUUGCUCAUGAUUAAUGGAAGAGUAAAAUUAUUAAAAGAAAAGCAUGUUAGAUCUUUUUCUUUUCUUUUUUUUUUUUAACACGGUACAAGAAAACCCCUGUAAUUAUUGAAGUACUUUUUCUUUUUGUUUUGUUUUAAGUGAAACUAGAAGUUUUCUAUUACAAUUUCUCCUUUUUUUUUUAAGGUUUUGAACUUGAUGAGUGUCUUUCAAUUCCCCCAGAAUCCAAGGGAAACAAACAAAGACGCAACUCGAGCAAUAGAAGCACAGUAAACGGUAGAUAUAGGAAAGGACCAUUUCUGAGACAAACCAUCUUUUAGCAGGUCUCUAACAGCUUUGGGCAUAGGAGUGUUUGGAAGCUCGGAUUUCCAGUAGGCUUCAAGAUCUGCAUGGUUUGCCCCAACUCCUAGCUGAAAUAUAUUUCACGAUACGGAAAAAGAGUUAUGCAGUCAGUUUGCACACUAUCCAAAGUGCGAGCAAAUUAUCUAUCUAAAAAUUAACGUAGCUUAACUUUUUCAGUAAUGUACACUCACAAAAAGAAAAGAGAGAAAGUAGAGAAGCUUCAGAAAUUCCAUAAUAGUUUAUGCGCACGAGCCACGGUAGGCUGCUAGUAUGCAAGACGGAGUGAAGAUAGUAAUAAAAGCCAAUAUAUUUGAGCGAGAUGGCACAAGAAACUGGGCAGCUUUAUUUAUAAGCGGAAGAGCCAAGCGGGACUCGGGGCAGGGACGGUUGCAGGUGCAACCGUUCCUGCCAAUUUUAGCUCAUUUUAACUGCGCGUAACAUUGGUUCAACUGCGCGUAACUUUUUUUUUCACAACAUGUAUUUUCACAACAGAUAGUGGUGGGCCCCACACUUGGCGCGAAUUUCGAGUUACAUGGUGUUAUUUCAACCGCACAAAAUUUUGAGGGCCAAUUUUCAGCCGCACAAAAUUUUAACCGUGCAGGGACGGUCAUACUGAUGACCGUCCCUGCCCCAAAUCCAGCCAAGUGCGAUUGCCAAUUGUUUGAGAGGGGGACAGUUUUGAUAUGGUGGCUGUACGGCACCAAUCAAGUUUUGACAUUGUUACUCUAAACAUGCACCUUAUCUACGAGUAGGCUUCUUGAGGGACAGUGAAGAUAAUACUGAAGGCAAAAAUACAUAAGUGAGAUUUCACAGGAAAUUGGCCGCAUUUUAGAUAAAUGAACUUAAUCAUCACCUACAAUUAAAUGUGUGACUAAGAAAACCGUCAUCUGUACCUUGAUUGUCACCAAGAAAACUGUAAUAUGUACUUUUAUUGUUACCAAAAAUCCGAUUGGUGAAAAUACUACCAACUUAUAACAUUGAGAAUUGAGUAUCUAGUAGUAUACCUAAAAAAGAAAAAAAAUUCCAUUUGAGAACCCUAAGAACAUAAUACUAAUAUCUCCAAAGCUCAUCAAAAUUCAGCAUAAUCAUGCCACAUGUAAAAGUGGGGUACAUGAUAUACAUGGAUGAGGAAAUUGUGGGCUAAUGUGGAGUGACAGGUGCCGAACCUGUGCAAUAAUAAAUCACUACUCGAAAGAAAAACAAAUUUUGCAUAUAGUGACGAGUAGGGUCGAAUCCACAAGGACUGAAGAUAAUUCGUUUCUUUUAGAAUUCAAAGUAUGGAGGUUUUCAGGAUUAAAUGCUAACUAAUUAAAUGCAAAAAUAAUUAAUUAAAAGAAAUAAUUAGAGAAACUCUAGCCAAGGAUACACUUCAGAAAUGGUUCAUGUACUGAUCAUCGAUUCACAGAUAAUUCCAAUAUUUAUUAAUAGAUUAGUUAUAGUUGUCAUGCACGCGAUAAACAACCAACCUUUCCUUAAUUUCUCGAUAGUUAAGGUACGACCGUUAACUAUUUCUCUAACUCGGAAACAACCUUAGGUACGACCGUAGGAUUUAAUUUCUAGAUUGCAUUAAUAAUUAGAAAAGUCCAAUCCUAACUAACAAACACGCUACGAGGGUUUGUUUAAACUAGAUCGUAUGUUCCCCUGACAUAAACCCAAUUACGCCAGUUGCUACUGGGAUGGAGAUAAUCGAACAAUUACGGAUUUAACUACCUCUAAUUAGCAAAUAGCCUACGUGAAUAAUUAAAUAUUGCGCACCUAUUCAAUCAUACACGAUAGCUAUACCAACAAUUAAAAGCAGAAAACAUAUAAAUACCAAUAAAUGAAGGAAAUAAUUAAAAAAAUUUAGAUCUCACAGUAAUUGCCGAACCAAAUCUUCAGUUGUCCUUUGACUAGAAUUAAGAAGCUAGUUUUCCAUUAAUAGAGAACCAGCCGUGCGAAAAUAAAACAAUCGGAGCUUUCUAAUGUUUUCAGAUGGGAAAAGGAAACUAAAGCUGAGCCCCCCAAUUACACGUGAAUCUGGCCCUUUUAUAUCUUCAGUAGCCGCCGCCCCCGAGAAAACUAACGUCUGACCUUAAAAAGCAAAAGCUAAGCUAAUGACUAAAUGCCCCUCCCGUAAAUUUGGCUUUUUUCCUCCUUUAUAGCGCCACCAGGAGCCAAGAAAACGUUUGACCCAAUUAACGAAACCAAAGCUAAUCUUUUGGAGUUUUAAUCCCAUGCUUCUCGCGGUUCACGUGGACCCAACCUUCUAAUUGCCCACUUUUGUUGCUACCAAGCCCGCGGGUCCGGCCUUUAGGUGAGUCUCCUCAGUUUCUGGCGUGGGCACGCUCUGAAAUGAAGGGUCUUCUGGAAAUUUGCCUCAAGAGAUUACUUUUAACACCAAUCACCUACAAUUCACACAAAUAUCAAAUAUGAGCAAAAUCUCAAUACGUAGCACAGUAAGUAGCCAAAAUUGGGACAAAAUAACAGUGCAAAAUGUGCCCAAUAAUUGCUCUAUCAAAUCCCUCCACACCUAGACAAUGCUUGCCCUCAAGCAUUUCAAAGUUCAGAAAUACAAUCAAGAAAAGAUAGGUCCUGCAGUAAUCUACACUAACACAAGCAUCCCACAUUCUUGACAAUGCCGCCAAAAUUAGAAUACACUAGAUAGGUGGUGAUCCGAAGAAUAUAAGCAGUAAUACUCGUCACCUUCAAGAAAAUGUAUGAAUACUAGGAACGCUCAAAUCAACAUUAGGAAAUGACAUUACCAUAGGCUUGCACAUUUAUCACAUCUCCACCACUGAAAAGUGAACUAAAUAUACAAAUCAAAGGGACUUUAAUAGGGUUGUAAUAGGGCUUAGGUAAAAGGCGGGAUAAGAAGGUAAAAAUAGGGUAUAAUAUGUCAAGAGAAUGUCUGAUAUCCACCACAUCACCACAACGCUUCAUCAGAGAAAUUUCACGAGCAAGGCAUUUUCAUUUGCCAUUUCCACUGUGCAAGUGUCAAAACUCUUCUCCUGUUCUCUUUUUUUUUUUUUUUGAACAAGCGGCUCACAAGGCGUGGGCACGUCUUGUAGGCCGGAGUCUUCUGCUCACGAGCUUUUUUUUUUUUUUAACGGAGCAGAUGUCUUGCAAGGCGUGGGCACGCCUUGUAGGCUGGAGUCUUCUGCCCACCAGCUCAUUGCCGACUUCUCCCCCUUCCCUUUUUUUCUUUUUAUCUCAGAUACACAGAGCACCGUACAACUUCUAUUCCGACAACACUCGCUACCUUAGAUUCAUUUGCCUUGCACAAACAACGGAAUUCAGACAUUUCUUGACGACACAAGGUUAAACAAGAAAGUCUAAAAAGGUCAUGGGUUAUCAAACACGGCUAAUCAAAUAAUAGUGAAGGAUAAAAGCUCAAAUAGGUUCACUACGGGGAGACAAGAUGAAGGGCAUGGUUUGUAGAAAGUUAAAGAAGGUUAAAUCCUAAAUGCCCUUAUCAUUUGAAAUGCAUCCAGUUCAACAAAAUGUGGUCUUGACAUGUACAAAAUAGCAAGUUCUAGAAUGCCAAUACCAUGUGUGAUACCCACUCAAUCAAACAAGAAUAGAGCGAACAAGGAUAAUGUGCUCAUACAAGGCCCAAAAGCUCCCAAAAGUUUCAAGAAUGAGUCAAGUCCAGCAUAUUCAAUAUUCAACACUAUUGUCAAGGAAAAACAAAAUGUAUAACUAGUAUGUAUAACCACAUAUCCGUGCACCUUGAUUGUGCAAUCCAUCAUAGCAACAUGCUCUAGCAGUUAACAAAUGUAGGACUAGAGAAGUCAACUAACUACACUUUUUUUCUUUUUUUUCUUCAUUUUCCUCUUCAUUUUUUUCUUUUUUUUUUGUGUUUCUUUUUUUUUUUUCUUAAAAGCAAAGCAAAAGGAGAUAAUAAUGGAAGUCAUCCCUCCACACCUAAUACCUACAUUGUUCUCAAUGUAGAAAAGAUGAAUGAAGUAUAAGGAGAAAAUGAGAGAAACUUCCCUGACCACCGAGAGGGUGCAGCGAGACACUAAGGCGGAGAAGGGUGGGGUGGCUAGAAUCCAAUGUGAGCAAAGAAAGUCGUCUGAUGAGAGAGAUAGUGAUGGUGGGGCGGGCAGCGGCGUGCGAUGGAUGGCGCGAGGGGGAGAGAGAGAGUUUCUAGCGGCGGUGGACAAGGGGGAAACCUUGGACUAAAACAAAACAAAGAAAAUUGAAAAGUAGAAGCUGAGACAAUGGAAAUUGAUAAAACCAUACAAGACAAGAAAAGAGAAAAGUAGAAAGUGGGAUUAGAGAGGGUCCUGGUCAAUCUUUGACUUUUGUUGGCGCAAAGGCUGGAAGGCGUGGGCGCGCCUUGGAAGCUAUAGUCUUCUGACCGUCAAUUCCAAAGCUUCAUUCCUUAGGCGUGACCAACGAAAGUGGGCAUGUCUAACUGCUAGCUUCCUGCCACAAAACAACAACCCACUAAAUGACACUAAUACUUAACAAAAAUUUCGAAAAUAUAAGAAAACUAAAACAAAAGAAGCCUUGGGUUGCCUCCCAAGCAGCGCCUUUCUUUAAUGUCUUUAGUUAGACAUCGUCAUGUUUAUUCACGGAGGAUAAAAUCGUGUAGCUCGUCUCAGUAUUUCAUCUUCUAUGUAUCCUUGAUAUCCCUCGUAAAUAGAGUAAUUCUUGAGCACACGAGGUAUGGUCUUCCAUGGAUUAGUAGAUGCCUCUAAACAAGUCGAUAAGAAUCUUAGUUCUUCACUUACUCCUCCAUUACGAACACUUAAUGGUUCGAGAUAUUUUUCCAUUGCAACUCUUAACUUAUUCCUGUCAUGAAACUCAAAAUUAUCUGGCAUAAUAAAAUCUAUUUCACUAACAGGAUUUAAAGAAUAAGAGUUCGAAAAAUAUUGACUAAGGAAUGGAGGAAAUGUCACCGCAUUUAGGGAUUGUUCACUGAAUUCAUUCACUUGAACAAUUUGAUAUUGGGAUCCUAUUUCUUCCACUUCAAUUCUCUUCUCAACUGCAUCUUUAGCUUCUUCUUCUUGAGACUCUUGCAGCUCCAUGUCAUUUGUCAGGAUAAUUGCACUCUCAUCAUCAUCAUGAUCGAUAAUCAUCUGUGAAGGCAAUUCUUCACUCAUUCGAGAAGUCAAUUGCGUUAUUCUAGAUGUCAUUUGAUCCAUUUGAUCUGCCAAGUUACGCAUGCUCGCUUGUGUCUCCUGAUGAAAUUGAUAUGUGUUAGUAGCUAAUAAUUCAAUCAUUUCUUCAAGAGACAUACCUGACAUAGAUGAUGGUUGUUGAGACUCUUGCUGUUGAAAACCUAUUGACCUUUGUUCAUAAUUAAAAUUGGAAUCAUCCCACCAUCCUUGAUCAUACCCAUUUGAAUAAGGGUCAUACCAUGUUUGAUAUUGAGGUGAAAAAUCUCCAAAAGUAUCGAUUGGAGCACCUGGGCCAUCUUGAAAUGCGGGAUAUAUGUCAGUUGAUUGACCUGAGGCAAAAUAAGUUCCACAAUUCGCAACAGCCUAUUGAUCAUUAGAAAAAACAUGAGUCUCAUAACCCCAUCUAGAAAUAAAAUCCACUCUAUCACCAAAAUACAGAAUAUUAGUAGCCAUAAAAAAAAGAUGAACUAAAAAAGAAACAAAUUAAUCAAGCGCCAGUCCUCGGCAACGGUGCCAAAAAUUAACAGGUGCCGAACCUGUGCAAUAAUAAAUCACUACUCGAGAGAAAUACAAAUUUUGCAUAUAGUGGUGAGUAGGGUCGAAUCCACAAGGAUUGGGGAUAAUUCGUUUCUUCUAGAAUUCAAAGUAUGGGGGUUUUCAGGAUUAAAUGCUAACUAAUUAAAUGUAAAAAAUAAUUAAUUAAAAGAAAUAAUUAGAGAAACUCUAGCCAAGGGUACACUUCAGAAAUGGUUCAUGCACUGAUAAUCGAUUCACAGAUAAUUCCAACAUUUAUUAAUAGAUUAGUUAUAAUUGUCAUGCACGCGAUAAACAACCAACCUUUCCUUAAUUUCUCGAUAGUUAAGGUAUGACCGUUAACUAUUUUUAUAACCCGGAAAUAACCCUAGGUAUGACCGUAGGAUUUAAUUUCUAGAUUGCAUUAAUAAUUAGAAAGGCCCAAUCUUAACUAACAAAUACGCUACGAGGGUUUGUUUAAACUAGAUCGUAUGUUCCCCUGACAUAAACCCAAUUACGCUAGUUGCUACUGGGAUGGAGAUAAUCGAAUAAUUACGGAUUCAACUACCCCCAAUUAGCAAAUAGCCUACGUGAAUAAUUAAAUAUUGCGCACCUAUUCAAUCAUACACGAUAGCUAUACCAAUAAUUAAAAGUAGAAAACAUAUAAAUACCAAUAAAUAAAGGAAAUAAUUAAAAUAAUUUAGAUCUUACAGUAAUUGCCGAACCAAAUCUUCAGUUGUCCUUUGACUAGAAUUAAGAAGCUAGUUCUCCAUUAAUGGAGAACCAGCCGUGCGGAAAUAAAACAAUCGGAGCUUUCUAAUGUUUUCAGAUGGGAAAAGGAAACUAAAGCUGAGCCCCCGAAUUACACGUGAAUCUGGCCCUUUUAUAUCUUCAGUAGCCGCCGCCCCCGAGAAAGCUAAUGUCUGACCUUAAAAAGCAAAAGCUAAGCUAAUGACUAAAUGCCCCUCCCGUAAAUCUGGCUUUUUUCCUCCUUUAUAGCGCUGCCAGGAGCCAAGAAAACGUUUGACCCAAUUAACGAAACCAAAGUUAAUCUUUUGGAGUUUUAAUCCCAUGCUUCUCACGGUUCACGUGGACCCAACCUUCUAAUUGCCCACUUUUGUUGCUGCCAAGCCCGCUGGUCCGGCCUUUAGGUGAGUCUCCUCAGUUUCUGGCGUGAGCAUGCUCUGAAAUGAAGGGUCUUCUGGAAAUUUGCCUCAAGAGAUUACUUUUAAUACCAACCACCUACAAUUCAUACAAAUAUCAAAUAUGAGUAAAAUCUUAAUACUUAGCACAGUAAGUAACCAAAAUUAGGACAAAAUAACAGUGCAAAAUGUGCCCAAUAACUGCUCUAUCAAGGAGGCAACAAAAUAAAUCAAAAUGUGGAAUCUCUUAUCUAUUUAAGUAGUUUUGUUAUGUCUUACUUGUACCUAAAACUAUUACGUUCUACAAUUAAAGCAUAUGGUUAUUGUUAUGAGCUUGUAACUUCGAUUCCUUAGCAUCAACUUGCGUUUAGUUUUAGCCGAGUAUCAAGCUAUGCAAAACAUACUUAGAUAAGUUUGGUAUACACACCGAAUUGCAUUCACAUAUUAUAAUUCCACCUAUAAACAGCAACUCUAAAUUAUAAUAUUUUUAAACAAUAGAUACAAACAUGAAAAUCGUUAAAAUUAAAGAGGUAAAUUAGUCAUUAGUUUUGCUUUUGUCGCUUAAGUUGUACAUCACUUAGUAUAGAAUUUUCCAUGUAGUAUAUUUCAAAGCACAUAAACAUAAUAAUGUUUGAUGAUAUAAGAAGAGCUUAGAUGAAAAUAUAUAAUAAUAUAAGAAAAGUCAUGUAAAUUGAAUAUAAUAAUAUUAGUUAAAGGUAUUUGCAUUUUACAUGGUAUGGGCUUCCUAAGGAAAUGUCAAGAAUAUUCUUAUUUGACAACUAAAAUGAUUGAAGUGACCAAAAUAAAUAAAUAUAAUAUGCAUCACAUUUUAACCCGUCAUGGUUUUGUGUUUUAUUACAUAAUCCCAAUUAUUUUAGUGCUAUACCACAUAACCCUCAUAUGAUUUUUAAAAUACAUAACCCCCUAUGGUUAAUUAAUAAUUUUAGAUUUUAUAGAUAUUUUAAUUGAUUUCAUUAUGAAAUACAAAUAUAGUCAUUUUGACACUUUAGUUCAAAUUAUGAGAGGAUUAUAUAAUUUUUUCAAACCACAAGAGAGUUAUAAAUUUACUAAUAUUUGGUUCCCAUGUGAGGGCCAUAUUUAUUGUCAGAUAGUCCAUUAGCGUAGGUCCAUAUGACAAUUUGGAAGUAUUGAUGACUUGAUGUCAAGAGGCUUGAACUAAAAGACUAUUUAAAAAAAAAAAUCAAUAAAACUACUUUCAUUUAGUCCAAACAAAAUACAAUAAAAAACGUACUAAAAAGUUUUCAAAUAAUUUAAACUUAAAGUUUGGUGCUACCUGGACUUUUCUAAAGUGCUAUAAAAACGCAGCAGGUUCACGACAGAAAACAGUUGACUAUUGAGAGGUUGUAUCCAGGAAUAUUUAUUAAGGAUUAAAAUUGAAUCCUACAAUUCUCAGACAGUUUAGUAAUUGCCCUUCACUUUCUUCGUCCUAUGAGUCUGGAGUGGAGUGGUGGUAGUGGUCGACAGUGGAGGGAGUAGAGUGGUGGUUGUGGAGAGGGAGGGAGGAGGGAAGAGGAAGAAGGGACAAUGUGUUUGGGGCCGGGGGAGGAAGAAAAGAAAAUUUUUUUUUUUAUAUUUCUUAAAUACCUAACUAUACAGAAGUUUUUUCACAAAUUUUAUAGUAAAUUACAACAAAAUUUUAUACAAAAAACCAAAAAACUCACCAUUUAAAUGGGGUACUGGUUUGACAAAAAAAAAAAAAAAAGGGGUAUUGGAUAAUCAGAUAACCCCCCUUCUUAUAUUAGCUAGGGUCACAAAGCUCAAGUUAUUUCCAUGAUUUCAAUGUGUUUCUCUUGGAUUCUAUCUCUCACAUAUAUUAAUUGCUGCGUUGGUUUUGUACUUGAUGUCCAUUUGGGGUAUAAGUUGGGCGAAUAAAAGUAUAAUUAGAAGGUGAAUAUAGGAACAGAUAUCUGUUACAAGGUUGCAGAAACCUUCAGAAGGACCCUGCAGAUGAUAAUCUUGCAAAAAAGGGUAGCCCCUAGAGGAUAUCUCUUAUAAUUUCAAGAUGUGAUGAUAAGGUUAGAGCAAUGGGCAUUAGCACACUGAUCGUUCGGACAUACGUUGGGAGCAUUGUUUAAGGUUUCCAUCAAUUGAGUAUGAUACGUGAAGACAAGACACUUCAAAUCACAAGAGCAACGGUUAAUUCCAAUUUUCACUCUUCAACUAUAUUUUUAUUUUCACUUUAAUUUCUAAAUUUUAAAGUGGAAUACUUUAUUUCUUAAAAAAAUAAAAUUUGUCUGCUUAAAUAAAAUGGUUGACGGAAAUAGGACAUAUUUUAUAUUUAAGUGAGAUACAUCUUAUGCUUUAAGAAUUAAAGUAGAACAAAUUUUAUUCAUAAAUAGAAUACUUUUUAUAUAUAUAUUUUUAGAACUAAACAGUGAAAAAUUUCACUUAAAUUCAAUAGAUUUUAUGUUUUAGAUAUAAAAGUGUCUCGUUUUCAAGUUUAGAUACCAAACUAGGGAUUCAACUAUAGUUAAACGGUGCAACAUAGAAUUAACUCCAAGAGGAAUUUUUUAGUUAUCUGGAAAGAGAAAUAUUUUAUAAAUCUGUCCCCUCCUCAUUAGUGGCUCAAAUUGAACACGGCAGGCUACUAGUGCCCAUAAUGCAUUUAACGUCAUCAUCGCUAAUACGGACGGAUUGUGGUGGCCGGGGUUGGCAUUUUGGGGGACAGUUGAUAGUGCCACUGGCGUGCUUCAAUUUGCCACCAUGACAGUGCCAUCUCAGCCGCCCCACUCUAAAAGAAAAGGAAAUGAAAAAAACUAAAAAUAAUAAUAGAUGUCUAAUGAAUAAUAACAAAUUGUAUUGCUGACGAGACCUUGGUCUAAUAAUUAAGUUGAGAUCCUCCUUCUUUUUUCCUAUUUGUUAAAUCUCAUUCAUUUUCUACUAAAAUAUUUUGAGGAAAGAGAAAAACAAAUUAUAUCUUUUGUGUAGUCGACUUGAACAAAAUACUAAAUAGCUUAGCUCGAUAUACUCGCAAAAAGAAGUGAAGAGACUUUUUGAAAUUAUAGAGAAAUUAUGUUGCAAAAAUAGACUUUUUUUUAAUAUUUUACUGUUGGAAAGAAAUUUACUUUCUUCUUUUUCUUUUCUUCUUUUUCCUCUGUUCUCGAGAAGGUAGUGUUAAAUUAAACUAGCAUGGCAUCAAAUAGGGCUGCAAAUGAAUCGAGCCGUUAAUCGAAAUCGAGCUCGAACUCGAGAUCAAAAUAUUAAACUCGUUAGCUCGCGAGCCGACUUACAAGUUCGAGUAUAUAUCUUUUUUUUUUAAUUUUUUAAUUUAAGUAUAUAUAUUUUUUAUUUUAAGUAUAUAUAUUUUUUAUUUUAAUAGUAAAAUUACAUAUAUAUCCUUAAUAUUUUAUUAUUUAUUAAAAAAUAUUAUUUUAUUUAUUUUUUAAAAAAUACAAUAUUUAUUUUUUAUUUUUUUCGAGCUCGAGCUCGAGCUUGAAAUUGUCAGCUCGUCGAGCUCGAGCUCGAGUUCAAUAAAAUUAAGUCAAGACUCGGCUCGAUUAGGUCAAAACUCAACUCGAUUCGACUCGUUUAAUUUGCAGCCCUAACAUCAAGUCAGUCUCAGCAAUCAAUAGCACUUAAAUGGUCCCAUGAUUAGGCGUGUCAAUUGAGAUUUUUGAGCUAGACUUUGGUAAGCCCAAGCUCAACUCACAAUAAAAAUAAUGUGUGUUUGGAUAUCAAUUUUUUUUAUCAAAAUAUUAUUUACUUGCAUCAUAAUUAUAAUUUUCAAUCAACUCUGUAUGUUCCUAAUAACUUUUUUAUCUUACAUACAUCAUAUCAUAAAAAGUGUUAUAAUAAUUAUUUCAAAUAAUCUCCUAUCCAAACACACUCAUCAUAAUUUUCUUAAAAUUUGCACUAAUGACAAAAGUUACAUCAUCAAUCAUACACCAAUAUCAAAGAACAUAUCUAAGAAGUACGGAGACUACAUAUUUGAAGAAUAAAUAAAAAUUAAAAUAAAAUAAUUGUAACUCCAAGAACAUUUGUGCAUGCUUACAAUCCAAAUGAAGAUGCUUUAAUCUAGUGUCAGUUUUGCUGAAAGGUAGGGAAAAUGAAAUAAAAUGUUCAAUUUGGAAUGAAACACACAUACAAUUAUCACUAUGUAGAUUCCAUAUUAACUUGGCCUAAUAAUAGAGUAGGUAAAAGUUCGCCCGUUAGGGGAUUGCUAUUAUUAUGGUAGAUCAACUUGCAUAAAAAAGAAAAAUUUUUAUAUAAAAACAUGGAUAUAGAUGCUGAGAAGGCCUUAGUUGAAUGGUUAAAAUUAAAACGCCAGAAAUUCGAGAUUUUGGAUUCAAAUUCCUUGUCCCCUCCUGCUUCUUAAGUCGCACAUCUCCCCUGAUGAUGAAAAAGUUUUUUUUUUUUUUUUUUUUUUUUUUUUUGUAAAUGGAUACAGAUAGAGGUCAGGUUCGGUCCAGAAGGUUGAUGUAUGUGUUGUAGAUUCAUCCAAAAGUUUGGCAUAUUUUGUUAUAGGAUCUAUUUUGCAAUCAUUCAACGUAAAAUAGUACACAAAAUUUGUACAUCAACCAUCAAUAAUACUCAUCGAGUACCUUUACGGUUGAGGAAAUAUUACACCGACAUAAUUGAUACUACAACUGGCAGAGAAGAGACUAAACAAGGAUUAACUUAUUUAUGGGUAGAUAAUCAGUCGCACUCCCAAGCCAAGCUGAUAUUGUCUACUUAAGAGGGGGAUUAUAAGUUCAAAUGGUUUUAUAUUUGAUAUUGUCUACCAGUUUAAAAAGGUUUAAGUCAUAACUAAGUAUUGUUGGACUGUCAUACUAAUAGCUUAGAACUAACUUGGAACCACCUGAAGGGAUAUAAAUUUCUAUCUGAGUUGUAAACUUGUAAUUUGUAAGUCUUGAAGGUCUUGAUCUUACACAUUUGAAUUUAAAAAAUUUGAAGUGGGUGCCACUACACCCUUCUAAUCUAAACGGGCCCCAUAUAUAACACAGUUGGGGGUAAUAUAUGUGCUCCCAAUUAUUAAAAAGCAAACAAAAACCUUACCAGCAUUUUGGUCCUAUGUGAGGGCCACAUCUAAUGUGAGAUUGUCCUUAAGCAUAGGUCCAUACUACAAUUUACAAGGAUUCAUGACUUGAUGUCAAGAGGGUUGAAUUAAGACUACUUUCUUGUAUGCUUAAAAAAAAGACUACUUUCUUGUACACCAAACAAAAUAUCGAAAAAACAUAUUUUCUAAAAAGUUUAUUGGGAUGAUUUGAACCCAAGGCUUGGCACUACCUGGACUUUUCUAAAGUGCUGUAAAUUUUUUUUGUUUGGGAUAUUCACAGCAAUGAUGGCUGGAUCACCUCAACCUACUUUAAUUUGCAGCCUGCCGACUUUUCUGCCCUGCCUUAAAAGAAAAGGAAAUUAAAAGUACUUAGAUAUUAAGAAAUGUCAAAUAAGAAACUUUACCUCUUGUGCAGUCAAAUUGGACAGAAAGCAGCUUCGCUCUAACCUAAACUAGAAGAAAGUAAAGUGGCUAUUUUGAAACUACACAGAUUGCAAAAUCUUAAGUAAUAGAUUACCAAAAGGAAAUUUACCAUCUAUUUCUUUUUCGUUCUGCUGAAAGUAGUUUAACCAGCAUGAUUUCAAGCCACAGUACUCAACACAACUUGAAUAGGCUCACGGCGAUGGAUCCCUUCGUGGACUUGACUCGAGUACGCAGCAGGUUCAGUGCAGUGAAGGGUUAAUCCAAGGAAUUAUAAGGAGAAAGUUUCAUUGAGUUCCUCACUCCACCACCAGUUUAGCAGUUACUCUUCACCUUCAGCGUCUCUGAGUCUGGCUCAUUUGUUUAUCAAUUUUGUUUGUUAUUCUGUCAGGCGCACAGAGUCUGCUGAAGUCAAGUCCAACGAGGAGUCCAUUAUCUUGAGCCUAGCUACUGGCUUCAAAUGAGCACAUUUUUUGAUGAAUUAUUUCAUUUUUAUCUGUCAAAAUAUAUAUAUAAUCUUUUAUGUAUGAAGUUGAAACUACUAAUUAAGUUCGUAUAUUUUCAAAAGUUAUCUUCUUAAACAUAUAAAACCAUUAUAUACAUGUAAUUAGGAAUACGAAAGUGAUACUUGAACUCCCAAAUUACUCUUUUGCAUUCGCUGAUGGCAUUUCAUUGAGUGAAUAGAUUAAUGUUAGAAAGGCUAACAUAGGAAUGCGAAUAUCACUCAUCACUACAAGAAAAUUACCAUUUAAUGACACUCAAAAAUGCCUCUUUUUGUAUGUUUUAGUGACAAUUUUUAAUCUAAUAGCAUUUCCCCCGAGUGUUGGCAAUAUCACUGCCACUAUAGUCUAGUGACACUUGAAAAGUGCCACAAAAGAGUUACUAUGAUAACAUUUUAACAUUUCAUUGUACUAGGGAUAUGUGUCAUGAGAAGAUGCCACUAUGUCAUUUUUUUUGGGUGUUUGCGAAUGCCAACAAUUUAAGUUUUGAUACAACUUUAAAUGCCACUAUUUAAAACUUUCCUGUCACUUUGAAAUGCCACUAAAAAAUUAAGAAAAUAAAAAAAUAAUUUGAAAUUAAAAAUCAAAGUACUCUUAUUGAUCCGGGUAAUUAAUUACAACUCAAGAAAAUGAAAGUUUCGCCAAUUAAACAAGUCACUAACUAAUAAAUCUAGUAAGAAAUUAUAUGACAACAAUAUAAACAAAUUCAUGCAUUUUACAAAUGAAACAUGUCUAAAGACAUUAAUCUUUUAAGCUGAUAACUUGGAAAAGAUCAUGUCUUCUUUGCUUCAUUAAUCUCUCAAAUGCUAUGUAAUCUGCAUUUAAACAAUACAAUGAAUAUAUUACCUCUUCUCAAGGAUUAGUUAGUAAAAAUAUUAACUCAACUCAAGAUAUUAGCAAUAGUGGUUGAAAAAUUAACAAUGAUCAAAGUGGGAAGUAAAAUGGGGCACCUUGAACUUGCCAUAGAGAUACUAAAGUGAUAGGUUGUCGAGCCUAUGCAAUAAUAAAUACCUGCUCAAACAAAAGUUAAUUUCUGCAGAUAGUAAUAAGUAGGGUCAAAUCCAUAGGGAUUGGGGAUAUUUGUCUCUUUUGGAGUUCAAACUAACAAUGGGGGGUUUUUAUAGUAAUGACAAUGAUUAAACAGUUCGAAUAAAAUCAAAUAGCUAACUAAAAAGUAAACGACAAGUCACUAAAAUUAGAUUAAUGAUAACUAAAGUUCUAGCCAAGAAAUAACUUCAGCAAUGGUUCACCUAAUUGAUCAUCAAUGCAAAGGCAAUUCCAAUUAUUUACUAAUAAAUAGGUUAUAACUGUCAAACAAGCGAUGACAGUCAACCCUUCCUUACUGUGUCGGUGAUUAAGGUAUACCCAUUAACCACUACUCUAAUUGAGAAAUAAUCAUAGGUACGCCCGUAAGAUUUAAUUCUCUAAUUGCCUUACGUAUUAGAGGAGUCCUGUUCUAACCAAAUAACGCACUACCAGGGUUAUUUUAUGUUAGCCCGCGUAUUCCCCUGACACAAACCCAAUCAUGCUAGUUGUCACUAUUUCAGGGCAAUUAAACAAUUACAGAUUUAACGCUCCAUUUGACAAUAGAUUACUAAAUUAACUAAUUAUCUGGAUCCAAGACAAUCAAUUAAUUGAAUAACCAUGAACACUGUAAUCAGAGAAUAUGCGAAUAUCAAUAAAUAAAAGAAAAAGAUAAAAUUAAAUCGAUCUCACAAUUUUUAGGCGAACCAAAGCCUCAGUUGUUCCUUGACUAGAAAAGGUAGUUUUGUUCAUCUUUAACGAAUAAAGCCCACAGGAGAUCGAAGCAACCGUAGCAGCCAUUGACUCCAAAAUUGAGAAAAUUCAAUUCGGUUCAGCAAUGAAGAAAAAGUCAAGAUUACAAAGAAUGCCCAAUUGCUUUUCUUUGCCUUCACAUCUGAUGGAAGCAAAAGCACAAUAAGAUGACAAGAGGAAAAGUCAAAAGAAAAGCUAAGCUAGAGGUCCUACCAUACGAAGAAAGAAAAACUACCCAAGAAAAGUCAAUGGAAAGCUAUUUAAUAUCUAGUUCCUACUGCUACUGUCCGGCGUCCGCGGCCAUGAAGAGACCGAAGAAAACUCUAGCCUUUUUAUCCUCUUUCCAUGUUGUCUUCCGCCAAAUUACCAAAGAGGGUCGUAUCCUCAUAUUUCAAAAAUGCCCUUGGACGCCUGCUACUUGAAUUCUUUUCCGAUGACUGUCAAAUUGGCCUUGGUUGUGGUAUUUUCAUUCUACUCCCUAAAAUAAAUGUAAAUUACGAAAAGUGAGUAGAGUCUAAUAACUGAUUCACAUCAAGUCAGGUAAUAGGGGAAAUUAACAAUAAAAUAAAUGAUAAAAUAGUAACCUAUCAAUUCCCCCCCACACCUAAACCCCUCUUGUCCUCAAGCAUAAGAACAAUAAACAAAUACCAAUAUUUGACAAUAGCUAUUGCUCCACCUACCAUAUUGCCAAGAUACCAAGAAAAAUAUAUCAAGCAUCAGCGAUCAAAAUCAAAGAAACAUCACUGUGAUUAGCUUCUAAACCACAAACUCCUUUAAUUGCAGGUUAACUAAUCUAAGAAGAAGGAAUGACGCACAACAUUUAUCAACAAAUGGUCUAACUAUUAACCAAAAUCUCAACAUUAAAUCCAUAAAUCGGUAGGCUGACUUUUAUUAUACACUAACACAACAUUCACUUCUUUUUUCAUGUUUUUCUAUUUUUCUGUUUUUUUAAUAGUAACACAAGACUUAGUCCCUGUCCAUUGGAGUUUUUUGACGCGAACUCCGACAUUUGUCAGAUGAAAGAGCUCGGUUACUCAGUUCCUAUCGCAUGUGACCACACACUCAUAGCAAUUACUACUUUUUGACGCGAGAAUUGACACUUUUGGUGAAAAUCCCCGAUUACUUGGUAGUAACUACUAGCGGAGUACAGUCAACUCUUAUUCACAGCUAAAUAACACAAAAAAUUCAAAAUAACACAAAAUCAAAAGAAAAUUUACAUCAGCUAGCUUCAUUUUCAAACAUGGAGAACGAAGGUUAAUAACCGGACCAAUUUACAUGAAAAUGCCAACAGUUAUUUUCUAUAUCUAGGAAAGUUAACCAAAAAUUAUAAAAGUCACACAGUCGUCGAUAUUCACCAUAGAGAUAUUCUUAGACUCAACCACAUCUACUUAAUACACUUCCAUUACUAAAACUUGGCAAUAGCAGAAAUAGAGACAACAAUCAAACAUCAAAUUUUGGCAUCACAUACGAGCUAAUCACUAAAAAGAAAGAAAGAUUGACAAAUAACAAACUAAAAUGAAAGCAAAAACAUCUAAAAAACUAAAUAGUAGAAAAACUAGCACAGCUGCCCCCUCACACCUAGACCCUACAUUGUCCUCAAUGGAGGAAUUAAAGCAAUUAAAGCGAAGAGGACAUCGAAACUUCCCUCUCGAGUGGCUACGAGGUAGGCGGGAACGGUAGAGGGAAACCGAUGUGGUGGAAGUACGCGCCCAAGUUCUUCACUGGUUGUCGAGGGAAAAAGUAGGAAUGGAUGCGAGAGAGAGGGUGGCGCGCGAAGUAGAUGCGACGACUGGUGGUAGAGGUUGCGCGAUUGGAGUGAGAGAGAUUGGAGUGGUGGCGCACGAUGGUAGAAAAUGAGGAAGAAAGAAGAAGAAGAAAGAAAAAAAAAAGAAAAGAAGGAAAAGAAGGAAAAAGAAAAAGAGAAAGAAUUUUUUUUUUAAUUUGCAUCUUGCAGAUCUAAGCUACAGUUAAACAAAUGAUUCUUUUUUUGUCUUUUUCGAAUUAAUUUAUUAUUUAUCUUUUUUAAAAAAUUUAUUUUAUUUUAUUAUUUUUUUAAAGAAAUUUUUUUUCCAAAUUCGAAAUUAGAGAUAAGAAGGAAAGCGAAAUAUUUCUUGAGAUUUGAAAACUUAUCUUUCUCGCGAAAAUAAUGCGGGCACAUUAUGAAGGCUAGAACCCUUUUGAUGAUGAGCUCUCCAUACGACUUGACGUAGGAGCGUCAUGAGGGUCCGAACCCUUCUGAUCAUGAGCUCUCCAUACGACUUGAUGCGAGCGCGUCAUGUCAGAGAGAUACCUACGGAUCAUCAAAAACGAGAAUUGAAGCCUGAAAUCAGUCAAACUCAAGGAAAACAUAUUUAAACUAAUAAACAAAAUCAAACAAAUAACUAAAAGAAAUUGGGUUGCCUCCCAAUGAGCGCCUUUUUUUAAUGUUUUUGGCUAGACAUUGAACAUUAUUCUUAAAUCUGGGUGUAACUCAAUUUUUCUUGUAAUCGAUGGCCCUCCUCCAGGAUCCAAAUAGCCUUUAAGUGCAUCCUUCUUUCUUAAUUUUCUACUCCUUUUCACCUCAUACAUUGCUUUCAUCCCCUUAUACUUGUUCUCAGUAAAUUUGAAUUUGCCUCUACAAGUAAACUCAGAAAAAUUCUUGCACAGAAAGAUUAAUAACAUGAAUAGCAAACCAGAGUAAGAGUUAACAAGAUGUUCCAUUGUAUCUAAAAUAUUAAAGUGGACUAGUUCUCCAUCAAAUUCCAUAGACAAUGUACCCUUAUUAACGUUAUUUUUGUCUGGGCUGUACUAAAAAAUGGUCUACCUAAUAGCAAAAGUAAAGGGUCGGGAGAAUGGUCAUCAUCCAUGUCAAGUACAUAAAAGUCAGCCGGAAAUACCAAUUCAUUAACUUUAACCAGCACAUCCUCAACCAACCCAUCAGGGUAUGCAUUUGUUCGGUCAGCUAAUUGGAUUAUUAUCUCAAUUUCUUUUAAUGGACCGAGGUUCAGAGAAACAUACAUAGAUUUAGGCAUUACGUUGAUCGAUGCUCCUAAGUCCAGCAGGGUAUUCCUAAUCAAAGUAUUACCUAUCUUAUAUGGGACAGUAAACCUACCUGGAUCCCCGUACUUCGGUGGAAGCUUCCUUUGGAGAACUGCUAAUACGUUCUCCCCCACGAUGACCCUUUCAUCUCCCCUCAACUGCUUUCGGUUGACACAUAGGUCCCUUAAAAACUUUGUAUACUUCGACACUUGAUUGAUGGUGUCUAACAGGGGAAUAUUGAUCUUUGUCUUGCGGAACACCUCCAGGAUCUCCUUUUCCUUAUCCUGCUUCCACAGUUUCUCUAACUUACUAGGAAAGGGAGGCGGGUUAGUUCUAACUGUAAUGACUGGAUUAGGAAGUACCUUUUGAUUUGGGCCAUUGCUGUCCUCCUUCUCAAGCUCAUUCUCGAUCCUUUCCUCAUCUUUGUCCUUGGGAAUCGUGAGUUCGGGCUCUUGAAUUUCCUUCCCGCUCCUUAAAGUCAUCGUACUUAUGUUCUUCAAGUUCAAUUUUAGGUUGAGACGCAAUUUUUCAUAAACUUGGGAUUCCAGGUGAUUGAUUGCCACUGCCAUCUGAUUCAUCUGAUUUUGCAUUACUUGUACCUAUUCCAAUUGAUUUCUUAUGUUCUGCAGUUCGGAGUCUGUCUUUUGCUGAUGUUGCACGGUGGUAGCCAUAAGUUGUUUCAUCAUUUUCUCCAAAGAUGGACUAGAACUUAGUGGCGGAGAUGGUCGGGGUUGGUACUGCUGCUGGUACCUUUGUUGUCUAUUUGACACAAAGUUAGGAUGCCUGUUCCCUCCAUAGCUGAGGUUAGGAUGGUGUCUUCAGCCGAGAUUAUACGUAUUCGAGUACGGUUCAUAGGGCAUUCUUGGCGCAGGCGCGUGAUCAGCCAUGUUCACUUUCUCUGCACUUUGUUCUUGAAUUAUCGGGCACAUAUCUGUAGAAUGACCCAUAGUAGUGCAAAUUCCACACACCUUGGCCUGAGAUGCGUUUCCUACAACCAGUUGCCUAACAAACGAGGUUAACUCCGUCAACUGCUGUCAGAUAGAAGAUGUCUCUACCUCAUUUACCUUGCGUAUCGGGACAUCCUCUCUCGUACCAAACUAUUGUGAAUUCUCGACCAUUCCCUCAAUUAGCUCCCAUGCUGCCCGAGGGGUCUUGUUCACCAGUGCCCCUCCACUCGCAGCAUCAAUGAUACUCCUGUAUCUGAAGAUUAGCCCCUCGUAAAAAUAUUGUAUGAGUAACUGCUCACUUAUUUGGUACUGAGAGCACUUGAUGCACAAUUUCUUGAAUCGCUCCCAGUAGUCGUAGAGUGACUCCCCUGGAUGCUGUUUGAUACCACAGAUCUCCUUUUUUAGACUUGCAACUUGGGACGCGGGAAAAUACUUGUCUACAAACUUUUUCUUCAACUAGUCCCACGUGGUGAUACUACCUGGUGGUAGGUAGUACAACCAGUCUUUUGCGAAGUCCUUCAAGGAGAAGGGGAAUGCCCUCAUUUUUAUUUGCUUUUCUGUGAUACCCGGGGGUUUCUACUAUUGCACACGAUAUCAAACUCUUGCAAAUGCUUAUAUGGCUCUUCACCUGACAAACCAUGAAAGGAUAGUAAAAGAUGAAUUAGACCAGAUUUGAAUUCAAAUGGAGUAUUAUCAUUUAAAUUUGGGAAAAUAAUACACAAAGGCUGUUGAUUUAAAUCAAGAGCAGCCAACUCCUUUAAUGUUCGUGCGUUUGUCAUAGUGAAUUCUUCUUGAUCCGAGUCACUUGAAGUGUCAUCAAACGAAUCUGUUGGUUCAACUUCUAACUCAGGUCUCUGAGAUGCAGCACUGGAGUACUUUUCCCUGAGUUGUCUGGUCUAUUUUUGUGUUCUCCGUGCGGUCUUCUCUAUCUCAGGGUCAAAAAUUAAUUCACUUGUACGAGAAUAACGAGGCAUACACUCAAAAGGUACUAGAAAAUUAGAACAAAAAUAAACUUAAAAAGAAACAAAUAACUAGCACCAGUCCUCAGUAACAGCGCCAAAAAUUGACAGGUUGUCGAGCCUGUACAAUAAUAAAUACCUGCUCAAACAAAAGUUAAUUUCUGCAGAUAGUGAUAAGUAAGGUCGAAUCCAUAUGGACUGGGGAUAUUUGUCUCUUUUGGAGUUCAAACUAACAAUGGGGGGUUUUUAUAGCAAUGACAAUGAUUAAACAGUUCGAAUAAAAUCAAAUAGCUAACUAAAAAGUAAACGACAAUUCACUAAAAUCAGAUUAAUGAUAACUAAAGUUCUAGCCAAUAAAUAACUUCAGCUAUGAUUCACCUAAUUGAUCAUCGAUGCAAAGGUAAUUCCAAUUAUUUACUAAUAAAUAAGUUAUAACUGCCAAACAAGCGAUGACAGUCAACCAUUCCUUACUGUGUCGGUGAUUAAGGUACGCCCGUUAAUCACUACUGUAAUUGAGAAAUAAUCAUAGGUACGCCCGUAAGACAUAAUUCUCUAAUUGCUUUACGUAUUAGAGGAGCCCUGUUCUAACCAAAUAACGCACUACCAGAGUUAUUUUAUGUUAGCCCGCGUAUUCCCCUGACACAAAUCCAAUCAUGCUAGUUGUCACUAUUUCAGGGCAAUUAAACAAUUACAGAUUUAAUGCCCCAUUUGACAAUAGAUUACUAAAUUAACUAAUUAUCUGGAUCCAAGACAAUCAAUUAAUUGAAUAACCAUGAACACUAUAAUCAGAGAAUAUGCGAAUAUCAAUAAAUAAAAGAAAAAGAUAAAAUUAAAUCGAUCUCACAAUUUUUAGGCGAAUCAAAGCCUCAGUUGUUCCUUGACUAGAAAAGGGAGUUUUGUUCAUCUUUAACGAAUAAAGCCCACAGGAGAUCGAAGCAACCGUAGCAGCCAUUGACUCCGAAAUUGAGAAAAUUCAAUUCGGUUCGGCAAUGAAAGAAAAGUCAAGAUUAGAAAAAAUGCCCAAUUGCUUUUCUUUGCUUUCACAUCCGAUGGAAGCAAAAGCACAAUAAGACGAAAAGAGGAAAAAUCAAAAGAAAAGCUAAGCUAGAGGUCCUACCAUACGAAGAAAGAAAAACUAUCCAAGAAAAGUCAAAGGAAAGCUAUCUAAUAUCUAGUUCCUACUGCUACUGUGCGGCGUCCGCGGCUAUGAAGAGACCGAAGAAGACUCCAGCCUUUUUAUCCUCUUUCCAUGUCGUCUUCCGCCAAAUUACCAAAGAGGUCGUGUUCUCAGAUUCCAAAAAUGCCCCUGGAUGCCUGUUACUUGAAUUCUUUUCCGAUGAUUGUCAAAUUGGCCUUGGUUGUGGUAUUUUCAUUCUACUCCCUGAAAUAAAUGUAAAUUAUGAAAAGUGAGUAGAGUCUAAUAAUUGAUCCACAUCAGGUUAGGUAAUAGGGAAAUUAAUAAUAAAAUCGUAACCUAUCAUAAAGGCAUUCCAACAAAGAAACCUCAACACUCGCCAAUAUUUCUAAAAUAAAAAAAGGAAAUAGUACCAUCAAUUUAUAUUUAAUCCUAAAACUUGAGAAAAAGAGUAAAUCAUCUAGUAUUUGAACCAUAUAGUACCUAAUGCUUGACCAUCUUUGAACCUACAACCACACCUUUUGGUCUGCGUAGAAAUUAUACAUCACAAAACUAGCAUCACAUACAAGGUGAAUGGGAUGUUGGCACAUUUCACCACAUAAUAAUUAACUGAUAACAACAUGCACUGCACUUUUUAUUAUUUUUUGGGGGCAUUGCACCAACAUAGGAUGACUUAAUGUAAAUGAAUUCUAAUUGAUACUUAGUUGUCUAAUCAUACCUAUCAUUACAAUUUAACACACAUUUUUGUUAGAAUAUGGCAAAUAAAGACACUUCAUACUAUAUGAAUUUCACUAAAAGUCCUACAAUUAUGUUUUUGAAAUGCUAAGUAAUAUGCUUUUUUUUCCUGGCCUACUGAUUGUGCUUUACAUUUCCAAGGUUUAUGCAAAGAGCAUCAUACUAUCUCUCUUAGUCAAGUAAUACAAUUCUUUCCCUUUCUUGAGACAAAUUUCCAAAAGCAUCUCUAAACCUAGCUUGGCAAAAAAAAAAAAAAGAAGAGAUCAUGUUAUUAACACUAUGAAAGUACAAUGAUACAAUGAUUGUGAAAGAAAGAAGAUUUUAACACUAGAGUAAUCAAUACAACUACUCAAAGGAAAGAAAAAAAUUGAAAUAACUGAUAUUUCUUGUCUUAGAAUUGUACCCAUAAUCACGAAAUAUAAAAUGAUAAAAUAGACAAAAACCUAUAAACUAUUGUUUUGUUCUAUGGAAUUUAGAGAGGACAAAAAGUACCUUUAAUGAUUUCUUGUGAUGGUAGAUAACAAUGGAAUUGAGAUGCUAGAUGAUAGGGUUUGUGGAUAAAGAGACUUGUAGAGAAUGCAAGAUUGAAAAAAUUUUAGUGAGUUUCAAUGUUUGAGGGAUUUACUUUGAUACUUAUCAGUUAAGAGAAGGAGUAAAUCAAGAAAGGAAACCUCAUCAAUUAGGCAAGAAAAUCUCAUCCACUUAGCAAACUGUGUUUUUAUUUUCAUUUUUUAAGAAAAUGCCAGUAAAACUUUUGAUCUAAUGACAUUCAAGUGCUAUUGAUUGUUAAAAUUGACUUCAUGCCUUAAUGGUUUAAUUUAACACUACUUUCUCGAGAACAGAGACAAAAAUAAAAAAAAGAGAAUAAAUUUCUUUUCAAAAGUAAAAUAUUAAAAAAAAUCUAUUUUUUUCACAUAAUUUCUUUAUAGUUUUCAAAGUCUCUUCACUUCCUUUUGCGAUUAUAUCGAGUUGAACUAUUUAGUUUUUUGUUCAACUUGACUACACAAAAAAUGUAAUCUAUCCUUUUUUUAAAAUAUUUUAGAAGGGGAAUGGUGAAAUUUAAGAAAUGAAGGAGAAAAAAGAUUUCAGCUUUAACUAUGACAUCAAUAUCUCAGCAAUACAAUUUGUUAUUACUUGCAAGACAUUUAUUAUUACUUUUAGUUAUUUUCAUUUUCUUUUCUUUUAGAGUAGGGCGGAUGAGCUAGCACCGUCAUGGUGGCAAAUUGAAGCACGGCAGUGGCACUAUCAACUAUCCCACCAAAUGCUGACCCCGGCCACCACCAUCCGACGUGAUUACCAAUUCAAAAGGAAAGAAAAAAUUAUAUCACUUCAUAAGCAGCCCGUAUUAGCAUGAUGUUAAAUGCAUUACGGGCACUAGUACCCCACCAUGUUCAAUUUAAGCCACAAAUAAAGAGGGGACCGAUUGAUAAUCUUUCUUGAUAACUGAAAAUUCCUCUUGGAGUUAAUUCCAUGCUGCAUCAUGUAAUUAUACUUAAAUUCCUUUUUUGGCAUCUAAACGAAAUGGAAAUCGGGUUUUCCAUUUUUGAAAUAUACGAAUUUGGUCCGAAUUCGAUAAUGAAUUUUCUGAAUUUGAAAUCAAAAACUGUAAGAGAUAUCCCAUAGGGGUUACUUUGCAAGAUUAUCAUCUGCAGGGUCCUUACUGACGGUUUCUGCAACCUUGUAACAGAUAUUUGUUCCUAUAUUCACCUUCUAAUUAUACUUUUGUUAUCCCAACUUCAACUCGAAAUGCACAUCAAGUUCAUAACCAAUGGAGCAAUCAAUAUAUGACAUGAGAGCUAUAGAAUCCAAGAGAAACGCAUUGGAAAUCAUGGGAACAACUUCAUGGUUUGUGAACUUGCUACGAGUACGGUUAUCGGAAUAAUUAAUUUCUUUGUUCGCCAUUAAAGAUGACAUUUCAUCAUAUGCUUAGUGUGGUACCCAGAAUCAUCCUCCUCAAGAUGAUCUCUCCCGGACACUUUCGAAUCUGAGUAGUCAUCUUGUAGUUUAGAUGUCCAGUGAGCCGAGGACAUUCAUAACAAGAAGUGAUUGAUGCGACACAUUACAAGCUUUUGCAGGUCUAACCUCUUGCACUAGUAGAUCUAGAGUCGACCUAUAGCUGCACCCUGCCCUAUCAAUGCGGCCUGAAACCCAAGGACACCUCUCACGUUUCACUAUAAUUACCCCUCUUUUCUUAGACCCCAGAGGUAACUGUUUCUUAAUUCUCACAUGUAACUUAUGUCUGAGCUGUUAACUCCUGCUAAGUUAAGCAUCGGAGCCAAAUUGGGGGAAUACUCCAUCUCUGCUUUUGAUAUCAUACAGGAAAUCCGAACUAGAGUUCAUCGAUCUCCAGUCUUCUUGGGAGUUUCGACCGUGACUCUACAAUUGGCACUGUUCGUAGGAAGUGAAGUAAAUACAGUUGCUCUACUUUCUCAUGACUAAGACUUGCUCUAAUCGUGGAAACAAGAACCCCCGAACUUUUGGGAGCCGUAUAGCCAAUCCAAGGGAUUAGGACAUACUAGAGAAUUCACAGCCUCAUGGAGAGGUCAUAGCUCGAGUGGCCAAGUUUGUGGCCUCCAGUUCAGGGUUUUUUGAAGAGAUUGUUAGGCAUAUGAAAGGUAAGGAUAGAGGCGAAUCUGUUCAGAGAUAACCCGAAGAGUCUUCUUUGUCUUCUUUCGAGGGUGACUCGGAUGACCAUCACAUACUCCAAGAGGAAGAAGGAAAAGAACCUUUCUAAAUUGCAAGGCAAAGUGCAUUCUAAAGUUUCCUCAGUUUUCGAGAGCACUGCUCAAGAACCCAUUCAAGAGGGAUGACACAAGUGAACGGUCUAGAUACGGAUCGACCCUUUACGGAGAUAACAUGCCCCCUUCACCCCUAACAUUAACGAAGAAGUUUUUCCAACGAACUUUGAAGAGGUGAUUUUAGUCCCGCUGGGUGAACCUUCCGAACUGAAGAAGUGUUUUGUCUUCGGCAAGGCACUGGGACGAGGUCACCUGCUUAGGUUACAGGAGGGGCUGAAUCCCCCGGUGUAACUUCGAAACUUAAGUUAGUUCGGUAGUGAAAAAGUAAUAUAGUGGAGAAGAUCAGUAUAGUUUUACCAGAAAUUAGUCAUCCUCCUUCUCAGUAGAGGUGUUGAGUAUUUAUAGAAGACUGAUUUGAAGAGGAACUGUUGGCACGAGUUCCGAGAGAUCUGAUACGGAUAUCAUAUCAAUUUGAUAUGAUAUCCCUGCGAAAAGGUGCGUCGGAACAGGUAUUAGAGUCAGGCGGCGCAUGUGUCAGAACAGCUCUCCGUCAAGUGUCAGAUGUGUCAGGGGUCACAUCAUCUUUCCACAGUUGUCAAGUCGUUUGGGCAUCACCUCGGCUCACGCUUCGAAGAUCUCCGCCGAGGUGAUAAACGGGUCAGGACUACCUCACUAAAUGACGCGCCGAGGUGGCACUUCCAGUAGUCUUGCAGGGUGAGGCCCCACCCUAUCCGGGCUGAAACGACCAUCCUCACUAAGCCCCCCAAGCUUCGAGAAGGGCGAGAUCGUGGUUUCCCGAGGUCGUUGCUUCCCGAAGUUGACAAGCGUGUAAGGCACGGGAUCCAGCAAUCAUGGCCAUGUGGAUGGGACUGCUGAGGAACUGACAUGAUGGCUGUCAAUCGUGACGGCAGGUUCAUGAACAGGCUCGAGAUCAGCAGGACGAACAGCCUUUUCAUUAAUGAGGAGAGAGAGAAUGCGCCCUCGAGAAUCUCAAAGAUACCGCCUCUUCAUUUUCCCCCUGGGUGCCUAUAAAUAGAAGCCCCUUUUCACCGUUUCACUCUUUACCAAAAAUCUAAAAUCACCUUAGAGCUCUGUUCCUGUGUCCUUUCACUUCGGCAAUUCCUCGAGGCAGAAAGACCCGACCCCUCCGAGGAGAGAACUGCGUCCGAUGUCGGGGAAGGAGUGCCGAGGCGUCUCACCGAGCCGGAACAUCUGGAGGGCAUCACGAGGAGAUCGAGGUCGAAGCCGAGGUCCUGUACAAUGAUGAUCUCGGGAACGAGGUCCCUAGGGACGAGGGCGUGCAAGAGCCUUCCACUCCUCCGAACUUGACAACACUUAAUUACGGCCAGAUGCCAGCCUUCAGUAGUAUUAUGGGACAAGCCUCCGUAGCCGAGGUGGUCCGCAAGUAUCAUUGGAGAAGGGAUUACAGCAUCUAUUUGCCCCAACCACACCAGUCAGCCGCAUUGCCACCGAAGGGUAGGGUGGCCAUCUACGUGGACCAACUGGAGGCCGGGCUCAGAGUGCCAACAACAAAGUUUCUUCGGGAAUGCUUGAGGUAUUGGGGGGUGAGGAUCACUCAACUCACCCCGAAUACCAUUCGUGUCCUCGUCGGCUUUCAACUGCUUUGCCGACAUCAGGAAAUAGAGCCCACUGUCAACCUCUUCUGCCGUUCUUACUCGCUUAAGAACAGCGGGAGCGAGAAGAGUUGGUUUUACUUCGGGAAUAAAGUUCCGAAGUUAGUGGUAGACGCCUCGAGCUCGAUAAAGGAAUGGAAAAGAAACUUUUUCUUCGUCCCGGCAGAAGACUUCCCACGGGGAUUCUGGUGGAGGCCUCCCACCUCAGUCAAAGAGACGUCCCCGGGCAUGUUAGAGGAGCGCAACUUCCAGAAGUUAACGGGGUCGGACCUCAGGAUUAAUUGCUGGGACUUUCCCGAAGUGGUGGUCGUAGAAGGCGGGAUCAGCCGAGUCUUGAUCAGCUCGGACCACCCCGUCUUCUUCUCUACUAGGUUUCAAAAACCUUGUACUUUUCCAUUUCCCUUUUUUGUUUAUUCUUCAUGAAUUCUAACUAACUCUUUUUCACACUAUGCAGUGGUGAAGGUUUCCGACCUGAUAACCUCGGAAAACAUCGAGGUGGUGAAGAGACCACCCAAGAAGCGUAAGGAUGCUGCUGAACCCUCCACCAGGCCUGCCAAGAACACCACUGCAGCUACGGGCGACCGCGAGCCUGCCGUGGUGAUAGUGGGCGAAGGCUCCCAUACCUCGACCACUCUCGGAGGUUCCCGAGCCUCGGCUAUUCCUGUCCCUAUUCGAGGGGUCACGAUAGCCACUCCACCUUGGGGUCAGGGCGUGACUGCGUUCCCGGAUAACCCCGUCACGAGGUCUUCGCUAUUCAACCUCUACCAUGUGCCUUCCAAAGCGGCCGGGGAGGACAAAAGGCACUCCGGAGCACAUUGGUGUCCCGAGUGGGAGGUGAACGUCAAUGACCGCUGCAAGAACCCCCUGGUCGUACAUGAGCUUCUGGUGCAUUCGGUGUUGCCGCGAGAUAACACUUAUGCCAGAAAGCUCACUCCAGGUGAGCUGAUGCAAAGUGCCUCGGUCUCAUGGGCCUCCACCACGGCCUUCUUUGUUGAGAUGAUCCAACGUUACGGACAUUUCAUGAAAAACUACGAGCCACCUGCCGAGUUCCAGAAGAAGAUUGCCGACCUGGAAGAGAAGCUGAGGGCAACCGAGCUGGAGCGCGACAAAGCCGAGGCAGCGAAGAAGAAGGCCGAAGUCGCGAACAAUUCCCUGAUAACUGCCCUUGAUGAGGAGAGAGAGAAGGGUCCAAAAAGAACAGUCGACCAAGGAGGCAAUAGACAAGGUCGGGGUCACUGCCGUGGAGGCCUUCCGGAAGUCGGAGUUUUUCACCCACGACCUCGGCGAGCUCACACGCCCAAACUUUAUGUUCGACUACACGUCGGCUGUUAACGAUGCUAUGCCCUUUCUCUCUUCUGAGCAGCUGGAGUCCCUUCAAAGCGCUCCUCACUACAACGAAGAUGCCAAGGAGCUGUGCGACCGUAUGGCCGAGGGCGUCCAAGCUGAAAAAGAUCUAGCCGAAGUUCAUGUUGAGUUCAACAAAUGACUUCAGGAGUUUGAGCUAGACGGUGAUGGCCUUGAAGGGAAUCAGUCCGGCGGAGGAGCUGAGGGACAGCAGGACGCCGAGGCGGCGAAGAAGAGACUAUGGGGGAGUAAGGCUCCGGGGCAGGGAAUGCUUAGAAGCAUCCCUUUUUUCCAUGACCUCGGUCUUCUACUUUUUGUACUUGUGCUUCAAUUCAAUUGACUUCAUAUUUUUGCAAUCUUUUUAAUUGAGUUCGGUUUUCUUUUCUUUACUGCUGUUGUCCCCUUAUUUUUCACUUGUAAUGAAAUGGGAAGAAGUGAGAAAUAACUCAAAACUUAAAAUUAAAAGUACGUACCCUUCAAGGGUAAUACAGUUUAAGAUUUUCAGCAUGCCGAGUUCGGAGCACCCGAAAUCCAUCUCGAUAUGCCAAUUUACAGUAUCCAUUUUGGCUGGACUCAACGACACGGUAUGGUCCCUCCCACUUGGGGUUCAGUUUACCCUGGGGUUUAGCUCGGCUGACCGAGUUCUUCCGGAGCACAAGGUCUCCCGGAUUGAACCGCAAGUGUCUGAUCCGAGCAUUGUAGUAGCCAGUUAGGAUAUUUUUUUAAAGAGCGACUUUGGCUGCAGCCAUAUCACGCUUCUCUUCGGCGAGGUCGAGGUCAACUCGCCGUUCAUCUUCAUUAACUUCAGCGGCGUACGCUGCCAUUCGUGGGUUCGGAGUGAUGAACUCGGCUGGGACGACAGUUUCGGACCCAUAAAUUAAAGAAAAUGGAGUUUCUUGGGUUGCUGACCUCGGCGUGGGUCGAUAGGACUACAACACGCUGGAAAUUUCUUCCAUCCAGGACGACCCAACCCGGUGGAGCCUGGUCUUGAGGCCAUAAAGGAGAGUGCGGUUGAAGUUUUCGGCCUGUCCAUUGGCUUGGGGGUGUCCAACCGAGGUGAAAUGCUGUUUGAUUCCCAAGUUUUCGCACCACGCUUUGAAAGGAUUAUCUGCGAACUGCCGGCCAUUAUCCGAGAUGACCACCCGGGGUAGGCCGAAGCGAUAAACCACGCUCUUUCAGAAGAAUUUUUGAACGGCUGCUCCGGUGAUACUUCUCAGAGGCUUUGACUCGACCCAUUUGGUGAAGUAAUCUACUGCCACCACUACGUAGGCGUAGUUGCCUGGAGUUCUAAGAAAUGGGCCGAUUUUGUCAGUCCCCCAUUGCUCGAAGGGCCAUGGCGAGGUGAUGGGAAUCAUGAAAUUAGUCGGCUGGUGGUGCUCAGGGGCGUGGUACUGGCAAGACGGACAACUAAGGACCAUGACCUGGGUAUCCACCCUCAUGGUGGGCCAGAAAUACCCAAGCAACAAAACUUUUUUGACGAGCAUCCUGUAGCCGACGUGAGCACCACAAAAUCCCUCGUGUAUGUCUUGCAGGAUUCUGUUACCUUCUUCCUGUGUAAUGCACCGCAGCCAAGGACCGAGGUACGACCUCUUGUAUAAGAGAUUUUGCCCAAAAGCGUACCGAGCUGCUUUGCGCUGCAGCUUUCUCAACUCAGCUCGGUCCUCGGGGAGCUCCCCCUGGCUGAGAAAUCGGAUCAAAGGCUCCAUCCAGAUGUCCCCAAGAUAGAUAGGGUACACGACCUCUCCUUUGUACCUCGGCUCGGCCAAUACUUCUAUGAGAACCGUCUUGUUCAGGUCAGAAAAAGAGGUAGAAGCGAGCCGGAGAGGGCAUCAGCCCUCCUGUUUUGUGACCGCGGUAUUUUUUGGAUUUCAAAAGACUCGAAAUGUGCCACCAAUUGGAGGACCUUGGAGAGGUAGCGGUUCAUCACCUCUUCCCUGGCCUCAUAUUCGCCCAGUAUCUGGCACACAACGAGUUAGGAGUCGCUAUAGACCAAAAUGUGCGCGGCCCCGAGUUUACGAGCUAGUUGUAGGCCGGCAAUGACUGCUUCGUAUUCGGCCUCAUUGUCAGAAGCGGCGAAGUCAAACCUUAAGGCGUAUGAACACACCUCUCCCUGGGGGUCUUCGAGGAGUAAGCCCGCCCUACUACCCUCACUAUUAGACGAGCCAUCCACAUGCAAAAUCCAACGUUGGAGCUCGGCGGCAGCCGAGGUGGUCUCCUUCACCUCAUCAAAAGUGAGUUCGGCGAGAAAAUCCGCAAGGGCCUGUGCCUUGAUUGCGGUACGAGACUCGUAAGACAAGUCGUACUCCCCCAGCUCGAUGGCCCAUUUAGUGAGACGUCCGGAAGCCUCUGGCCGUGAUAAAACUUGCCUGAGGGGUUGGUCAGUUCUCAAGCAGAUGUGGUGAGCUAAGAAGUAGGGCUUAAGCCUGGGGGCUGUAUGGAUUAAGGCCAGCACGAGUUUCUCCGCUUGACUGUAUCUGGUCUCCGGACCUCGGAGGAUUCGGUUGACGUAGUAAACUGGCAUUUGAACACCUUCCUUCCUUAUCAACACGUCGCUCACAGCUUCGACCGCGGCAGACAGGUACAAAAACAACUUGUCCCCUGGCUGAGGCGAGGUGAGUAUUGGGAGGUGGUGUAGGUACUCCUUUAACUGAUCAAAGGCCUGUUAACAUUCUUCAGUCCAGAAGAAGCUAUCUGCCUUCUUCAGAGUCUUGAAAAAGGGCAACGCCUUGGAAGCUGACUGCGAUAGGAACCUGUUCAGGGCUGCCAACCGGCCUGUCAGCCUCUGGACGUCACGGACGCACCGAGGUGAAGACAUUUCUUGGAUCGCUUUCACCUUAUCCGGAUUUGCUUCGAUGCCUCGCCUCGAGAUGAGGUAACCCAAAAACUUUCUCGAAAUUUCCCCAAAAACACAUUUCUUGGGGUUUAACAUCAUUCCCGUCUUCCGUAGGACCUCAAGGACCUCUUUCAGGUCAGAAAGGAAGAUGGAGGUCGUCCGGCUCUUGAGGAGGAUGUCAUCCACAUAGGCUUUAACAUUGCGGCCGAUCUGGGAUUUGAAAGCCUGGUUGACCAGGCGUUGAUAUGUGGCCCCGGCAUUUUUUAGUCCGAACGGCAUGGUGGUGUAGCAAUAUGUGCCUUGGUCAGUGUAGAAGGCCGUCUUCUCUUGGUUCUCCUGACUCAUUCCAAUCUGAUGGUACCGCUUGAAAGCGUCAAGAAGGCAAAGGAACUCGUAACCCAUUGCUGAGUCCACCAGGGUGUCGACUUUGGGCAACGGGUAGCAGUCUUUGGGGCAGGAUUUGUUUAGGUCGGUGAAGUCGACGCACAUUCUCCAAGCCCCGGUGUCCUUCUUGACCAUGACUGGGUUGGAUAGCCAGGUCGGAUAUUGGACCUCCCGGAUUAUCUUUGCCUGUAGGAGCUUGUCCACUUCUUCACCGACAGCUCGGCUGCGCUCAGGGUCGAGGUGCCUUCUUUUCUGUUUGACCAAACGAAUUUGGGUAUCGACGUUCAACUCAUGUACUAUAAGGUGAUGCGGGACCUCUUGGACCUCAUCUGCGACCUAGGCGAAGACGUCCUGGUACUUUCUGAGGAUGUCCACCAUACCUUUUUUGAUCGGGUCAGGCAAUCGGGUGCCGACGCGGAUCGUUCGCUCCGGCUUCAUAAGGUCUAGGAAAACCUCUUCCACCUCAUCUCCAGCCCCCAACCUCGGAGCCUUCUCAGCCUGCUGAGGGUCGAGGCAGUCUAUUGAGAGAAUGUUGGAUCUCUUCUCGGACCUCACAUCGGAGGUCGAUGUGGAGGCUGCUUGUAAGGUGGCGAGAUAACACUUCCGGGCAGUGCAGACGUCGCUGUUGACCUCGGCAAUUCCCGCGGGGGUAGGAAACUUGAAACUCAGAUGGUAUGUGGAAUAUACCGCUCGCAGAGCAUUAAGUGUGGGUCGGCCCAGGAACAAGUUGUACGGGGAGUCAGCCUUAACCACCACAAAAUUGAUUGGGAUGGUUCGACGGCGGGGGUGACGCCCCACAGUUACUGUCAGAGUCACCAUCCCUUCAGGAUGCACGAUGUGUCCCCCGAAUCCCACCAGGGGGUUCUUACCGGGGUCAUGUGUUCUUUGGCCAACUUAAAGCUUUCAAAAGUGCGGAGAUACAUAACGUCCACCGAACUCCCUGGGUCGAUGUAGACCUUCUUCACAAUAUAGUUAUUGGUGAGUAUUUCAAUCACCAAGGCUUCAUGGCUACUUGAUGCAGCCGGAACUAGAUCGGUGGGGCCAUAAGAAAUGACUUUAGAUAGGCGAGAACUUGACUCGGCUUGAUCCGGGUUAGCUUGCCUAUAGGUCCUUUUCCGGGAGUUCUGACUAUCCCCUCCCGUCGGACCUCCGGCAAUAGUGUUGAUGACUCCAGCAAUGUUUGACCCAUAUCCUAACCUCUGGCCUGAGGAUCCGUCUCGGGGAGGCCUUUUUGUCUUCCUAGGUUCCUCAGGGGGUCGGCAGCUGCUUCUCGACGUCCGCCUUUCGUUUCGGCUUUGGUCACCUCGUCCAUCACGCCGGUUAUCAUUACGCUGAUGACUUCCACCUCGGCGGACAAACUGCUUCAAGUGUCCCUGUCUGAUGAGGUUCUCGAUCUCCCUCUUGAGGUCGUUGCAAUUCUCGGUCUCAUGCCCGAUAUCUCGGUGAUACAGGCAGUAGAGGUUCGAGUUCCUCUUGUUUCUGCUACCAAACAUCCUGGGAGGUGCCUUCUCGAGAUUGUUCUGUUCCAUUACGAAUAACACCCAAGAUCGGGUGGUGUUCAGAGGAGUUAACUCAGACUCGGGGAUGGGUGACUUCCCCUUAGAAAUCCUGUCAAACACACUGCGGCGAUCUCGGUUAGGGCUUUGGAAGCCACUCCCUGUCCCCGCUUCACUUCGGCCCGCGUCUUUUCCCCUUCGGAGGUCAGCCCUCGGGCGAGCGGCUUGGACCUCUUUCUUCAUGCGGUUGAGGUCUUCUGCUUGUAUGUCCUUCUCGACCUUCAACCAUAGUUCGUGGAGCGUGCGGGGAUACUUCUUGUGGAUCCCCGUAUUGAAUACCCCGGCAACGAGCCCAUGGAUAAAAGCAGCAAUGGUAACCUGCUCAUUGGGGUCAGGUAUCUGUACGCUUUCCUCAUGGAACCUCUGGACGUACGAUCGAAGUGACUCUCCUGGGUUCUGUUGCAUAUUCAGCAAGUAAGCCGAGAUCCUGGUCGUAGGUCGGAGGAGACAAACCGAUGGAGAAAUCUCUCCACUAAUUCCCCCAGGGUUGAGAUGCUCCUAGGUUCUAAACCCCAGAACCAUUUUCGAGCUAUCCCCUGGAGGAACACUGGAAAAGCUCGGCAUAUGACGGGGUCAGGGAUGCAAUAUAGGCGAAAGGCCGAGAUAAAGGCAUGGAUAUGAUUCUCGGAUCACCUCGACUGUCAUAAGAUUGUAUCGAGGGGAGUUUGAAAUUUGGAGGAAGCCUUUCCUCGUUGAUAUCAUCAGUAAAAGGAGGGGCUCUCAUGUAGUCCAUCCCGGGCCUUCCUAGGGGUCGAGGUUCCUCCUUAGGUCGUCGUCCCAAGAGCCCUCGGGAAAAUGCCUUGGAUAAGGAGGCUACCUUAGAGGUGGCCUUGGAAAAUGCCCGUUUUGAAGCGCUUCGGCUGAGGCGCCUUCCAUCAGACUCCUCUUCAGAUGAACCUUCAGGAGAUCUAUCUGACUUCCUUUUAGAAGACUCCGCCUUCUGCUUGCCUUGCCUUUUUAGGUACCUCCCUAACUCCUCGAAGAUGUUGGGGUUCUCGGUUACAAACUCAACCAUACGGGUUAUGGCUUGUUCAUUUGCGGGCUGAGUCCUUGAAGACUCCUGCCCUUCGGAAAUAUCUUCCUGUUGAGCUACAUUGCUUUGCUCAGCCCCAAUAGUGAGAGCUUUCCUGCUCCUAGAACGUGUAGGCUUCAUAUUCUAAUAUCUUCACGUUCCCACAGACGGCACCAAUUGAAGAGGUGAUUUUAGUCCCGCUGGGUGAACCUUCCGAACUGAAGAAAUGUUUUGUCUUCGGCAAGGCACUGGGACGAGGUCACCUGCUUAGGUUACAGGAGGGGCUGAAUCCCCCGAUGUAACUCCGAAACUUAAGUUAGUUCGGUAGUGAAAAAGUAAUAUAGUGGAGAAGAUCAGUAUAGUUUUACCAGAAAUUAGUCAUCCCCCUUCUCAGUAGAGGUGUUGAGUAUUUAUAGAGAAUUGAUUUGAAGAGGAACUGCUGGCACGGGUUCCGAGAGAUCUGAUAUGGAUAUUAUAUCAAAUUUGAUAUGAUAUCCCUGCGAAAAGGUGCGUCGGAACAGGUAUCAGAGUCAGGCGGCACAUGUGUCAGAACAGCUCUCCGUCAAGUGUCAGAUGUGUCAGGGGUCACAUCAUCUUUCCACAGUGGUCAAGUCGUUUGGGCAUCACCUCGGCUCACGCUCCGAAGAUCUCCGCCGAGGUGAUAAACGGGUCAGGACCACCUCACUAAAUGACGCGCCGAGGUGGCACUUCCAGUAGUCUUGCAGGGUGAGGCCCCAGCUUAUCCGGGCUGAAACGACCAUCCUCAAACUUCAAAUUCCCAAAUGUUCCAUUCUAUGAUGGAAAAGGUGAUCAUGAAGACCAAGUCCAUGCCUUCUUAUCGGCAUUCAGACUGUAUGGGAUCCCCAACGCAGCGAUGUGUCGGGCUCUUCAUCAUUUCGUUAAGACUUAGUAGUUGAGAAAUUUAAUGGCUAGUCUUCUCAUGCAUGGUAUGCACCGAUCUUUAGAAUCGGCAUAGUAUGCAAGGGCAAACGCCACCCCCAAGUUUUUGAGAAUUUUCUUUUAGCUCCUAGGAAAUUUUAUAAAUUUUCAUUAAAAAUCUCUCUCUUGCACCCGUAGAUUAUCAGUUUUCAGUGUAAUUCUAUGAUUAUGGCUUGUAUGUUUUUUUUUUCCUCUUCUAGCGCUUAGCUAUUCAAUCUUGAUAUCUGAUUACAGCUCAAAAUUUUGUUAUCACUGCCUUAUUUUAACAAAAAAUAAUAAUAAAUUUAGUGACAUGAAACACAACAAUGAAGCUGCGUAUUCAUUACUGAAUCGAAAUAUGCAUUAGUUAUUUAUUAAUAGGGUUAUUAUUACUUUACCUCUUAACAUUCGGUGUCACUAUCAAUUUCUCCUUUAACCCUUUUAGUCAUUUUACUCCCAAGACUAAUGGUCAAAUUUAACAGAGUUUGUUAAUUAAAGUGAAAAGAUACAUUUAACCCUUAAAAUUAUUAUCACUUUACUCUCAUAAACUAUAGUCUGAUUAUCAAUUUACCCCAUAGAGUUAUUUUUUAGACAAUUUAUUGCACUAUUAAACCAAUUUAGCCAGUUAAAGAACUCUAGAAGAAAGUACUCUUUUUUUUGUAUAAUAAAAAUAAAAAAAAUGUAGAAUAACUCUUCUUGUUUUUAGUAUCAAGAAAAAAAAUAUCAAAUUGUUAAUCUCUUUCUUCUUAAUAAUCUUAUUAAUAUUGAAAAGAAAAGAAAGAUGUGGAGGAGGAGGGGGAGGGAGAGAGAGAGAGAGAGAGAGCUCAAUUCUUUUUUUAAAAAAAUAAAAAUAAGAAAAAAUUACGUACUUUUAUUAUUUUAAAAUUAUUUCAUUUUUUUGUUUACUACCAAAUUUCAAUCCUGAUCUUGAUAAUCUUAAAGUAAUACGAUAAUGUUAGACUCUUCUUUAUUUUCUUUCUUUACAAAAUCUAAUUUUCUUUCUCCUUCUUUCCUAUCUCCUUUUCUUUUCCUAGCAUUAAUAAGUGUGAAAAAAGAAAUUUGAGAGAUCCUUUUAUUUUUACGUUUUUGGAUCCUUUAAAGUGAAAAAAAGGAAGAAUAACCUUUCCAACCAUUUCAUUUUUUAAUUAUAUAUAAAAAUGGUAUAUAUAUUUUAAAAAUUUUGAUCAUACUAGUUAGAUUAACGAUGAGAUAAAAUGCUUAAAAAAUAAUGUUAAGAAUUAAAGCGAUUGUAUCAUUAUAAUUUCAAGGGAUAAAAUGGUAAUAACAAUAUGAUAAUGCUAUAAAAUAAAGAGGUAUUUUCUGUCUAAAAUUUCUUAACAUGUUGAGUUGAAUUACUUAUGAAGGUGAACUGACUAAAAGAUAAUAUUACGGGGCAAACUGAUAGUAGUGGUAUAGUUUAAGAGAGUAAAGUGAUAAUAACCACUACAAGAAAUUUGGCCUUUUGUAACAACAAAAAGUCAUGACUAAAAAUCAAAAAGUCGUCAUUAUAUGAGUAUAGUGACGACUUUUUCCAUUGUCACAUUGUUUUCACUAAUUCUAUAUCACAAAUGGGUACGUGUGACAACCCUUUGAAAGUCGUUACUAAAUCUUGUUAUUUAAUGAUGAGGACAAAGUCGUCACUAAUGAUUAUCAUUCUGUGACAAAUUUUCUUGUCACUAUUUCACAUAUUUUUUGUCAUAAAUGGAGCAAAAGUAGUAACAAAUUUGAAGUCUAUAGUGAUGACUUGAACUUGUCACUAUCAGUCCUAGUAUUCAGUGACAGGAAUAAUCGUCACUUAGUGAACUUGCAUAUAGGUUGUCACUGAACUUUAUCUUAACAAACUGCAAUUGUUCAUCAUUGUCACGGUAUUUCCGACAUUAUAGCGAAACUCAAUUUGACAAAAAGGCAUGGUAAACUUGCAUGCUAGUGACAACCUUCCUUUGAAAGUUGUCACUGAGUUUUGUCUUCAAGAGUUGACAUUGACCAUUACAAAUAUAGUAUUGCCAUGGCAUUUUCAACAAUUAUAGUAAAACAUUCAAUUUGACAAAAGGCAAAAUCAACAUAAAAGAUAUGUCGCAAACUCAUAUAUAUGAUCAUAACACAUCUUUAAAUUAAUAUAAACAAAAGUGAAUCACAAAUGUUGGGUCCCAAAUCCCACAUAAUCAGUUCAAGUAAUAAUAACCAAUACAUAUACUUCCCAAGAGAUAGAGUACUAGAUUUCUAAACUAAAGCAUAUAUUACAGCACCAAUGUCAGAUUUCAGUCAUCUCUAUCAGCAUAUCCAAUAGUCUUCUCAUGAUCACUAUGAAGCUGGACUGCAUUGAAAAUAAACUAUUAAAUGCAUUAGAGUAUACUUUAAUCAGAAAAUAUGCUAUUACAACCUUACACUACUGAAUUUGAAUGAAUAAUCAACAUAUGUUGCAAACAGGUCAGUACUUUUAACAGCAUAAUCAACAUAUUCGAGUUUAUUCUGAGAACAAGUUCGAAAAGCACAACUUUUGCCAUUCCACUUUUGCAUAUUGGCCAGAAAAAAAUCACUAAUACUAUACUCUUCAAAUUCAUAUCCAACAUGACAAUUACAUGGAAACUCAAAUUGGGACUUUGUGCCAGGCAAUUUCAUUUGUUGAAAUAGAUAAAAGUGGGAUGAUUGAGAUAAUUUAAGACAAUUACAUGAUCACUUUGAACAAUUCAAAUAAAGCCACACCAAUAAUUUAUUUUUCACAGUUAUGAACACAACUACAUACAACAAAUUCCUUCUAAAAAGUUUUGCAGGAAUGUUAUAAAUUUUGUUCCAUCUCAAAAUAUAGUUGAAAAGGAUGCGGCAUCUCAUCAAGAAUUUAACUAGCCAAUGCCGCCAUGUUCAAAACUCAAAGGUGCAAAGUUUAGUAACAUUUAACUUCCAAAUUGCAUAGCCCACGACCCUUUGAAGUCCCAGGUGAUAUAUCAUGUGGAAAACAGAUAUAUCUUAUGUAGUUUUGAAAAUGCUUUCAAUCAAAAACAUCCCUUCUAGUUUAAUAGCUGCACAAGAGAACAACUAAACUAACAUUUUUCUAGCUUCAGUUCUAAACCAACCAUUUACAAAAUUUAAAUGGUUUACAAAACGAAUAGCAAAAGAUAGGGAAUCGACUCACAGUGUUGUCUUGAAUUUUCAAGAAUCUACGCAAUCUUUAGAGGAAAAGACAAUCUUCUUGCCAAGAGAAGGGCAACCGAAAAGGGCUAGCUUUUUCAAGUCGUUGUGUGACAUCCAUCUGAAAAUCCAAUUCACAAGAUUGAGAUGGAGAAGAUACAAGCUAGGAAACUCAAUACAUUGAAAAUGCUUUACUAAUCUCUGUGACGUAUAAAACUUGCACCAGAAGAAGCUAGAGCAAGAACUUAUUAGAAGGCCAAGUAAUGGUAGACUGUUUCACUCCAAAUUCAACAGAAUAUGCAACAUACAAAGAAUUACCCCGGUACUUUAGCAAUCUACUCCACUCUGUAAUAGUACAAAUAUUGAGCACAACUUAAAAAGUUACUCAUUGCUUCACAUCAAAGUACCAAAAAAAUUUUUUCCCUCAGUUACCACGUCACUUGAUAAUUUUAUUGUGUUUUUGAAUGCAAUGACUUGUUAAAAUGAAAAUAGUCAAGCAUAACUACAACUUGAGCACAAAUGGCCAUUAAAUUAUGUGAUCUUCACAUGUAGCACAUAAUUGAAUUUGCAACGAAUUGCAAUGUACCCUCAAUAUUCUUGCAACAACGUCCUUAACCACUCUACUUGAUUUCAUCUACUUGAUUUGAAAAUAAAAGCAUGAUGUCCAUCCUCUUGUUUGCUUGCUAACUCACUUCCAUUUACAGUUUUUCUCUUCUUGCUUUCUCAAAGAUUAGUUACAAACAGGACAAAAAGGAUUAAUAGCAGGGCAGUAGUAGGCAAAAGCCAAAAAAAUGAACGGACACAAGCUGGCAACCUAGCAACAAAAUUUCAUCAAAACACUUGUUGUUCACAACAAACAAGAAAAAAAAAAAGGAACAGCCACUACAAAGGGAAGAGGAAGAUGUCAGGAAAUGGAAUAGGCAACCUUCUUGUCCACAAGUUUGAAGAAAGCAAGGUUCCAUCAGAUAUCCAUUCUUAAGCAUUGUAUAACUAAUCCUAAGUUUGAGAUAAAAAGUUAGAAUCUUCUUUCUGUUCCCCUCUUAAUAGUUAAUACAUUCAAGUAAGUAACCCAAAGAAAGCAGAACAUUCAUUAGUCCAUGCCAAAAAUACCAUUCCUACAAUUGCAUUAACAUGACUACAAGCAACUCACCAGGGCAAAUUAUAAUCUAAGUACACAAGAGAAAGCAUAUUACUAGAAAAUUUAUCCGAUUAUUCUCAUAAUGAGAUUGAAGAAUUCAAAAAAUCACAUUUGAUGUCUAGAAAUCAACCACUCAAUAUUUAUAGAUUAGCGCUUCAAUAUACAAACGCAAGGAAUUCAUAGAGAAUCUAGGAUGCCAAGAACGAGCAAAUUAUAUCUUUGCCUUAUGAAAAGAAUAAAAAUCCUUACUUUGCAAUCUCCUGAUUAUCCUUUUUUUUUAUCAGUAACAAGAAGUACCAGCGUAUAAUCCAUUAAACCCAGAAAAAAGGUGCCACCAAAUAUUUUUAAGAAAUUCCUUAGAUUGAUUUGAAGACCUAGAGCAACCAAAACUGUAGAUAGAGUCUCAAUCAACUAUGUAUCUCAACAUGCAUAACUUUCAACUGCAACAUCUGAGAGCCUAAAUUGCAAAUAACAUAAUUUAGCAAAACAUGAAUCUAAGAGAAGCAUGAACUUGGUGGUGCUGAACCAUAACCUCCAGAUCCACGGCCAAAGCCAGGCCUUCCACCAGAACCCCUGAAAGCAGGCUGGUUGCAAGAGCUCCACCUUUCUCACCACCAAACUUACCAGGAGGUCCACGGGGACCAGCACGAUACCCUCCCUGUGCACCAAAUUCACUAUCCCUCGUCCAAAAAGACAACAGCAGGGGAAGAAAGAGACAGAGAACAAGAGAGGAUAUGUUCUACUUCCUGAAUUACAAAUCUACCCGUCCACUAGAGAGACUAUCUUUUCUAAGAAAUGUUUAUGCAGCCUUCUGGAAAUGCUUGGAAAGCAGCUUCACAAUCUCAGUAAAUCCAACUUUCUCCUUGCCUUCAAAUAUGGUCUUCAGCUUCUCAUCACAGUAGAUCUCUUUCUUGUUGUUUGGAUUCUGAAGGUUUUUGGAUUUGAUGUAAUCCCAGACUUUCCUGACGGCGUCAGUGCGGGAAGUUUCAGGUGCGCCAAGGAACUAGCGGAGAGCAGGAGAGACAGGCUGCUUCUUCAGGAUGCCAUUUCUGCGGCCAGAAGUUUUAGCAGCGGCGGAUCCAGAAGUGGUGGAGGCGACGGAGGUCUUAGCGGCUGCCAUAAGUGCUCUGCAGCGGUUUCCGAAAACCCCAGCGGUCGACGCCAUAGAGAGAGACCCUAGAGAGAGAAGAAAGAGUGAGAGAGUGAGGGGACUGGGAGUCUGUGAGUGAAGAAGGCAGGCAGGGUGGAGGGAAAAUAUGAGAAAAGACCAAAAACGAUGUCGUUUCUGCUUCUUUUGUUCACGCACAUGUACUUCUUCAAUUUUCAGCUUCCCGCUUCCAUUUUAGCUAAGACCAAAAAAUAACACUUUCAUCCUCUUUUGUACGGCUAAUUGAUCAAAUUAUUGUUCGAAAAAAAAUCACAACAAUAAAGUUAUUAUUUUGAGCUUUUUUACUUCACAAGUUGUAUCUGGAACUUUAUUUGUUACAUUAAAACUUUGAAAAUUUAGUGUUUUUGGAUAAUUUUUGGAAAAUUUAGUGUUUUUGGGAUUAAUUUAGUGUUUUUGAAAAUUAGUGUUUUGGAAUAUUUAGUGUCUUAUUAAUAAUAUGUUUAUGAUUCAAAAAAAUCUUUUAAUGCAAAUAUUUUUGGUAUUGAUUUAAUAAUUUUAUUAAUUAUGUACGAAAUUGUGGUCUGACAAGACCUAACAAGCUGCUAGUUGAUCAAUUAACCAAAAUAGUUUGCUAAUACAUGCAUAAAACACUAAAUGUAUUUGGUACAAAUACCGAUUUAUAAACCAUAAAUAAUGUGAUUAUUGUAAUUAAUAAUAAACUCCAUCCAUGCGAUUGUCAAGAUUUUACUUAAUUUCAUGUUGAAUUUUAUUGUUCUUUGCCAUUAUUUUCACACUAUGCUAGUCAAUAAUUUUCCAUGUGUUGUCAAGACAAUUAGAUAGGGAAUCCAUGAUAUUUUUUAACCUUAGCUAAGUUCGGUACAAGUUAUUGGCUAAGUUUGGAACAAUUAUAAAAAUAUGUAUAUAUAUUUUAUUAAAAUAUCUUUCUCAUUUUGCUAAUGAAAAACAUCAACUAAAGUGUAAAGGAUAGGGUGCCAUAAUAGAAUUAAUGAAAUCGGUUUAUCACAUACGAGACUAAAUUGUAAAAGAUAAGGUGUCAUGAUUGAGUUAAUGGAAUCAAUUUAUUACAUAUGGGGCUAAAAUGUAAAAUUUAGGGUGUCAUAAUAAGAUUAAUAAAAUUUAUUUAUCGCAUAUAAGCCACAUUGAAAAAAUUAGGGUGGCAUAGUAGAAAUAAUGAAAGUGAGUUAGGAACAAGCACUUUAAAAAUAUGUUUAUGAUUCAAAAAAAGAUAUUUUAAUGCAAAUAUUUUUUGUAUCAAUUUAAUAAUUUUAUCAAUUAUGCACGAAUUGUGGUCUGACAACACCAAACAAUUUGUUUAGUUGAUCAAAUAACCAAAAUAGUUUACUAAUACAUGCAUCAAACACUAAAUCUAUUUGAUACAUGUACUGAUUCAUAAACCAUAAACAAUUUGAUUAUUGUAAAUUGUAAUACAUAACAAACUCCAGUCAUGAAAUUGUCAAGAUUUUUACUUAAUUUCAUAUUAAAUUUUAUUAUUCUCUUCCAUUAUUUUCACACUAUGUUAAUCAGUAAUUUUCCAUAUGUUGUCAAGAGAACUAAAUAAAGAAUUCAUGAUAUUUUUUAACUUUAUAAUAAGGUAUUAGCUAUGUUUGGAAUAAUUAAAAAAUAGGUAAACAUUGUUUUUUACAAUACAUUCCUCAUUUUGCUAAUGAUAAACACAACCUAAAGUGUAAAAGCAUAGGGUGCCAUAAUAGAAUUAAUAAAACUUUUCUUUAUCACAUACGAGGCUAAAUUGCAAAAGAUAAGGUGUCAUGGUAGAGUUAAUGAGAUUAGUUUACCAAAUACGGGGCUAAAGUGUAAAAGUUCGGGUGUCAUAACAUAAUUAAUUAAAUUUACUUGUAGCGUAUGGGCCAUAUAGAAAAAAUUAGGAUGGUAUAUGGAGUUAAAAUGUAAAAGUUAGGGUGUCAUAAUAGAAUUAAUAAAAUUUAUUUACAACACAUGGGCCAUAUUGAAAAAAUUAAGGUGGUAUAUGGGGUCAAAAUGUAAAAGUUAGGUGUCAUAGUAGAAUUAAUAAAAUUUAUUUACAACACAUGGGCCAUAUUGAAAAAAUUAAGGUGGUAUAUGGGGUUAAAAUGUAAAAGUUAGGGUGUCAUAGAAAAAUUAAUAAAAUUUAUUUACAAAACAUGGGUCAUAUUGAAAAAAUUAAGGUGGUAUAUGUGGUCAAAAUGUAAAAGUUAGGGUGUCAUAGUAGAAUUAAUAAAACUUAUUUACAACAUAUGGGCUAUAUUGAAAAUAUUAGGAUGACAUAGUAGAAUUAGUGAAAGUGAGAUGGGAAUAAAUGCUUUGGACAGUGACGACUAGUUGUUGUCACUAAUUUAGAACUGGCAACCAUAUUGUGACGAUAUUUUAAGUUGUCACUGUAGGACAAGUUUCAGUGACAACAUGUUUUCCAGUUGUGACAAUGGUGAUCUCCCGCCACACUGGAUAGUUGCGCGCCUUCCAUAUUGUAACGACUUAUCCCGUGUUGUCACUGUUGAUGGGUGAACCCACGAUCAAGUAUGACGACAUUAAAAGUCAUUCCUAAAGUUUCAAUUGUGACAACUUUCUCUCUUGUCGCAGAGAAUGUUGUCACAAAAGGCCAAAUUUCUUGUAGUGAACCCAUAUUAAUAUGACUACUCAUUUCUCUAUUCUUCUCAUUCAUACAAUCUUAAGGGCAAAAAGUUGACCAUUCUCAAAUCUCAAACUCUGAAAAGCAAUCAUAUUUGAUCAGGAUGUAAAUUGAAAAUACCCAUAUACAUACUAUUGCUAAGAUGUGUGAUAUUUGCACUCUUAUAUUAGCCUCUCAUAUUGAAAUUCACCUACUGAAUAAAAGGCCAUCUAUGAGUGUGAGUGGCAAAUUUGGGAGUGGAAAUAUCACUUUUUUGUGUCUAAUUAGAUGCACGUAUUGGUUUUAUAUGUUUAAGGAGAAAACUUUUGAAUAUAUACAAAAUUAAUUAUUAGAUUCAACUUCACAUAUAAAAGAUCCCAUGUAUUUAGGACCAAGUACAUAAAUUUGAAAUUUGGCAGACAAAAAAUUGAAAUAAUUAAUUAUUGAAUAGAUCACAUGUAUUUAGUUUUGAAAAAAAUUUUCUUGGCAUAGUAAAUAGAAUUUUGAAUAAAUCAACAUGUAAUGCUAAUGCAAUUAAUAACAAGUUGAACUUCACAGAUUAACAACAAAAUAGCAAGGUCAAAAAUAUUUAAAGAGGAAAACUUUAAAUUUUUGAUAAAACAAAAGUUAGGUGUACAAUUCAAUUUCAUUAAAUCUAAUGAAGCAUAAUAAAGAUCUUCAAUGAAAAUUUUUGAAAUUUCAUAGGGACUAAAAACAAUCAAAAACUUGGCUGUCCCCGCAGCUUCCCGACGCCCCUGAAAAAUUGGCCACAUGCAUGGUUUAUUGCCCCGCUCAAAACGAAUGAUUGGCAUUCUGAAAGAUUAUUUUGCUGAUGUCCAUGAAAAGAUUUAUGUGACAUCCUAUAAAACUGAUGGGGACAAAUAUUCAAAGAAUUUAUUGUAAUUAUUAUUAUUAGAAUAGGAAAGAAGAAUCUCUUAUCCAUCUGUCCCCUCCUCUUUGUCUGCAUUGAACAAUGUUCUGUAGUAUAAGCAGGAAUGAUUGUACAAUUUAAACUAGUAAAGCUAAAAUCAACCAAACAACUGAACCACUAACAAUACUUAAAAAGGAAACCACCAGCAUUUGGGCUGGUGGCCACCACCUAACUUGGUGAGGUGGGUGUGUUGUGCACCUUUUUGAUUCGGUGAUGGUUCAGUCCUUUCCGAAUUAUUUCUUGGCCUCCUUAGGUUCGCCCCCCUCCCCCUUAGUGUAGGAUAGAUUAGGUUAUACAAAGUUGUCGUAUCCGCCAAAAAAAAAAAGAAAACUAACAAUACUUAAAAAUGAAACCAGGUACCAUUACAUCUUUGUAAUAGUAGAUUGACAUAUAUAAUUUGAUAUCAAAGUAGAGAACAAACUAAACAAGGAUUUAUUUAAUUAUGGCAACAUAAUGGAUAGAACUCCCAAGCUGCAGAAGACAUACGUAAAAACCAUCAGAGCAACAAACAUAGAUCACUUGGGAGGCGUUAACAUGUUUCUGUACUAUAUUUAGUGCUUCGGAACCCAGACAAUGUGAUCCUCAGGAAGGAAAUGGCAGAUUGGAACAGUUCCUGGCUUCACCUUCAGCAGCUGAAAAGCCAAAUGCCUUGGGUUCCAUGCUGACGUAUCCCGGUGACAAACAGCUACAGCCUUGACUUUUGCUCCAUCGGCACCAACUAAAUUAACCAUAUAUGCAUCUGUAUUCUGUGUGGUGUGGCAGUAGAAAACUGCGUAGAAAUAGUUUUGCCUGUGGCAAGAAACUAUUUCUUUAUCGUUGUUGUUCAACUUGGAAACAGACACAAUACCAUAUUUCUGGACUUCUGGAUCUGUUUUCUGUGCUUCGUUAGAAAUUGCUAGAACAUCUUUGCCCAGCUUUGAAGUAGUGAAAUCAACCAUUGAUUCGAGAGAAGUCGCACAAUACUUGUCUUCUCCUUUCAUUGCGGGCACCUCGCAUUCUGCUAUCGUUUCCUUAAUAAUUCUAGCAUCUUGUGAUUGUGGAUUCAGUGAGUAUUUGUUCAAAAUUUCAGGAACAGAUUUUGAUGAGAAGGGAAUCGAAUUAGCAACCUGGCGGGGCAGGAAAGCCGUAGGACUUUUCACUGAUUCAACAAACUUCAUAUUCAUGCUUGAGCCGCGAUUGAGGUCCAUUUUCAAGAAAAAGACUUUCACUUUUGGGUCAAUAUGGAGCUCAUCUUCAGUAGGAUUUCCACAAUAAUGUUUGAAACUACAGCUGUCAUCAUAUGUUUUCAACCUGAAAUUGCCCCUUUCCGGCCACUUCCCUGUAUUUAUUGGAUGAGCAACAAAUUAGUACAACAUAUAAAUCCGGCCAGCUUUUAUUUCUGGUAAUGGACUACAAUGUCCCUGCGCAAAUUCUUCCAGCAAUAUCCCCCUUUUUAAGAUCCUUGUCAUAUGCUUGCUCAUGAUUAAUGGAAGAGUAAAAUUAUUAAAAGAAAAGCAUGUUAGAUCUUUUUCUUUUCUUUUUUUUUUAACACGGUACAAGAAAACCCCUGUAAUUAUUGAAGUACUUUUUCUUUUUGUUUUGUUUUAAGUGAAACUAGAAGUUUUCUAUUACAAUUUCUCCUUUUUUUUUUAAGGUUUUGAACUUGAUGAGUGUCUUUCAAUUCCCCCAGAAUCCAAGGGAAACAAACAAAGACGCAACUCGAGCAAUAGAAGCACAGUAAACGGUAGAUGUAGGAAAGGACCAUUUCUGAGACAAACCAUCUUUUAGCAGGUCUCUAACAGCUUUGGGCAUAGGAAUGUUUGGAAGCUCGGAUUUCCAGUAAGCUUCAAGAUCUGCAUGGUUUGCCCCAACUCCUAGCUGAAAUAUAUUUCACAAUACGGAAAAAGAGUUAUGCAGUCAGUUUGCACACUAUCCAAAGUGCGAGCAAAUUAUCUAUCUAAAAAUUAACGUAGCUUAACUUUUUCAGUAAUGUACACUCACAAAAAGAAAAGAGAGAAAGUAGAGAAGCUUCAGAAAUUCCAUAAUAGUUUAUGCGCACGAGCCACGGUAGGCUGCUAGUAUGCAAGACGGAGUGAAGAUAGUAAUAAAAGCCAAUAUAUUUGAGCGAGAUGGCACAAGAAACUGGGCAGCUUUAUUUAUAAGCGGAAGAGCCAAGUGCGAUUGCCAAUUGUUUGAGAGGGGGACAGUUUUGAUAUGGUGGCUGUACGGCACCAAUCAAGUUUUGACAUUGUUACUCUAAACAUGCACCUUAUCUACGAGUAGGCUUCUUGAGGGACAGUGAAGAUAAUACUGAAGGCAAAAAUACAUAAUUGAGAUUUCACAGGAAAUUGGCCGCAUUUUAGAUAAAUGAACUUAAUCAUCACCUACAAUUAAAUGUGUGACUAAGAAAACCGUCAUCUGUACCUUGAUUGUCACCAAGAAAACUGUCAUAUGUACUUUUAUUGUUACCAAAAAUCCGAUUGGUGAAAAUACUACCAACUUAUAACAUUGAGAAUUGAGUAUCUAGUAGUAUACCUAAAAAAGAAAAAAAAAUUCCAUUUGAGAACCCUAAGAACAUAAUACUAAUAUCUCCAAAGCUCAUCAAAAUUCAGCAUAAUCAUGCCACAUGUAAAAGUGGGUACAUGAUAUACAUGGAUGAGGAAAUUGUGGGCUAAUGUGGAGUGAUAGGUGCCGAACCUGUGCAAUAAUAAAUCACUACUUGAGAGAAAUACAAAUUUUGCAUAUAGUGACGAGUAGAGUCGAAUCCACAGGGACUGGAGAUAAUUCGUUUCUUUUAGAAUUCAAAGUAUGGAGGUUUUCAGGAUUAAAUGCUAACUAAUUAAAUGCAAAAAAUAAUUAAUUAAAAGAAAUAAUUAGAGAAACUCUAGCCAAGGAUACACUUCAGAAAUGGUUCAUGUACUGAUCAUCGAUUCACAGAUAAUUCCAAUAUUUAUUAAUAGAUUAGUUAUAGUUGUCAUGCACGCGAUAAACAACCAACCUUUCCUUAAUUUCUCGAUAGUUAAGGUACGACCGUUAACUAUUUCUCUAACUCGGAAACAACCUUAGGUACGACCGUAGGAUUUAAUUUCUAGAUUGCAUUAAUAAUUAGAAAAGUCCAAUCCUAACUAACAAACACGCUACGAGGGUUUGUUUAAACUAGAUCGUAUGUUCCCCUGACAUAAACCCAAUUACGCCAGUUGCUACUGGGAUGGAGAUAAUCGAACAAUUACGGAUUCAACUACCCCUAAUUAGCAAAUAGCCUACGUGAAUAAUUAAAUAUUGCGCACCUAUUCAAUCAUACACGAUAGCUAUACCAACAAUUAAAAGCAGAAAACAUAUAAAUGCCAAUAAAUGAAGGAAAUAAUUAAAAUAAUUUAGAUCUCACAGUAAUUGCCGAACCAAAUCUUCAGUUGUCCUUUGACUAGAAUUAAGAAGCUAGUUCUCCAUUAAUAGAGAACCAGCCGUGCGAAAAUAAAACAAUCGGAGCUUUCUAAUGUUUUCAGAUGGGAAAAGGAAACUAAACCUGAGCCCCCCAAUUACACGUGAAUCUGGCCCUUUUAUAUCUUCAGUAGCCGCCGCCCCCGAGAAAACUAACGUCUGACCUUAAAAAGCAAAAGCUAAGCUAAUGACUAAAUGCCCCUCCCGUAAAUCUGGCUUUUUUCCUCCUUUAUAGCGCCACCAGGAGCCAAGAAAACGUUUGACCCAAUUAACGAAACCAAAGCUAAUCUUUUGGAGUUUUAAUCCCAUGUUUCUCGCGGUUCACGUGGACCCAACCUUCUAAUUGCCCACUUUUGUUGCUACCAAGCCCGCGGGUCCGGCCUUUAGGUGAGUCUCCUCAGUUUCUGGCGUGGGCACGCUCUGACAUGAAGGGUCUUCUGGAAAUUUGCCUCAAGAGAUUACUUUUAACACCAACCACCUACAAUUCACACAAAUAUCAAAUAUGAGCAAAAUCUCAAUACGUAGCACAGUAAGUAGCCAAAAUUGGGACAAAAUAACAGUGCAAAAUGUGCCCAAUAAUUGCUCUAUCAAAUCCCUCCACACCUAGACAAUGCUUGCCCUCAAGCAUUUCAAAGCUCAGAAAUACAAUCAAGAAAACAUAGGUCCUGCAGUAAUCUACACUAACACAAGCAUCCCACAUUCUUGACAAUGCCGCCAAAAUUAGAAUACACUGGAUAGGUGGUGAUCCGAAGAAUAUAAGCAGUAAUACUCGUCACCUUCAAGAAAAUGUAUGAAUACUAGGAACGCUCAAAUCAACAUUAGGAAAUGACAUUACCAUAGGCUUGCACAUUUAUCACAUCUCCACCACUGAAAAGUGAACUAAAUAUACAAAUCAAAGGGACUUUAAUAGGGUUGUAAUAGGGCUUAGGUAAAAGGCGGGAUAAGAAGGUAAAAAUAGGGUAUAAUAUGUCAAGAGAAUGUCUGAUAUCCACCACAUCACCACAACGCUUCAUCAGAGAAAUUUCACGAGCAAGGCAUUUUCAUUUGCCAUUUCCACUGUGCAAGUGUCAAAACUCUUCUCCUGUUCUCUUUUUUUUUUUUUUUGAACAAGCGGCUCACAAGGCGUGGGCACGUCUUGUAGGCCGGAGUCUUCUGCUCACGAGCUUUUUUUUUUUUUUAACGGAGCAGAUGUCUUGCAAGGCGUGGGCACGCCUUGUAGGCUGGAGUCUUCUGCCCACCAGCUCAUUGCCGACUUCUCCCCCUUCCCUUUUUUUCUUUUUAUCUCAGAUACACAGAGCACCGUACAACUUCUAUUCCGACAACACUCGCUACCUUAGAUUCAUUUGCCUUGCACAAACAACGGAAUUCAGACAUUUCUUGACGACACAAGGUUAAACAAGAAAGUCUAAAAAGGUCAUGGGUUAUCAAACACGGCUAAUCAAAUAAUAGUGAAGGAUAAAAGCUCAAAUAGGUUCACUACGGGGAGACAAGAUGAAGGGCAUGGUUUGUAGAAAGUUAAAGAAGGUUAAAUCCUAAAUGCCCUUAUCAUUUGAAAUGCAUCCAGUUCAACAAAAUGUGGUCUUGACAUGUACAAAAUAGCAAGUUCUAGAAUGCCAAUACCAUGUGUGAUACCCACUCAAUCAAACAAGAAUAGAGCGAACAAGGAUAAUGUGCUCAUACAAGGCCCAAAAGCUCCCAAAAGUUUCAAGAAUGAGUCAAGUCCAGCAUAUUCAAUAUUCAACACUAUUGUCAAGGAAAAACAAAAUGUAUAACUAGUAUGUAUAACCACAUAUCCGUGCACCUUGAUUGUGCAAUCCAUCAUAGCAACAUGCUCUAGCAGUUAACAAAUGUAGGACUAGAGAAGUCAACUAACUACACUUUUUUUCUUUUUUUUCUUCAUUUUCCUCUUCAUUUUUUUCUUUUUUUUUUGUGUUUCUUUUUUUUUUUUCUUAAAAGCAAAGCAAAAGGAGAUAAUAAUGGAAGUCAUCCCUGUAGACACCAAAUUUUGGUGUAAUUUCAUUUGCUGUUUAUUUUUAAUUUUUUCAUUUUAGUUUUAUUCGAUUUUUAGUUUUAGUUUCUAGUUUUAUUUUUAUUUUUAAGCUGUUAGCAUAGAAUCUCUUGGAAAAUGAAUGAAAAUGAGAAAGUGAAAAGAAAAGAGGAGAGAAAAGAAAAAAAAAGAAAAUUGCCCACAAAAUAUGUUUUAUGUCUUCUAAAUUCAAUCUUUUGGCAUUUUGUUUAUUUUUGUUAAGUUAUUUUGAAAAAAAAAAAGAAAAAAAAAAGAGAAAAACGAUGAAAAUAGGAAAUGGAAAAGAAAUGGAAAUUGCACUUUAUUGUUCUAGUUUAUUUUUCAUCAAAUGUUAAUUAUUUUGUUUUGGUUAUUUUUUUUUAUUAUUAUCAAUUUUGUUUGUUUCAAAAAAAAAAUCAAAAAAUCAAAAAAUCACAAUUCUAUUUCUGCCGAAUCCAUUUCCAUUUUACAUUCCAGCACCUUCCAUCUCUAUGCCGACUUAUAACCACUAAUGCACUCCACUAUAUCACACACUAGUAUAUCAACUACCAUCCACCACAAUAUAUUUCUUUUCAAUGGCUUUUCAGCCGUGAGUGAGCAAGGCUUCCUGGGCCAACUUUAAAACAAAAACAUCUCCAAUUCUGCCGGAUGACAUCUGAGUCUCCACUCACACCCCAUUUCCCUUCAUUCGUGACUUGUUUCCCAUUUGAGCAACUCCAACAUUCCAAAACACUUCCUCUCCAGCCUCUGCCUUGGGACCAUCGACAGAAAGUGCGAGAGAGAGAGAGCGGCAACCGUUCAUCCGAGAGGGAAGAAAAGGAUCCGCGAGCGGCAAAAAUUUUUCUGGUUCCGUCCGUGAGUUGAAGUAAGACAGAGAGAAGCUGUGAGCGAGCUUCACCCUUCUGCACUUCUGUUCUACCAGCUGCAAUCAAGUUUCCAGCCGCAACAACCACCAUCUCCACCGACAACCACAGCCACACCAACCCAAAACAGAAAACCUGUCGCGUGCUUGUGAGCCGAGAGGAGGAAAACAUUUUCCAGAUUUUCGUGUGAAAGCUUGACUAGUUGUGAGUUAUUCUUUAAUGGGGUAUGUGUACACCUCUUGGCUUGUAAUAGAUAGAGCUUUGGCGAGCAAUUUGGUCCAUUUUCCCCUUCCCCUUUUGUUUUAAUUAGUGAAUGUAAUAAGUUCAUUAGUUUGGUUGCAUGCCUUUGUGUUACGUGUUACUUGCUUUAUUAGGUUUUGCAUCUAGUCGAGCAUGUUAAGUGUUACGUGCUACGUGUUUAUGGGCGUUUGGCAUGUCUACUAGCUUUCUGUAGUGUAGAUGAAUGGAAUGGAUGAAUGUACGUUUCCACUAGUCCGACGCUAGUCGGAAUUCAUAGAAUGGGCUAGUCCAACGCUAGACCCUUAGGGAUUUCCCCUCAUUAGCAUAAUCAUUUGCUUGUUCACCACAUAUCAUGCAUUUUUCUUAGUUUUAUCACUUGGCAUGCUCCUCGAACCCCCUUUCCCUUCAUUUUAGGAUUUUUGCAUAUCAUGAUAGUUGUAGGGUCCAUUUGCUUGAGGGUCCCUUUCUGAUAAGGGAAACGAGCGAGUGUGGCUACUCGAUAGCCUUAGCACACUAGUUUUGCCUUCUAAUCAAAGGGAAAAUCGAAGUCGACAAGUUAGGAGUCAUUCCCAUACCCGACCUGAUGCAUUCCCUUAGGUUCAUUCAUUCUCAUUUAUCACUCACUCAUUCUUUUCAAUUCACAUUUCCUUUCCUUAUUGUUCAUUUUGAUUUCUACUUCACGAAAUUGCAUUUAAUUACACCUAUAUGCACUUAUCACUAUAUUUCAUACACUUGCACACAAAUACUUGGAAUUUUCAUACAAUUGCACACGUGCACCUUUUCAUACACUUGCACACAAACACUUGGAUUUUUAAAUUUCUUUUCAUACACUUCCACACUUGCACAUUUGAGUCUCAUUUGCAUUAAUCGACCUCUAUGGGGUUUUCCUUUGUUGGCCGCCACAAUUCAUGUGGUUUGGGAUCAAAAGCCUCACGAGAGACAUCGUAGAAUUUAGGAUUGCAUUUUUCUCUCCGUUUUGCAUUCAUAUAGUCAUAUCCAACGUGCGAACAUAUAUUGGGUAGAAAAUUAGGAAAGGUAAGGUUAAGUCGCGCAACUAGCCUUGGCUAGGUCAAAGGGGUGCCUUGGAUUCUAUCCUUGCCUUCCCCUUUGUCAAACGUGACCCCCGAACCUUUUUCUUUGGCUUACGUGGACUAGGAGUCGUUUUAAAAAGGGUUUUACUACUUUGUCUUUAAAAAACACUUUUUGGGUGACUUGGUACACCCCAAAUCUAUACCAAGUGGCGACUCCGUUUUCAUAUUUAAAAAACCCUUUUUAAAAUUUCAAUUGGCCAAAUCGUCGCUUUCCAAAGUCCCAUGGCCUUUUUACCUUUCAUUUUGCACACGUUCACACCACACUUCACACACACAUCACUCACACAAUUCACACAUUCAAAAGUGGGGCGCGACAAUCCCCCCACACCUAAUACCUACAUUGUUCUCAAUGUAGAAAAGAUGAAUGAAGUAUAAGGAGAAAAUGAGAGAAACUUCCCUGACCACCGAGAGGGUGCAGCGAGACACUAAGGCGGAGAAGGGUGGGGUGGCUAGAAUCCAAUGUGAGCAAAGAAAGCCGUCUGAUGAGAGAGAUAGUGAUGGUGGGACGGGCAGCAGCGUGCGAUGGAUGGCGCGAGGGGGAGAGAGAGAGUUUCUAGCGGCAGUGGACAAGGGGGAAACCUUGGACUAAGACAAAACAAAGAAAAUUGAAAAGUAGAAGCUGAGACAAUGGAAAUUGAUAAAACCAUACAAGACAAGAAAAGAGAAAAGUAGAAAGUGGGAUUAGAGAGGGUCCUGGUCAAUCUUUGACUUUUGUUGGCGCAAAGGCUGGAAGGCGUGGGCGCGCCUUGGAAGCUAUAGUCUUCUGACCGUCAAUUCCAAAGCUUCAUUCCUUAGGCGUGACCAACUAAAGUGGGCAUGUCUAACUGCUAGCUUCCUGCCACAAAACAACAACCCACUAAAUGACACUAAUACUUAACAAAAAUUUCGAAAAUAUAACAAAACUAAAACAAAAGAAGCCUUGGGUUGCCUCCCAAGCAGCGCCUUUCUUUAAUGUCUUUGGUUAGACAUCGUCAUGUUUAUUCACGGAGGAUAAAAUCGUGUAGCUCGUUUCAGUACUUCAUCUUCUAUGUAUCCUUGAUAUCCCUCGUAAAUAGAGUAAUUCUUGAGCACACGAGGUAUGGUCUUCCAUGGAUUAGUAGAUGCCUCUAAACAAGUCGAUAAGAAUCUUAGUUCUUCACUUACUCCUCCAUUACGAACACUUAAUGGUUCGAGAUAUUUUUCCAUUGCAACUCUUAACUUAUUCCUGUCAUGAAACUCAAAAUUAUCUGGCAUAAUAAAAUCUAUUUCACUAACAGGAUUUAAAGAAUAAGAGUUCGAAAAAUAUUGACUAAGGAAUGGAGGAAAUGUCACCGCAUUUAGGGAUUGUUCACUGAAUUCAUUCACUUGAACAAUUUGGUAUUGGGAUCCUAUUUCUUCCACUUCAAUUCUCUUCUCAACUGCAUCUUUUGCUUCUUCUUCUUGAGACUCUUGCAGCUCUAUGUCAUUUGUCAGGAUAAUUGCACUCUUGACGGGUAUUUUACAUACGUGCAAGCUAAAAAAUACCGAAUUACACCCGUUCACUGCAAGUAUACAGAUCAACUAGUAGUUUAGGGUAUAUAUCGGGUCGAUUCCACAGGGAAGAGUGAACAAUUACCGGUAUUGCUAAAGCUUCUCUAUUAUUUAGACUAUCAAUAAAUUAUAACAAGUAAAACCUACUGAACUUAUGCAAGAAAAUAACAAAUGAAAGCUCCUUAGGUUGUGGUAUCCCUAACUACUCAUGCAAGUGCUAUUUUUUGAUCAUUGAGUACUACAUCUAAGCUAGUUAUGGUGUAAUUUCCUUAUGCAUUUGAAUCCUACUUUCGUAGUGAAUCAAUUAUACUCAUAACUAAUCCAUACCUAUUCUCAUGGUUAUGAAAUUAGUUACAAGUUCAUUUCUUCAAUGAAAUUACAUAAAAUUAAUCACCAAAACCCCAUAGGUGCACCUCUACUCUCGUGAGUGUACUCCCCAUGUUUAGCACUUAUUGAACUAAUAUUAAAUCUCAAUUUUCAUUGCAGAAAUAACACCUUAGAUAAUCACAAUUAAUGGUACCAGAUUAAUCAUGAUUUAAAGAGCUAAAGUGCUAAAUAACUUGCUCAAAUUAUGGCAGUCAAUUAGCCAAAUAAUAAAUACUAACAAUCAUAGAAAGUUCAACCAAACCCAAGGUAUAAACUUUAAAGACACAUAUUAAAUAUAAAAUCCAGAACUUGCAUAAUAACCAUAGUUAAGAAUCCAAUACAAAAGAUAAAGAAUUGGAGUAGAGAUAACCCAUGUCACUUGAGCUUCAACUCCUCCUUCUUCAUCUCCAUCUUCAUCCUAAUCUACCUAUUAUACAAGAAUGGAUUAACUACACUUACUACACUAUAUAUCCUACACUAAGGAAAUGGAAGAACUACAUUUCUGCACUUCAAGCUCUCUCCCGUAUGUUUUUUUUUUGUCUUCCCAAGUGUCUCUGCAUAUAAGCUGAUGAAAAUCUCCUUUCUAGUCCAAAAUUUCUGCUCUAAUGAUUCUCAAUUCUCCAUUUGUUAAGGAAGUCAAAAACAAUGACUUUUGACUUGGAAUAAGCCAUAUUGUAUGCUCUUUUUGUCUUCUGAAGCAUGUGCACCGAAUUCACUUGCAACUUAUAGCUGGAAAGUAGUCUGAACACAAGAGAAUUGACUGAACAAAUUGCAGAAUUUCGGCCAGAAAACGCGCCUACACAAAACGCGGUUACAAGUCACGUUUUGUGUACUCGCGUAUUCACUUUGGCCUUACUUCAUCUGUGAUUUUCUCUAUCAUAAAGGCCUAACUGGCUUUUGUACAAAACACAAAAGUUGUAGCCCUUUGAGUUAGCUUUUCAAUGCUUCAAGAAUCAUCCAAAUCGGAGCUUUGUAGCCUGAGAUAUGAUCAUAAUACUAAACACUGGUCAGAGCUCUGUUUUCCACUUUGGACAGCUGAGUUGAAUUUCGGUAUUUCAACUUUUGGGCUAUGAAAACGGCUGAAUUGGACUUUGAUGUUUUCAUACCAAAUUUAGAUCUCUUUCUUAGCUUUAAAUUGGUAUAAAGAUCACCUCAAUCUGAUCAAUGUAGCUCCAGAUAUAGUCGAAAUACUGAAGAGUGUCAAAACUGUCUUGACUUGCAUUUCCUUACUUAAACGUUUUUCACUUCAUUUUUCUUUUUACCACUUUGAAUUCAUCACCAAAUCUCUAUUUUUCACUUCAAUUGGCAUCCUUUGGUGGUUGAAUCAUCAUUCCUGCAUAAAAAUGAAGUUUUUACUAUUAAAAUCAAUAGAAAUGCAAUAUUAGCCACUUUUACCAAAAAUGUAUAUUUUUACCAAAACCUUAGUUAUUUUAAUUAUAAAACUAAAUAAUCAAACCAAAUUAACUAAUAAAAUGCACUUAAAAAUACGUAAAAUAAAUCCUUAUCAAAUACCCCCACACUUGAAUCAUUGCUUGUCCUCAAGCAAUAAAAAAAAUACAAACCAACAAUGAUCCAAAAUUUGAAAAUAAACAUAUGUAGCAUUUCAACUUCAUUUCCUAAAAACAAAGUAAAUAACCAUUAUGCAAUUAUUCAAUUAAGUUCAAGUACUCAUAAUAUCAAGUAAAGGAGAGCCAAUUAUACCGUAAUUAUAACAAGUUUAAUUCAAUUUCUCAUUCUUACUUAAUUUCAUACGCAAGUAACUCAUAUGGUCAAUAAUAUGCUUCCUAAACUCAUGAUCUUUUUUUUAUUCAAAUUUAAAAAGGGAUUUAUUUAUAUAAUAUAGCUAAAUAUUACUUAAGUUGUGAAAGUAUCUUUUUACGCGAGGAUCGACAUUUUUAGAUGAAGAUCACCGGUUACUCAAUACUUCACAUACUCAAGUUGUUUUGCAUACUCUUAAUUCAAGUACCGUUUUACGUGAAAGUCGACAUUUUUAGAUGAAGACUCCCGGUUACUAAGUACGAGAAUCAUUGGAGUAGAAUAAAUCUUAUUCAUUUUUUUUUCUUUUUUCAUUUUUUCUUUUCAUUAUUUUUCAUUUUUCUCUCUUUUUUUUUUUAGUAAAAAUAAUAAACAUUCCCUCAAUUGAUUAAUCAUGAGAGGAGUGUUGCAAUUACUGACCAUAUUUAUCACUUAACUUAUAAAAUCAAAUGAAGCGAAGAAAUUUCAUCAAAUAUGCAAAAAAAUAUAGGCAUAAUUUUCUCCACUUUAAAAGAUAUACUUUUUUACAAAUGCAAAAAUUAUAAUCACAUAAUAGUCAUUUCCAAGUUAAAUGAGAAAAGAAGUGCUUAAAUCACAUAUAUUUAUUUCAAAUGUAGAAGGAAUUUGAACUACUAAUGGUAUGGAACUUGUUACCCCUUGGAUAAAAUCGAAAAAACUUUAAACAUUUUUGGGGCAAGUUUGCAAUUUCGGACAAGAUUUUAGAAAAAUUGUGAAUUUUAACACAAGUCUCAUAUUUGCAACUAAUAAGUCAAUCACAUACAAUGUAUAUAAUCUCAAUUCUCCCCCCACACUUAACAUACACAUUGUCCUCAAUGUGUAAAAAGGAAAAUCAAGAUAAAGAAAGUAAUACUCCCCUAUGAUGUGAUUGAAUAUGAAGUAUCAAGGUACGUUGUUCACCUGUCUUCAUCGCUUCAUGAAUUCCAUUUGGUAACCAUUAGUGAUAUAAACUUAAAAAUGGAAAUUGAGAAACAAAAGUGAUAACAAAGGCUUAAGAAAACAAAAUGGCGAUCCGUAACUUCAAGUCUUUGUUUUGGUGAUGUACCUAUAUAAAAUACACAAUAAACUAUGCAAGGUAUAAUAAAAUACAUGAGGCAAAGAAAAAGAAUGCGCAAGAAUGUCAUGUUUCCUUCAUUCUGGGGCAGAAUUGAAAACGUUGCUUACGUUUUCAAAACGUGGCAUAAAACGUGGCUCGAUGGAGCGUUUUCAAAACGUGGCUCGAUGGAGCGUUUUCUGCCACAUUUUCUGUUGCAAAUUUUUGCAGAAAUGCCAACUUUGAAAAAUUACACAUCUUUCUCCAAUUACUCAAAAUGCAUCAUAGAUCAUUAUUUCGACAAAAUUAUCAAUGCACGCACAUGUAAAAUGAUCAAAACAUGCAUUCUAAACCUCUUUAAUGCAUCAAAAACCAUAAUUACUGAAUUUGAGGUGUUGAGAUCUUUGAUCAAACUUCGCAUUUUUCACCUCAUUUGGUCACUUUUGCAUCUUUUUCCAAAACCUACAAAUGAAAAAUAACAAAAUAACUCAAACUCAUACUUUAAACAUAAAAUCACUCCAAAGUAACACGAACUUAAACAAAUAUUGGGUUGCCUCCCAAUAAGCGCUUCUUUAAAGUCAAUAGCUUGACUAUUUCACCUCAUUUUUCAAGGAGGUUUAGUUAACGAAUAAUCCACCAUUUUUGGCCUUGGUGGAUCAUUGUAAGGUGACUUAAUAGAAAAAGUCACAUGAUCUAAUAAUCUGAGAGAUGGAAGUGACUUAUAUAUUCCAAAUGUUUCAUAGAUAUUACCUUGAAUAUGCACCACUUGAGAACUUACCAAAGGAAAUGUCAUGAGAGUAUCUUGGGCAGGAAUACCUUUAGAACCUAUACUUUCAAUGCACUCCUCAAGAGGGGUGAAAAACGAGUCGUUAAAACUCUCUUCUUGAGGUUCAAAGUUAGUUCCAAAGAUAUUAUCAUGUGAAAUGGAUAUUUGCUCAUUGAAACACAAUUGAGAUUCAUCAUUUUCAUUAAAAUGCAACCCAUUUUCACAUACAACAUUCCCACCAUUCAUGCUAGGAUCAUUUUGCAAAUUAUUAGAGGAAAUAACUUCACACAAUGCAUUCAAUUGCUCAAGUAUUCUACCAAAGUGAGAAGCGUAUUCAUCUAUUCUUUCCUCAAUCCUAUCAAAACGGUCGAAAGUUGCAUUUGCUAGCUUUUCUAUUGCUGAAUCAAAUUGAUUAGAAAAAUUUUCUACAGCUAGCUCCCAAGAUGCAUUAGAAUCAUUAGCUAAUGGUUCACUUUCUAACUCCCAAGGCAGAGGUGCAUUAGCUAACUUCUCUAUUGCCAACUCCCAAGAUGGUUUUGAUUCAUAUUGGACACUUCCAGGUUGGUAAUCAUAAAAACAUGAAUAAUCACUAUAAGUACAUUGAUCAUCCCAACCAUAAGCAGGAGAAUUGCUCCAAUUAGCACUAUAUUGAUCAAAAUAGGGAUUGUAAUGCUCUAAUUCAUCAUAAUAAUCCACAUUUUGUGCUUGUCUACAUGUAUUAGAAGCAUGAUAACCUCCACACAAGUCACAAAUCCAAUGAUAAGAAUUAAAAGCAUUAGCAUUCCUCCCUUGCUUAAUUUCAUGCAUAAUUGUGUCCAUUUGAACUUGUAACAUCAUAACAUCAAAUUUAGCCUUUAAGCACCUUAAACCAUCUUCAAAAGACAUACAUUCAGUAAAUUCUUGGUUACCUCUAUUGAAGGAGCUUUGCACUUGGUAACCAUCCAUUGCCAAUCUUCCACUUCUCAAACUUUGUCCUCCAAAUUGACCUACCCUUCUCAUUACCUAAAAUUGCUUUUAAACAACCUCAAAAGCAAAAUUAGUAAGAAAAAUAGGUAAUGAAACACAUACACAUAAAAUACAAAAAAUAACAGAAAAUAACAUUCAUAUUAUAACUAAUAUUAUGUCUAAACUAAUAAAGUUGCUCUUCACACCGAUAUUGCCAAAUCAUCCCCGGCAACGGUGCCAAAAACUUGACGGGUAUUUUACAUACGUGCAAGCUAAAAAAUACCGAAUUGCACCCGUUCACUGCAAGUAUACAGAUCAACUAGUAGUUUAGGGUAUAUAUCGGGUCGAUCCCACAGGGAAGAGUGAACAAUUACCGGUAUUACUAAAGCUUCUCUAUUAUUUAGACUAUCAAUAAAUUAUAACAAGUAAAACCUACUGAACUUAUGCAAGAAAAUAACAAAUGAAAGCUCCUUAGAUUGUGGUAUCCCUAACUACUCAUACAAGUGCUAUUUUUUGAUCAUUGAGUACUACAUCUAAGCUAGUUAUGGUAUAAUUUCCUUAUGCAUUUGAAUCCUACUUUCGUAGUGAAUCAAUUAUACUCAUAACUAAUCCAUACCUAUUCUCAUGGUUAUGAAAUUAGUUACAAGUUCAUUUCUUCAAUAAAAUUACAUAAAAUUAAUCACCAAAACCCCAUAGGUGCACCUCUACUCUCGUGAGUGUACUCCCCAUGUUUAGCACUUAUUGAACUAAUAUUAAAUCUCAAUUUUCAUUACAGAAAUAACACCUUAGAUAAUCACAAUUAAUGGUACCAGAUUAAUCAUGAUUUAAAGAGCUAAAGUGCUAAAUAACUUGCUCAAAUUAUGGCAGUCAAUUAGCCAAAUAAUAAACACUAACAAUCAUAGAAAGUUCAACCAAACUCAAGGUAUAAACUUUAAAGACACAUAUUAAAUAUAAAAUCCAGAACUUGCAUAAUAACCAUAGUUAAGAAUCCAAUACAAAAGAUAAAGAAUUGGAGUAGAGAUAACCCAUGUCACUUGAGCUUCAACUCCUCCUUCUUCAUCUCCAUCUUCAUCCUAAUCUAGCUAUUAUACAAGAAUGGAUUAACUACACUUACUACACUAUCCUACACUAAGGAAAUGGAAGAACUACAUUUCUGCACUUCAAGCUCUCUCCCGUAUGUUUUUUUUUGUCUUCCCAAAUGUCUCUGCAUAUAAGCUGAUGAAAAUCUCCUCUCUAGCCCAAAAUUUCUGCUCUAAUGAUUCUCAAUUCUCCAUUUGUUAAGGAAGUAAAAAACAAUGACUUUUGACUUGGAAUAAGCCAUAUUGUAUGCUCUUUUUGUCUUCUGAAGCAUGUGCACCGAAUUCACUUGCAACUUAUAGCUGGAAAGUAGUCUGAACACAAGAGAAUUGACUGAACAAAUUGCAAAAUUUCGGCCAGAAAACGCGCCUACACAAAACGCGGUUACAAGUCACGUUUUGUGUACUCGCGUAUUCACUUUGGCCUUACUUCAUCUGUGAUUUUCUCUAUCAUAAAGGCCGAACUGGCUUUUGUACAAAACACAAAAGGUGUAGCCCUUUGAGUUAUCUUUUCAAUGCUUCAAGAAUCAUCCAAAUCGGAGCUUUGUAGCCUGAGAUAUGAUCACAAUACUAAACACUGGUCAGAGCUCUGUUUUCCACUUUGGACAGCUGAGUUGAAUUUCGGUAUUUCAACUUUUGGGCUAUGAAAACGGCUGAAUUGGACUUUGAUGUCGUCAUACCAAAUGUAGAUCUCUUUCUUAGCUUUAAAUUGGUAUAAAGAUCACCUCAAUCUGAUCAAUGUAGCUCCAGAUAUAGUCGAAAUACUGAAGAGUGUCAAAACUGUCUUGACUUGCAUUUCCUUACUUAAACGUUUUUCACUUCAUUUUUCUUUUUACCACUUUGAAUUCAUCACCAAAUCUCUAUUUUUCACUUCAAUUGGCAUCCUUUGGUGGUUGAAUCAUCAUUCCUGCAUAAAAAUGAAGUUUUUACUAUUAAAAUCAAUAGAAAUGCAAUAUUAGCCACUUUUACCAAAAAUGUAUAUUUUUACCAAAACCUUAGUUAUUUUAAUUAUAAAACUAAAUAAUCAAACCAAAUUAACUAAUAAAAUGCACUUAAAAAUACGUAAAAUAAAUCCUUAUCAACUCUCAUCGUCAUCAUGAUCGAUAAUCAUCUGUGAAGGUAAUUCUUCACUCAUUCGAGAAGUCAAUUGCGUUAUUCUAGAUGUCAUUUGAUCCAUUUGAUCUGCCAAGUUACGCAUGCUCGCUUGUGUCUCCUGAUGAAAUUGAUAUGUGUUAGUAGCUAAUAAUUCAAUCAUUUCUUCAAGAGACAUACCUGACAUAGAUGAUGGUUGUUGAGACUCUUGCUGUUGAAAACCUAUUGACCUUUGUUCAUAAUUAAAAUUGGAAUCAUUCCACCAUCCUUGAUCAUACCCAUUUGAAUAAGGGUCAUACCAUGUUUGAUAUUGAGGUGAAAAAUCUCCAAAACUAUCGAUUGGAGCACCUGGGCCAUCUUGAAAUGCGGGAUAUAUGUCAGUUGAUUGACCUGAGGCAAAAUAAGUUCCACAAUUCGCAACAGCCUAUUGAUCAUUAGAAAAAGCAUGAGUCUCAUAACCCCAUCUAGAAAUAAAAUCCACUCUAUCACCAAAAUACAAAAUAUUAGUAGCCAUAAAAAAAAAGAUGAACUAAAAAAGAAACAAAUUAAUCAAGCGCCAGUCCUCGGCAACGGUGCCAAAAAUUAACAGGUGCCGAACCUGUGCAAUAAUAAAUCACUACUCGAGAGAAAUACAAACUUUGCAUAUAGUGGUGAGUAGGGUCGAAUCCACAAGGAUUGGGGAUAAUUCGUUUCUUCUAAAAUUCAAAGUAUGGGGGUUUUCAGGAUUAAAUGCUAACUAAUUAAAUGUAAAAAAUAAUUAAUUAAAAGAAAUAAUUAGAGAAACUCUAGCCAAGGGUACACUUCAGAAAUGGUUCAUGCACUGAUCAUCGAUUCACAGAUAAUUCCAACAUUUAUUAAUAGAUUAGUUAUAAUUGUCAUGCACGCGAUAAACAACCAACCUUUCCUUAAUUUCUCAAUAGUUAAGGUACUACCGUUAACUAUUUUUCUAACCCGGAAACAACCCUAGGUAUGACCGUAGGAUUUAAUUUCUAGAUUGCAUUAAUAAUUAGAAAGGCCCAAUCCUAACUAACAAAUAUGCUACGAGGGUUUGUUUAAACUAGAUCGUAUGUUCCCCUGACAUAAACCCAAUUAUGCCAGUUGCUACUGGGAUGGAGAUAAUCGAACAAUUACGGAUUCAACUACCCCCAAUUAGCAAAUAGCCUACGUGAAUAAUUAAAUAUUGCGCACCUAUUCAAUCAUACACGAUAGCUAUACCAAUAAUUAAAAGUAGAAAACAUAUAAAUACCAAUAAAUGAAGGAAAUAAUUAAAAUAAUUUAGAUCUCACAGUAAUUGCCGAACCAAAUCUUCAGUUGUCCUUUGACUAGAAUUAAGAAGCUGGUUCUCCAUGAAUUAAGAAGCUAGUUCUCCAUUAAUGGAGAACCAGCCGUGCGGAAAUAAAACAAUCGGAGCUUUCUAAUGUUUUCAGAUGGGAAAAGGAAACUAAAGCUGAGCCCCCCAAUUACACGUGAAUCUGGCCCUUUUAUAUCUUCAGUAGCCGCCGCCCCCGAGAAAGCUAACGUCUGACCUUAAAAAGCAAAAGCUAAGCUAAUGACUAAAUGCCCCUCCCGUAAAUCUGGCUUUUUUCCUCCUUUAUAGCGCCGCCAGGAGCCAAGAAAACGUUUGACCCAAUUAACGAAACCAAAGCUAAUCUUUUGGAGCUUUAAUUCCAUGCUUCUCGCGGUUCACGUGAACCCAACCUUCUAAUUGCCCACUUUUGUUGCUGCCAAGCCCGCUGGUCCGGCCUUUAGGUGAGUCUCCUCAGUUUCUGGCGUGAGCACGCUCUGAAAUGAAGGGUCUUCUGGAAAUUUGCCUCAAGAGAUUACUUUUAACACCAACCACCUACAAUUCAUACAAAUAUCAAAUAUGAGUAAAAUCUUAAUACUUAGCACAGUAAGUAACCAAAAUUAGGACAAAAUAACAGUGCAAAAUGUGCCCAAUAAUUGCUCUAUCAUGGAGGCAACAAAAUAAAUCAAAAUGUGGAAUCUCUUAUCUAUUUAAGUAGUUUUGUUAUGUCUUACUUGUACCUAAAACUAUUACGUUCUACAAUUAAAGCAUAUGGUUAUUGUUAUGAGCUUGUAACUUCGAUUCCUUAGCAUCAACUUGCGUUUAGUUUUAGCUGAGUAUCAAGCUAUGCAAAACAUACUUAGAUAAGUUUGGUAUACACACCGAAUUGCAUUCACAUAUUAUAAUUCCACCUAUAAACAGCAACUCUAAAUUAUAAUAUUUUUAAACAAUAGAUACAAACAUGAAAAUCGUUAAAAUUAAAGAGGUAAAUUAGUCAUUAGUUUUGCUUUUGUCGCUUAAGUUGUACAUCACUUAGUAUAGAAUUUUCCAUGUAGUAUAUUUCAAAGCACAUAAACAUAAUAAUGUUUGAUGAUAUAAGAAGAGCUUAGAUGAAAAUAUAUAAUAAUAUAAGAAAAGUCAUGUAAAUUGAAUAUAAUAAUAUUAGUUAAAGGUAUUUGCAUUUUACAUGGUAUGGGCUUCCUAAGGAAAUGUCAAGAAUAUUCUUAUUUGACAACUAAAAUGAUUGAAGUGACCAAAAUAAAUAAAUAUAAUAUGCAUCACAUUUUAACCCGUCAUGGUUUUGUGUUUUAUUACAUAAUCCCAAUUAUUUUAGUGCUAUACCACAUAACCCUCAUAUGAUUUUUAAAAUACAUAACCCCCUAUGGUUAAUUAAUAAUUUUAGAUUUUAUAGAUAUUUUAAUUGAUUUCAUUAUGAAAUACAAAUAUAGUCAUUUUGACACUUUAGUUCAAAUUAUGAGAGGAUUAUAUAAUUUUUUCAAAAAGUCUUGCAUCUCCUUGUUCCAAGAAUGCCCUUGAUUGCCUGCUAUUUGAACUCUUUUCGGAUAAUUGUCAAAUUGGUCCUUAUUAUGGUAUUUUCGUUCUACUCCCUGAAAUAUAUGCAAAUUACGAAAAGUGAGUAGAAUCCAGCAAUUAAUCCACAUCAAGUCAGACAAUAGGGGAAAUUAAUAAUAAAAUAAAUGAUAAAAUUGCGCGCUAUCAUUAGUCAUUAGUUUGUUUUUGUCGCUUAAGUUGUACAUCACUUAGUAUAGAAUUUUCCAUAUCGUAUAUUUCAAGGCACAUAAACAGAAUAAUGUUUGAUGAUAUAAGAAGAGCCUAGAUGAAAAUAUACAAUAAUAUAAGAAAAGUCAUGUAAAUUGAAUAUACUAAUAUUAGUUAAAGGUAUUUGCAUUUUACAGGGUAUGGGCUUCCUAAGGAUAUGUCAAGAAUAUUCUUAUUUGAAAACUAAAAUGAUUGAAGUGACCAAAAUAAAUAAAUAUAAUGUACAUCACAUUUUAACCCGUCAUGGUUUUGUGUUUUAUUACAUAAUCCCAAUUAUUUUAGUGCUAUACCACAUAACCCUCAUAUGAUUUUUAAAAUACAUAACCCCCUAUGGUUAAUUAAUAAUUUUAGAUUUUAUAGAUGAGUACUUUUGAUAUUUUAAUUGAUUUCAUUAUGAAAUACAAAUAUAGUUAUUUUGACACUUUAUUCCAAAUUAUGGGAGGAUUGUAUAUAAUUUUUUCAAACCACAAGAGAGUUAUAAAUUUACUAAUAUUUGGUUCCCAUGUGAGGGCCAUAUUUAUUGUCAGAUAGUCCAUUAGCGUAGGUCCAUAUGACAAUUUGGAAGUAUUGAUGACUUGAUGUCAAGAGGCUUGAACUAAAAGACUAUUUUUUUAAAAAAAAAAAUCAAAAAAACUACUUUCAUUUAGUCCAAACAAAAUACAAAAAAAAAAAACGUACUAAAAAUUUUCAAAUAAUUUAAACUUAAAGUUUGGUGCUACUUGGACUUUUCUAAAGUGCUAUAAAAACGCAGCAGGUUCACGACAGAAAACAGUAGACUAUUGAGAGGUUGUAUCCAGGAAGAUUUAUUAAGGAUUAAAAUUGAAUCCUACAAUUCUCAGACAGUUUAGUAAUUGCCCUUCACUUUCUUCGUCCUAUGAGUCUGGAGUGGAGUGCUGGUAGUGGUCGACAGUGGAGGGAGUAGAGUGGUGGUUGUGGGGAGGGAGGGAGGAGGGACAAUGUGUUUGGGGCCCGGGGGAGGGGGGGGGAGAAAAGAAAAAAAAAAUUUUUUAAAAAAGAAAGUUUUUUUUUUCAUAUUUCUUAAAUACCUAACUAUACAGAAGUUUUUUCACAAAUUUUAUAAUAAAUUACAACAAAAUUUUAUACAAAAAACCAAAAAACUCACCAUUUAAAUGGGGGUAUUGGUUUGACAAAAAAAAAAAAAAAUGGGGUAUUGGAUAAUCAGAUAACCCUUCUUCUUAUAUUAGCUAGGGUCACAAAGCUCAAGUUAUUUCCAUGAUUUCAAUGUGUUUCUCUUGGAUUCUAUCUCACAUAUAUUAAUUGCUGCGUUGGUUUUGUACUUGAUGUCCAUUUUGGGUAUAAGUUGGGCGAAUAAAAGUAUAAUUAGAAGGUGAAUAUGGGAACAGAUAUCUGUUACAAGGUUGCAGAAACCUUCAGAAGGACCCUGCAGAUGAUAAUCUUGCAAAAAAGGGUAGCCCCUAGAGGAUAUCUCUUAUAAUUUCAAGAUGUGAUGAUAAGGUUAGAGCAAUGGGCAUUAGCACACUGAUCGUUCGGACAUACGUUGGGAGCAUUGUUUAAGGCUUCCAUCAAUUGAGUAUGAUACAUCUUAUGCUUUAAGAACUAAAGUAGAACAAAUUAUAUAUAUAUAUAUAUAUAUAUAUAUAUAUAUAUAUAUAUAUAUAUUUAGAACUAAACAGUGAAAAAUUUCACUUAAAUUCAAUAGAUUUUAUGUUUUAGAUAUAAAAGUGUCUCAUUUUCAAGUUUAGGCACCAAACUAGGGAUUCAACUAUAGUUAAACGGCACAACAUAGAAUUAACUCCAAGAGGAAUUUUUUAGUUAUCUGGAAAGAGAAAUAUUUUAUAAAUCAGUCCCCUCCUUAUUGGUGGCUUAAAUUGAACACGGCAGGCUACUAGUGCCCAAAAUGCAUUUAACGUCAUCAUCGCUAAUACGGACGGAUUGUGGUGGCCGGGGUUGGCAGUUGGGGGGACAGUUGACAGUGCCACUGGCGUGCUUCAAUUUGCCACCAUGACAGUGCCAUCUCAGCUGCCCUACUCUAAAAGAAAAGGAAAUGAAAAAAUCUAAAAAUAAUAAUAGAUGUCUAAUGAGUAAUAACAAAUAUAUAUCCUUAAUAUUUUAUUAUUUAUUAAGAAAAAAUAUUAUUUUAUUUAUUUUUUAAAAAAAUAAAAAUAUUUUUUUUUUAUUUUUUUCUAGCUCGAGCUCGACCUUGAAAUUGUCAGCUCGUCGAGCUCGAGCUCGAGCUCGAGUUCGAGUUCAAUAAAAUUAAGUCAAGACUCGACUUGAUUAGGUCAAAACUCGACUCGACUCGACUCGUUUGCAACCCUAGCAUCAAGUCAGUCUCAGCAAUCAAUAGCACUUAAAUGGUCCCAUGAUUAGGCGUGUCAAUUGAGAUUUUUGAGCUAGACUUUGGUAAGCCCAAGCUCAACUCACAAAUAAUGUGUGUUUGGAUAUCAAUUUUUUUUUUUUUAUCAAAAUACUAUUUUACUUGCAUAACAAUUAUAAUUUUCAAUCAACUCCGUAUGUUCCUAAUAACUUUUUUUAUCUUACAUAUAUCACAUUAUAAAAAAUGUUAUAGUAAUUAUUUCAAAUAAUCUCCUAUCCAAACACACUCAUCAUAAUUUUAUUAUAAUUUGCACUAAUGAUAGAAGUUACAUCAUCAAUCAUACACCAACAUUAAAGAACAGAUCUAAGAAGUACGGAGACUACAUAUUUGAAGAAUAAAUAAAAAUUAAAAUAAAAUAAUUGUAACUUUAAGAACAUUUGUGCAUGCUUCCAAUCCAAAUGAAGAUGCUUUAAUCUAGUGUAAAUUUUGCUGCAAGGUAGGGAAAAUGAAAUAAAAUGUUCAAUUUGGAAUGAAACACACAUACAAUUAUCACAAUGUAGAUUCCAUAUUAACUUGGCCUAAUAAUAGAGUAGGUAAAAGUUCGCCCGUUAGAAGAUUUCUGUUAGCAUGGUAGAUUAACUUGCAUAAGAAAGAAAAAGUUUUAUAUAAAAACAUGUAUACAAAAAGGUUUAAGUCAUAACUAAGUAUUGUUGGACUGUCAUACUAAUAGCUUAGAACUAACUUGGAACCACCUGAAGGGAUAUAAAUUUCUAUCUGAGUUGUAAACUUGUAAUUUGUAAGUCUUGAAGGUCUUGAUCUUACACAUUUGAAUUUAAAAAAUUUGAAGUGGGUGCCACUACACCCUUCUAAUCUAAACGGGCUCCAUAUAUAACACAGUUGGGGGUAAUAUAUGUGCUCCCAAUUAUUAAAAAGCAAACAAAAACCUUACCAGCAUUUUGGUCCUAUGUGAGGGCCACAUCUAAUGUGAGAUUGUCCUUAAGCAUAGGUCCAUACUACAAUUUACAAGGAUUCAUGACUUGAUGUCAAGAGGGUUGAAUUAAGACUACUUUCUUGUAUGCUUAAAAAAAAGACUACUUUCUUGUACACCAAACAAAAUAUCGAAAAAACAUAUUUUCUAAAAAGUUUAUUGGGAUGAUUUGAACCCAAGGCUUGGCACUACCUGGACUUUUCUAAAGUGCUGUAAAUUUUUUUUGUUUGGGAUAUUCACAGCAAUGAUGGCUGGAUCACCUCAACCUACUUUAAUUUGCAGCCUGCCGACUUUUCUGCCCUGCCUUAAAAGAAAAGGAAAUUAAAAGUACUUAGAUAUUAAGAAAUGUCAAAUAAGAAACUUUACCUCUUGUGCAGUCAAAUUGGACAGAAAGCAGCUUCGCUCUAACCUAAACUAGAAGAAAGUAAAGUGACUAUUUUGAAACUACACAGAUUGCAAAAUCUUAAGUAAUAGAUUACCAAAGGAAAUUUACCAUCUAUUUCUUUUUCGUUCUGCUGAAAGUAGUUUAACCAGCAUGAUUUCAAGCCACAGUACUCAACACAACUUGAAUAGGCUCACGGCGAUGGAUCCCUUCGUGGACUUGACUCGAGUACGCAGCAGGUUCAGUGCAGUGAAGGGUUAAUCCAAGGAAUUAUAAGGAGAAAGUUUCAUUGAGUUCCUCACUCCACCACCAGUUUAGCAGUUACUCUUCACCUUCAGCGUCUCUGAGUCUGGCUCAUUUGUUUAUCAAUUUUGUUUGUUAUUCUGUCAGGCGCACAGAGUCUGCUGAAGUCAAGUCCAACGAGGAGUCCAUUAUCUUGAGCCUAGCUACUGUCUUCAAAUGAGCACAUUUUUUGAUGAAUUAUUUCAUUUUUAUCUGUCAAAAUAUAUAUAAUCUUUUAUGUAUGAAGUUGAAACUACUAAUUAAGUUCGUAUAUUUUCAAAAGUUAUCUUCUUAAACAUAUAAAACCAUUAUAUACAUGUAAUUAGGAAUACGAAAGUGAUACUUGAACUCCCAAAUUACUCUUUUGCAUUCGCUGAUGGCAUUUCAUUGAGUGAAUAGAUUAAUGUUAGAAAGGCUAACAUAGGAAUGCGAAUAUCACUCAUCACUACAAGAAAAUUACCAUUUAAUGACACUAAAAAAUGCCUCUUUUUGUAUGUUUUAGUGACAAUUUUUAAUCUAAUAGCAUUUCCCCCGAGUGUUGGCAAUAUCACUGCCACUAUAGUCUAGUGACACUUGAAAAGUGCCACAAAAGAGUUACUAUGAUAACAUUUUAACAUUUCAUUGUACUAGGGAUAUGUGUCAUGAGAAGAUGCCACUAUGUCAUUUUUUUUGGGUGUUUGCGAAUGCCAACAAUUUAAGUUUUGAUACAACUUUAAAUGCGACUAUUUAAAACUUUCCUGUCACUUUGAAAUGCCACUAAAAAAUUAAGAAAAUAAAAAAAUAAUUUGAAAUUAAAAAUCAAAGUACUCUUAUUGAUCCGGGUAAUUAAUUACAACUCAAGAAAAUGAAAGUUUCGCCAUUUAAACAAGUCACUAACUAAUAAAUCUAGCAAGAAAUUAUAUGACAACAAUAUAAACAAAUUCAUGCAUUUUACAAAUGAAACAUGUCUAAAGACAUUAAUCUUUUAAGCUGAUAACUUGGAAAAGAUCAUGUCUUCUUUGCUUCAUUAAUCUCUCAAAUGCUAUGUAAUCUGCAUUACAAUGAAUAUAUUACCUCUUCUCAAGGAUUAGUUAGUAAAAAUAUUAACUCAACUCAAGAUAUUAGCAAUAGUGGUUGAAAAAUUAACAAUGAUCAAAGUGGGAAGUAAAAUGGGGCACCUUGAACUUGCCAUAGAGAAACUAAAGGCAUUCCAACAAAGAAACCUCAACACUCGCCAAUAUUUCUAAAAUAAAAAAGGAAAUAGUACCAAUCAAUUUAGAUUUAAUCCUAAAACUUGAGAAAUAGAGUAAAUAAUCUAGUAUUUCCUAAUGCUUGACCAUAUUUGAACCUACAACCACACCUUUUGGUCUGCCUAGAAAUCAUACAUCACAAAACCAAUAUCUCUUACAAAGUGAAUGGGAUGUUGGCACAUUUCACUACAUAAUAAUUAACUGAUAACAACAUGCACUGCACCCUUCAUUAUUUUUUGGGGGCAUUGCACCAAAAUACACUACAAGAAAAUUGCGUUUCUGUGACAAGCGAAAGUCGUCACUAAAAAUUCAGAAGUCGUCACAAAAAAAGUCAGUGACGACUUUUACUGCUGUCACAGAGCUGUCACUAGUUCUAUGUCACAAAAGGGAGUCCAUGUGACGACUUUUGAAAGUCGUCACAAACGAUUUCGCUUUUGUGAUGACUCUUGUCGUCACUCAUUGUUGUACAUUUUGUGACGACUUUUAUUGUCACUAAGCUGGCUAAAUUCUUGUCAUAGUCAACCCUUGGAAUUGUCACAUUAUGCUUCCGUUCAGUGACGACUUUUGUUGUCAUUGUUUUCCAUCCAUAAAAAGUGACGACUUUCUAGUGUCACUAGUAAAACUUGUUGGCAGUGACAACUUUUUUAUUGUCAUUUAUUUUUUGUAAAAAGCAAUAAGCUAAUGUUAAUUACGCAACAUAGCUGCCAACAAUCACAAAACGUUCAUUGAGUACCAAGGAGAAAAAAAAAGCCAACAUACGAAAAGAAAACCAACAUUCAUUUCCAAUAGAAGAUCAACCCAAAUACAUAUAUAUAUAUAUAUAUAUAUAUAUAUAUAUAUAAAUGUUGCCUCAAAUGAGUCAUAAACCAUGCACCAUCCAAAAUAAGCCAUUCAGUUACAAUACUAGUGAUUUCCCAUCCACAAUAGAGAGUAGUAAAGUUCUAUACAAAAAUAUGAGCACGAUUCUCAUCUAGAACAAAACAUGAGCACGAUAGGCCUUGUAGUCUUCAAUUCAAAAACCAUCUUCACAGCAAUGACUGGCUUCUUCUUCUUGGGAAUCGUGUUAGAACCUACACGUUACCAAAAUUGAAGCAAUGAGCACUGGUGUUAAAACUGGAACUACACUUCUAGAUAGGCACCAUAUUAUAAAAACUAAUGUCACUCUAAUUUGAAAUUAUAGCAAUUUAAGUAAAUUGCUUAACACAAAAAUAGAGUGAAAUUAUAUAUAUUGAAUAGUAAGCAAGAACAAACCAUUGACAGUUAAUUGCGUACUACGAAAGUAUACAACUAAUCUAUUUCUCUAUUGAAUCUUUCUUGUGGACCAAGAAUAAAAGCGUAGCUUGAUAAAGGCACUAUUAAACUUUGUACAACUAUAAAAUCUCGAAAGUUACCCAAAGUAUAAAUCAAACAACAUUGUUGUGAUUAUUAUUCUGCAUUUUCAUGAAGAGCAUGUCCGAACCUCAAACUUUUAACUAUUCUUGAUCACAGAUGAAACAGGAAGCUAAAAAACCAACUUUUUUUUUAGGGUGGAUCACUUAAAAAAUGGAAUGACAAUUGAUUUAGGGGUGCAAAGUUUAUUAUUUAUUGAAAGAUUUUCUUCAGAGCUUAGGCAACUUCAGCUGUCAGUAUUAUGAGGUCCAUUAAUUGUGGAUGAGAUACAACAUGUGGUAGUAGCUUGGUGGAAGAUUCCACUAACACAGUAACCUUGGAAAUUAGCUCUGGAAUGGGACCUGUCCCAGAAGUGUUUUUGCUGAUCUACUUGUAUCUAGUAUAGGCUUUGCUUUACUAUGUAAAUCUACAUUGCCCCCCCCCCCAAAACACACAAAACACCAAAAACGCCACCAAAAGAAAGGAUCAACUAAGCAAAUGCAUAUAUUCAUUUAGCCCAAUCCGCCAUAUUUUUUGUUUCAAGAAAGCUCCAAUGUGGUGGAGUACAACUGAACCACGUUCAAGAGUUCUAAGAGAACUUUCUAGUUUACAUUGGAUAUUAUGUGCACAUCAAAACUCCUUAAUCUCUAUUAACAAGAACAUGUUCACUUCAGAAUGAGAAAGUAUUAUGUGCAUAUCUAAUCUCAGAUAUAGAUUUUCAGUGAUAAAAGGAUUAGGCCCUAACAAUAAACUAACCACAGAAUGAGAUGCAUUCAGGACAAACUUACUUCAGGACUAAUGUACCACUUGCUAUCAGGACUUCGAUGAGGAUGUGAAUCAGAAUUAAUGAGCCCAUAAAGCAAACCACGGCUCACAUUAAUCCUAUUCAAGGAGGCCAAAAUUUCAUCCACCCGAACAAAUGCAUCAUCGUCUGUCUUCAUGACAAAUUUUGCUGAAACAACCUGUGUCUGUUCAAAAGAUUUAAGUCAAAGAGGCACUCGAAACUUUCCAUGAGCUUUAAAGAGACAGGACAUUACCCCAAAUACGCAUAUAGCUAAAGUCUUCCAUGUGAUAAGGCUAUAGUAGUCAACAAAUGGCAUCAGUUGGAUGUCACCAUAAGUUUUCGCCUCGUUCCAUAGCUCCUCAUUCACCACCUGGUUUUUAUGCUACAAAGCAGAGGUGACACUUUCAUCAUAUUGUCCAACAAAUGGCAGGUUAAAAUUCAGAAGUCAAAUGCUUGGGACAUGACUGAAAAAAAUGGUAUAUGUUUAACUAAUACAAUGAACCGCUCUUCCAUGAAGCAACAAUUCUUUUGUAAAAAGAGACAAAGUUGUUCCCUUUAAUAGUGCCUAUCAAAGAAUCUCAUCUCUUCAUUAUGGCUCACCUGUGCUGUUGAUGCUAUAUUCUAGAAUCAAGCAUGUAAACUCAAGAACUACAGUGUGCAAAUGAAUUGCUAAAAAUUGGUAGAGUUUCAGGAUUUGGACAUGUCCUAAUCCUGUUUCUAGAAGUAAUAGUUCACAUCAAUGGCUGCAGAUAUGCAUGCAGCAGUACUUGUGAUACUUUCUCCCAUUUUGUAGGGCAGAGCAUGUCAUACCCUUCGGGGAAAAAAAAAUCUCACAAUGUGUAGUUAUUAGAAAGAAAGCUAUGAAAUUCAGAGGCAGUCCUGAUAUGCUAAUCAGAUUUACAAGUUCAUCAACCAAAACUUGAGACAGGGAUAGGGAAAGAUAAAAUGCAGCAAUGAGCAUUGAACGAAUGCCCUGUUACGGCCUGCUGUUAGACCACUUGGGCAUUUCAACAAACAGUAAACGAACAUGAAAAAUUCCAGCAAUUCUUUGCUCAAAUGAAGCCACGGUUGGCCCCAAAAUCAUCAGAAGUACAAGGGAUUUCAAAUUCAAUCAUGAUAUAACAUGCGCAUGCUAAAAUUUGAACAAUCAACGGGGCAAUUGCAAUAAACGAAGCCAUGGCAGACAUGCUUAAAGGACUUGGGAAGGAACUGAAAUUCAAAGAAAAAGGGGCGACUUAUAGUGCUCUUACUUGAGCGGUGGCGACGGCGAUUAUGACGAAGCCGAAGACGGUGAGUUGGAAUUGGAAGAUGACUAGGUCUGAUUUCGUCCAAGAGCCUUCAUCUAGUGUUACAGAGAACGGUAGCAGCCCAGGAGGUUGUGCGCGGUGUUGGCGAUGGCAGGCAGCAGCAGAGCGGACGCGGACUGGUGGUGACCUGGUUCUUCCUCCUCUGUCCGUUGCCGCGUCUUUCUCUCCUGAUCUUCCCGUCAGCCGCCACUCUUCCUUCACUCUGUUUUUUUUCUUUUCACGCUCAAGGCCUCCCUUCCAAGAACCCUAGCUGCUUCUCUGCUCUUCUGUUUCUCUUUUUCUCCUCUAAAACCUAGCCGCCCUUUCUCAGGCUUCCCCCUCAGCUUUUCUUGCUCACUUGUGCGCCGCCCUUUUUUUCUCCUCUAUUUUGUUCUUUUUUUCUUGUUUUGUUCUUUUCCCUCUGUUUUGUUCUACUGCCAAAGCCCUCCUCUAUUUUCCUUCACCUGAGCUGGUGCUAAAGAGCUCGACGCGUUUGCGGGUCAAUAGAGGGGAGAAAGGGCUAUCGUCAGUGGUGAAGGAAAUGCUGAAGAAUAAAUUAUGGUGCUGGAUAGCUCGGACUUCAGCGGCUGAUGGUGGUGGAUUGCGGCGGACUUCAGCGGCUAACGGUGGCGAGCGGCAUUUCGAAUCUACGGGAAGGAAGGGUUAGUUCACCAUAGGAAGGAAAGACUGAGAAUGAAAUUUGUCUAAGUGUUGGAAGAGAGAAGCGGCGAGACUUUUGUUUGUAUGUGAACAACCAAAACGACGUCGUUUUGUAGAGAUUUCAGCCACCCGCCUGGCGCCUCUUUCAGAUUUCAGACUGGCGCUCUUUUUUUUUUGACAUCUAAGCACGUCUUUGAGAUUCCAGGAUUCACGCCUUUAGCUUCAUACAUCUUUUUUCUUUUUUUUUUUAGCCAAAUUUUUUUUUCAGGUUUCUUUUUUCAUACUUAAUCUCUUUUUUUUCCUUAAUCUCAUCUAUAAAUAUCAAAUAAAUUAUUUGAUAUUGGUUUCUUUUUUGUGCAUGUAUAUAUAUGUAUGCUUGUUUGUGUCUAUAUACAUCUUUUUGGGUUUGGACAACUCAAUAUACAUAUUAUUUAAGAAAUUACCUUACAAUAAAACUUACACAAUAAAACAUGUUUCAAAAAUUUAACAUGCAUAGAAUCGCUUAUAUACAGUAUAACACUUCUUACUCAUGCUUAUCCUACUCUUUGUCUAUUACUUAGUUUUUAUAAUAAAUUAAAAGAAACAUGUAAUCAAAUAUUCUGUUAAAUGUGUUACAACUCUCAAUCUUAUUGCACGACAGAUAUUUUACUGAAUAAUUUUAAUUUCGUAUAUACCCAUUCCAUAUGAAAAUAAUUAUUACUUAUGAUGUAUUACACGUUAUACUAAUCUUUCACAGUGCUAACAUUAGACUACAAAUUAUAUUCAAUUACACUUUUUCAAAUUAUUUCAGUUAUUGAUUUUUGGGGGUUGUUAUAAGGAAUAAUAAACAAUUCGUGAAAACAUUUUUAUGCUCAGACAUGUCUAUUAUGUCAACUUAGCAAAAAUUACAAAUAUCUAAAAAUAGUUUGUUAUUAUAUCAUUUGCAUUUUGCUAAUACGUAAUGAAUAGGGGCUAAAUUAUAAAAUUAGGGUGUCAUAUCUUCGGUGCUUUUGCUCAUAUAAAAGAAUUGGGGGCUAAAUAAUAAAAUUAGGGUGCCAUAGUAGAAUUAGUGAAAUUUGAUGAAAAUACUAUAGAAUUGCUUAUAUACAGUAUAGCACUUCUUACUCAUGCUUAUCUUACUCUUUGUCUAUUACUUAGUUUUUAUAAUAAAUUAAAAGAAACAUGUAAUCAAAUAUUCUGUUAAAUGUGUUACAACUCUCAAUCUUAUUGCACGACAGAUAUUUUACUGAAUAAUUUUAAUUUCGUAUAUACCCAUUCCAUAUGAAAAUAAUUAUUACUUAUGAUGUAUUACACGUUAUACUAAUCUUUCACAGUGCUAACAUUAGACUACAAAUUAUAUUCAAUUACACUUUUUCAAAUUAUUUCAGUUAUUGAUUUUUGGGGGUUGUUAUAAGGAAUAAUAAACAAUUCGUGAAAACAUUUUUAUGCUCAGACAUGUCUAUUAUGUCAACUUAGCAAAAAUUACAAAUAUCUAAAAAUAGUUUGUUAUUAUAUCAUUUGCAUUUUGCUAAUACAUAAUGAAUAGGGGCUAAAUUAUAAAAUUAGGGUGUCAUAUCUUCGGUGCUUUUGCUCAUAUAAAAGAAUUGGGGGCUAAAUAAUAAAAUUAGGGUGCCAUAGUAGAAUUAGUGAAAUUUGAUCAAAAUACUAUAGAAUUGCUUAUAUACAGUAUAGCACUUCUUACUCACUUUCUUACUCUUUGUCUAUUACUUAGUUUUUAUAAUAAAUUAAAAGAAACAUGUAAUCUAAUAUUUAAUUUGAAAUGUGUUACAACUCUCAAUCUUAUUGCACGACAGAUAUUUUACUGAAUAAUUUUAAUUUCGUAUAUACCCAUUCCAUAUGAAAAUAAUUAUUACUUAUGAUGUAUUACACGUUAUACUAAUCUUUCACAGUGCUAACAUUAGACUACAAAUUAUAUUCAAUUACACUUUUUCAAAUUAUUUCAGUUAUUGAUUUUUGGGGGUUGUUAUAAGGAAUAAUAAACAAUUCGUGAAAACAUUUUUAUGCUCAGACAUGUCUAUUAUGUCAACUUAGCAAAAAUUACAAAUAUCUAAAAAUAGUUUGUUAUUAUAUCAUUUGCAUUUUGCUAAUACAUAAUGAAUAGGGGCUAAAUUAUAAAAUUAGGGUGUCAUAUCUUCGGUGCUUUUGCUCAUAUAAAAGAAUUGGGGGCUAAAUAAUAAAAUUAGGGUGCCAUAGUAGAAAUAGUGAAAUUUGAUCAAAAUACUAUAGAAUUGCUUAUAUACAGUAUAGCACUUCUUACUCUUUGUCUAUUACUUAGUUUUUAUAAUAAAUUAAAAGAAACAUGUAAUCUAAUAUUUAAUUUGAAAUGUGUUACAACUCUCAAUCUUAUUGCACGACAGAUAUUUUACUGAAUAAUUUUAAUUUCGUAUAUACCCAUUCCAUAUGAAAAUAAUUAUUACUUAUGAUGUAUUACACGUUAUACUAAUCUUUCACAGUGCUAACAUUAGACUACAAAUUAUAUUCAAUUACACUUUUUCAAAUUAUUUCAGUUAUUGAUUUUUGGGGGUUGUUAUAAGGAAUAAUAAACAAUUCGUGAAAACAUUUUUAUGCUCAGACAUGUCUAUUAUGUCAACUUAGCAAAAAUUACAAAUAUCUAAAAAUAGUUUGUUAUUAUAUCAUUUGCAUUUUGCUAAUACGUAAUGAAUAGGGGUUAAAUUAUAAAAUUAGGGUGUCAUAUCUUCGGUGCUUUUGCUAAUAUAAAAGAAUUGGGGGCUAAAAAAUAAAAUUAGGGUGUCAUAGUAGAAUUAGUGAAAGUUGAUGAAAAUACUGUAGUAUACAAUGAUGCAAAAAGUUGUCACAAAAUUGGAAUCGGGUAGACUUUCAAUGACAACAAGUUAUGUUGUCACUGUAGAGAGAGCGUUUGUGACGACUUUAUUUGAGUUGUCAUAAAUUCAUUUCCCGCGGCAUCAAAUGAGAUGCGCGCCAACUAUUUCGUGACGAGUUGAGAAUGACAACUUCCAAUGUUGUCACUGAUUAUGCUUGUGCUGUACUCAUCUGUGAUGACACCUAAUGUCGUCACUGAAUUAGGUUAUCUGUGACAAGAUUUUUGUUGUCACAUAAAUUUUUGUCACUGAAAAAUAUAUUUCUUGUAGUGAUAGGAUGACUUAAUGUAAAUGAAUUCUAAUUGAUACUUAGUUGUCUAAUCACACCUACCAUUACAAUUUAGCACACAUUUUUGUUAGGACAUGGUAAACAAAGGUACUUUAUACUAUAUGAAUUUCAAAAGUCAUACAAUUAUGUUUUUGAAAUGCUAAGUAAUAUGCUUUCUUUUCCUGGCAUACUGAUUGUUCUUUUCAUUUUCAAGGUUUAUGUGAAGAACAUCAUACUAUCUCUCUUAGUCAAGUAAUACAAUUCUUUCCCUUUCUUGAUACAAAUUUCCAAAAGCAUCUCUGAACCUAGCUUGGCCAAAAAAAGAAAAGAGAUCUUGUUAUUAACACUAUGAAAGUACAAUGAUACAAUGAUUGUGAAAGAAAGAAGAUUUUAACACUAGAAUAAUUAAUACAACUGCUCAAAGGAAAGAAAAAAAUAGAAAUAACUGAUAUUUCUUAUCUUAAAAUUGUACCCAUAAUCACACAAUAUAAAAUGAUAAAACAAACAAAAACCUAUAUACUAUUGUUUUGUUCUAUGGAAUUUAGACAGGAAAGAAAGUACCUUUAAUGAUUUCUUGUGAUGGUAGACAACAAUGGAAUUGAGAUGCUAGAUGAUAGGGUUUGUGGAUAAAGAUUUGUAGAGAAUGCAAGAUUGAAAAAAUUUUAAUGAGUUUCAAUGUUUGAGGGAUUUACUUUGAUACUUAUCAGUUAAGAUAAGGAGUAAAUCAGGGAAGGAAACCCCAUCAAUUAGGCAACAAAAUCUCAUCCACUUAGCAAACUGUGUUUUUAUUUUCAUUUUUUUUAGAAAAUGCCACUAAAACUUAUGAUCCAAUGACAUCUAUAUCUAUAUAAAUUUGAGAAGUGAUUUUUAGCAACAAACCUCCACACAUCUUCCCACUACCAAUUCUAUUUUUCUAGCAUUUCACAUUUAAUUUAAUUUAUAAAAUAUUCCUCUUAACUUUCACAUCUACUUUUCACAUUUGAAAUUGUUGGUUACUUUUUAAAAUCAUUUCAUUUCAAAUUGUUGGUUAAUGUGCAUGUUAUCCUAUUUGACCUUCAACCCAUCACGUUUUCGAUUGCCUUCCGUUAUUUAUGAUUCUACUCCAAUUAAAACUUCUAUAAGACCAUAACAAGAUAUAACAUCCUUUCAUACUUUCUUAUUAAUUUAAAUAAGUAAGAUUAUUUACAUUCCAUUUUUUGUUAUUCACACUUCAAUAAUCAUUUUGAUCAUAUAGUUUUCAUUAAUUAGACGGAAAAUGGAGUGCAAAUAACAGUUUCCUAAGUAAGAAGUGGCUUCCAUGCCUUUCUAAUUUAAAUAAAUAAGAAGUGGCUCCACUUAUAUAAGAAUUUGGUUUGAAAUUUAUUAGUGGGAAGGUAAAUAAAGAGAAAACAUUGCCAAACUUAGUAAAAGUAAAAAAGUAAAUGAUAAUAUUUUAUCUUUUAACUUAGUAAUCCUAAGUAAAAGAGCAAAAUUAAAUAGAAAACAAAAAGGAAAUAAUGUCGUGGAUUUAAAAAAUCAAGAAUGGUAUCAUUCAUGAAAUCUAAAUUAUGAAAUCACUAAAUAAAAAGCCCAAUCCUAGGAUUUAAUUACUCGAUUGCAUUAAUAAUUAGAAAAACCCAAUCCUAACCAACAAACACGCUACGAGGGUUUGUUUAAGUUAGAUCAUACGUUUCCCUAACAUGAAGCCAAUCACGCUAGUCGCCACUGGUAUUAAUCAAUUAAACAAUUACGGAUUCGAUCAAUUAAUUUGGCAUUAGUUCAUUAGAUUAAUUUGAAUAUCGGGCCCUUGACAUUUAAAUAACAUAACAAGCAUAAAUAAUUAAAUCAGAAAACGUACAAAUACCAACGAAUAAAAGAAACAAAUAAAAUUUAUUCGAUCUCACCGAUAUUUGGAACCGCGCCUUCAAGUUGACCUUCGACUAGAUGAGAAACUUAGCCACGCCUCAUGAGAAAAUCUCCAAGUAAUUUAAUUGAGGUCCAGGCCAUCAAAGGAGCCAAGAAAGAAAAGAAAACUAAAACUAUGCUAAAAGCUUCGAUAAGAACUAAUGAUAAAAAAACUAUUCAUUCCAGAUCUCUAUACGUCUGCUCCUUUUUAAAGCCAAAGAGGACUAAUGCCUCUCCUAGUGCGUGGAUCCCGCCGAAUUAAGAGUCAAAGCCCAAGAAGGGAACUCUGCCGAAUUGCUUCUUGCUUCCCAUCUCUGUACGUUACUUUCUUCUUAAGAGCCAACUGACUAAUGCCCUUUUCCUUUCCUCUGUGGUCCCUGCCGAAGUCAAAGGUCCAAGCCUUGAAAUUCUCUCUGCCGAAGUCUCUGGUUGUAGUCUUCUUAGUCAACAAAAAUAAAGGAAUAGGAGUCCAGUUCUUUUCAGCACUGUGGCCUGGCCUGUGGCUCGUUUGAAGUCUCAAUUAUUUCCAAAAAAACCCUCAGGUUUGGUAGUUUUCUGUUCCCUUUCUAAAAUUAAGUCCACAAACCAAAUAUAAGUAGAUAUCCGCAAUUAACACAAUAUUUGGCAGGGAUAAAAGGGAAAAUUACUAAUAAAAUUACUAACAAUUAGCACCCUAUCAAUUCCCCCCACACCUGAACCAUGCUUGCCCUCAAGCAUGAGAACAACAAUUGAGCACCGAAAUUUAAUAAUGGCUAUUGCUCCAACUACCGUAUUGCCAAGGUACCCAGAAAAACAUAUAUCAAGGUUCACAAGUUAAGAUCCAAGAAAAAUCACCUCAAUUAGCUUCCCAACCACCAACUCCUCCAAUUUAAAGCAAACUAAUCUAAAAAAAAGGAAUGGUUGCUCACAUUUAUCAGCAAAUGGUCCAACUACUAACCAAAAUCUCGACAUUAAGAUCACAAACCGGCAAGCUGACUUAUUCACAUACUAACACAAUCUUUAUUUUAUUUUAUUUUAUUUUUCUUUUUGUUUUGUUUUUGUUUCUUUUUCUUUUUUUCUUUUUUUUUUGAGUAACAAAAGACUUAGUCUAUAGCCCUUAGAGUCUUUUGACGCGAACUCCAACAUUUGACAGAUGGAGGAGCCCGGUUACUUAGCUCCAAUCGCUAUGCGACACGCACUUAUAGCAAUUAUUACCUUUUGACGCGAGAAUCGACACUUUAGGUGAAGAUCCCCGGUUGCUCAGUAGUAACCACUAGCGGAGUACAAUCAACUCUUAUUUAUAACCAUAUAGCACAAUAACUAAAAAUAACACAAAAAAUAACAGCAGCUAGCCUCAAAUUUCCAAACAUGGAGAACUAAAAUUAUUAAUUGGACCAAUUCACAUGAAAAAUGCCAACGAUCAUUCCCUAUGUCUAGAAAAAUUAACCAAAAAUUGAAAAAGUCAAGCAAUUAGCGAUAUUCACCAGAGAGAUGUUCAUGAACUCAACCACAUCAACUUGAUACCUUUUUAUUAAUAAACUUGGCAAUAACAGAAUUAGAGAUAACAAUCCAGCAUCAAACUUGGUAUUCAUAUGAAGACUGACCACUAGAAAGAAAAAAAGAAAAGAAAAUAAACGAAAAAGGAGAUAAAUAUCAAACUAAAACAAAGGAAAAGCCUUUAGAAACUAAAAACAAAAAUACUAGCACCCAAACUGAUCUCCCCCUCACACCUAAAUGACACAUUGUCCUCAAUGUGAUAAUCUAACAGCAAAAGGAAGGAGAAGGGCAACGGUACUUCCGUGAAGUCGUCAAAACAGGGGCGGGUCAGGCAGGAAUUGAAGAGCAAGACCCGCAUGGUGUACAAGUGCUGCCAAAUUCUGCUCCAGGUAAUGCAAGUUGACGCCAACGUGGGCCACUUGAGUCUCCAGUCUUGGUGGUUCCAAUGUUAGAUAAAAGCAGGGUCAAUGUAGCCCAGAAUCGCAGCAAGUGCUCCAAUGAACGAAGUAAUUGAAAUCUCUUGCCAGAAGACUCCCAAACACAGCAAUUAGACCCAAAUAGUGCCCAAUUGGACACAAUCAACAAAUUUCAGCAAUUAGACAUAACUAAAAUUAGCUAAUGACCCAAGAAAUGGGCAACGCCAGCAAUAGUAGUUCAAAAGUCGGACAAUAACUGAAUCACAAGGUUCGUUAUUUAGCAAUCAAACAGGCAGCCAACCAAAUAAAAUCCACAACUGUAGGCUGAAUGCUCCAAUCAACACCACUGGUGCACUCCACAAAAAAUAAAACAACUCAAACGGCCAACCCAAUCAACAACAUGUGCAAGUUAGCCACCCAAAGACUAGACAAAUAUCCCAACAACACAGCAAAUUGAAUGAAUAUGCACUGAGUCUCCAAUUCAGUCAAAAUAAGAUCAAGGGGCACGAUACAGAAACUAACAAAGCAGAAGUCAAGUGAUACCAACAGGGACCCCAACAGAGCAAUGAAUUCAACCAAUUGGAGCAAGUGAAACUCAACAAAUGUCACAAAUUGGACAUUCAAUUACCCACUUCAAGAUACCAAGCCUUAAGAAUUUUAAGAAUCCCAGCAAACAAGCAAUUCCAGCAACUACCGAUUAGAAUUCGAGAAAAUUUAAGAAUUGUAAGCAACACCGCAACCAGUAUCACUGGUGUAUACACAGGAAGGAAUUAAAUCAAACGGUCAACAAUUCAAUAAAUAUCUGAAAAUAUCCCCACAUAUGGUAGCAAUUAAACCCAAAUCUGUCCAAAAUUUACCCUAGAAAAUGUCCAAAUCAACACCCUCUUUUAUCCAUCAAGAAACCCAAACACAAAAGCUCAAAUUCCAGCAAUUUAAGGACCCGAAAAAUACUAAUCGAGGCAGAAAUUUCAAUACCUCCACCUGUCAGAACUUGACAGGUGGUGACGCGCGGCAAGGAGAUGGCGGACAGUAGCAGCAGGUUGCGCGAGGUGGAGCAGCUGCGUGAUGGUGAUGCGAGGAGAAAGAGAGUGCGAGAUUGCGGUAGGGAAAGCUAGCUGGCGACCAGCGUGAGAAGGAGAGCUGGUGGUGGUCAAAGGCGCUGGUGAGUGGAGGUGGCGGGUGGAGCUUGGAACGGAGGAGCUCAGCGAGCUGUGGGUGGACGGUCGUGGGCAGGGGAGCAGCGGCGGCCUUUGGAGCUGCUGAAGGUGGAGACGAGCUGGUAGUGCAGAGUUGGUGGUGAACAGCAGCGGUGGCAGCUGGGUUGCGCGCAAGGGGCUGCUGGACAGAGCAACGGGCAGCGGAUGGCGUGCGUCCGUAGCUUUGGGAGGCAGCGGCGGCAACUGGCACGAGCAUGGCUGGCAGGAAUGGCGGCGUGCACAGAGGAAAAAGAAAGAAAGAAAGGGCGAACAGGGCAGCGGCGAAGAAGAAAGAAAAGAGAAAGAAAGAAGAAGAAGAAAAAGAAAGAAAGAAAAGAAAGAAAGAAAGAAGAAGGAAAAAAAAAGAAAAAAAUAGUUUUUUUUUUUUGGGAAAUUUUUUUUUUAUUGCACACUCAAAUUUCAAAACUCGAAUUGUGAGAACCAAAACUGAAGGUGUAAAACGGAAAAUGUUUUUAUUUUGAAUUUUUUAUUUUUUAUUUUUUAGUUUUUGGGUCGUCAAACACCGCGUGGGCACGCCAAGAUUGAUAAACGUCCACUGACCUUAGGAGAUACAAACACCGCGUGGGCAUGCCAAGAUUGCACUUCCUGAUCACAGUAGAGGAAAAUAUUAAGACCGACUACCACCCAAAUGAGAAACGACAAAAUGAAAGUAAUGAACAACGAAAAACAAUAAAAUUAAUAUUUGGGUUGCCUCCCAAAAAGCGCAUUUCUUUUAUGUUUUUGGCUAGACAUUGCCAUAUUUAUUCACGGAGGAUAAAAUCUCGUGGCUUGUUUUAGUGUUUCAUCCUCUAUAUAGUCCUGAUAGCCCUCGUAAAUAGAGUAAUCCUUCAGCACACGAGCUACGAUCUUCCGUGAACUAGUAGAUGGCGCCAAAUAAUCAAGCAGUGAUCUCAAUUCUUCAUCCACUCCUCUAUCAAGAGCACUCAAUGGUUCAAGAUAUUUGACCAUAGCUACUCUUAACUUAUUUCUGCCAUGAGACUCAAAAACUUCCGGUAUAACAAAAUCAAUCUCAUUAACAGAAAUCAUGGAGUAAGAGUUAAGAAAAUGCGGGUUAGGGAAUGGAGGUGGUGUCAUCACAUUUGAUGAUUCUUCACUGGAUUCUUUCACUUGAAUGGGUUGCGGUUGGGGUUCCAUUUCUUCCUUUUCGGCUUCUUUUUCAACUGCAUCUGUAGAUUUCUCAUUUUGACACUCUUGCAUCUCCUCAUCACUAGUCAAGCAAAUUGCACUCUUGUUUUCUUCAAAAUCAACAAUGGUUUUCGAGGGCAAUUCUUCAAAUUGAGAAGCCAAUCGAUUUAUUCUGGAUGUCAAUAGACAUAUUUGAUCUUCCAGAUUACUCAUUGCAUCCUUCAUCAUCUCAUUUCUCAUUUGUGUCUCCUGUUGGAAUUGAUAUGUAUUAGUAGCUAUUGAUUCAACUAUUUCUUCAAGAGACAUACCUGACAUAGAUGAUGAUUCUUGAGACUCAUACUGCUGAAAAUUCAUUGGCCCUGUUGUAUAAUUAUAAUUGGAGUUAUCCUACCAUUCUUGAUCAUACCCGUUUGGAUUAGGGUUAUACCACGUUUGAGACCAGGGUGAAAAAUCUCUAUAAUUAUUGAGUGGGACACUCAGAUUAUCUUGAUAUUCGGGGCACAUACCGGUUGAAUGAUCCCUGGCAUAACAAAUUUUACAGGUUGCAGCAGCCAUUCUUUCUCUAAUAGAGUUUAGUGCCUCUGAAUAUGCAAACUUAGCAAAAAAACAAGUCUCAUUGCCUUCCCAGGAAACAAAAUCCAAUCUAUCACCAAAAUACGGAGUGUUAGAAGCCAUAAACUAUAUAUAAAAAAAUAAUAGAAAAAUAAAUAAAAAAAUAAAAACAAGAUGAACUCAAAAAGAAAUAAAUUAAUCUGGCACCAGUCCCCAACAACAGCGCCAAAAAUUGACAGGGUGUCGAACCUGUGCAAUAAUAAUUACCUACUCAAGAAAAUUACAAAUUUUGUAUAUAGCGGUGAGUAGGGUCGAAUCCACAGGAACUGGGGAUAAUUCGUUUCUUUUAAAGUCCAAAGUAUGGGGGGUCGAAUCCACAGGGAUUGGGGAUAAUUUAUUUCUUUUAGAGUCCGAAGUAUGGGGGCUUUUUUUGGAGAAUAUAAAAUAACUAAUUAACUAACCAAUAAAACAACUAGUAGAAAUAAAUAGAAAUUAAUCAAUAACCAAUAUGACUCUAGCCAAAGGUGCAACUUUUUAGACACCGUCCAUUCAACUGAUCAUUGAUGCAAAGAUAAUUCGAUUACUCAUUACCAGAUUGGUUAUAGUUGUCAUACACGCGAUGAACAACCAGCCUUUUCUUAAUUUCUCGAUAGUUAAGGUACGACCGUUAACUAUUUCUCUAACCAAGAAAUAACCCUAGGUACGACCAUAGGAUUUAAUUACUCGAUUGCAUUAAUAAUUAGAAAAACUCAAUCCUAACCAACAAACACGCUACGAGAGUUUGUUUAAGUUAGAUCAUACGUUUCCCUAACAUGAAACCAAUCACGCUAGUCGCCACUGGUAUUAAUCAAUUAAACAAUUACGGAUUCGAUCAAUUAAUUUGGCAUUAGUUCAUUAGGUUAAUUUGAAUAUCGGGCCCUUGACAUUUAAAUAACAUAACAAGCAUAAAUAAUUAAAUCAGAAAACGUACAAAUACCAACGAAUAAAAGAAACAAAUAAAAUUUAUUCGAUCUCACAGAUAUUUGGAACCGCGCCUUCAAGUUGACCUUUGACUAGAUGAGAAACUUAGCCACGCCUCAUGAGAAAAUCUCCAAGUAAUUUAAUUGAGGUCCAGGCCAUUAAAGGAGCCAAGAAAGAAAAGAAAACUAAAACUAUGCUAAAAGCUUCGAUAAGAACUAAUGAUAAAAAAACUAUUCAUUCCAGAUCUCUAUACGUCUGCUCCUUUUUAAAGCCAAAGAGGACUAAUGCCUCUCCUAGUGCGUGGAUCCCGCCGAAUUAAGAGUCAAAGUCCAAGAAGGGAACUCUGCCGAAUUGCUUCUUGUUUCCCAUCUCUGUACGUUACUUUCUUCUUAAGAGCCAACUAACUAAUGCCCUUUUCCUUUCCUCUGUGGUCCCUGCCGAAGUCAAAGGUCCAAGCCUUGAAAUUCUCUCUGCCGAAGUCUCUGGUUGUAGUCUUCUUAGUCAACAAAAAUAAAGGAAUAGGAGUCCAGUUCUUUUCAGCACUGUGGCCUGGCCUGUGGCUCGUUUGAAGUCUCAAUUAUUUCCAAAAAGACCCUCAGGUUUGAUAGUUUUUUGUUCCCUUUCUGAAAUUAAGUCCACAAACCAAAUAUAAGUAAAUAUCCGCAAUUAACACAAUAUUUGGCAGGGAUAAAAGGGAAAAUUACUAAUAAAAUUACUAACAAUUAGCACCCUAUCAACUAGCUAGCGGAUAAUAGAAGAGGAAAAUGAUGAUGAUUUUUAAUAAUUUUGAGAACUCUAAAAACAUAUAUUAUAGAGAUUUUUUUUUCAAUUUACGUUAAAGUUUAUGAAAAAUGCUAAUCUAAAUGCAGCCAACAAUUUUAGCGGUACACGAUAUGAUAGGAGAAAGAUUUUUUUUUUCUAAAAAUGGAAGAAAAUAAAUUGGUUAUAAUUUGUUUUUUAUAUUAUAAAUUUUGAUAUAUGGGUAUAACAUAAUAUAUUUUGUCACCUACCUAAAGCAUGAUAUUAUGUCCUUUAUAUCAGAUAUGCAACUAGAGCCCUCCGAGGAUAGAAUAUGUACAAGUGAUUGUAUGCGCUAUAUCCAAUCCACCAUGAUGGCCCACUUAUUUUAUUUUAUUUUUUUGUAAUUCACCAAAAAUUAAUUAAACUUUUACAUUGCCUGAAAAGAACUAAAAGAGCCAAUACUUAUAUGGCUUGCAGUAGUAGGUUAUGUAUAUAGUAAUUAAUCUAGCAUGCCUUUUGUUUUAACAAAGGAAUUAUUUCAUUGAUGAGCAGGUACUGUCUUGAAUGAAAAUCAGUACCUGACUUCCAUUCCUUAAAACUUUAUGUUUGUGACCCUGCUAAAAAGGUAUUUUCUCAUUGCCAUUGCAUUAACUACAGGGAAAACCUCUGGAAGUGGCAGUUUCAGCAAAUUACCAGAUUCAAAAUUUCAAAUAUAUAAUGCCAGAGCUCAAGUGAACGGCCAUGGUAGCAGUUUCAGCAAACUACCAGAUUCAAAGUUUCAAAUAUAUAAUAGAAAAUCACAAGUGAACGGCCAUGGUAGCAGCUUCAGCCAACUACCAGAUUCAAAGUUUCAAAUAUAUAAUAGAAAAUCACAAGUGAACGGCCAUGGUUUCAGCUUCAGCAAAUUACCAGAUUCAAAAUUUCAAAUUUAUAAUAGAAAAUCUCAAUUGAACAGCCAUGGUAUCAGUUUCAGCAACCUACCAGACUCAAAAUUUCAAAUUUAUAACAGGAAAUCUCAGGUGAAUAGCCAUGGUACAAAUCCAACUAAAGAUCAACUCUACAAUGACAAAAACAUUACAAUAUUCUUCCUUGGAAAGGAUUUGCACCGCGGCUCAAGCAUGAAUCUGGAGUUUGUUGAGUCGCUAAAGAUUACUACACUAUUCCUGCCAAGACAAGUUGCUGAUUCCAUUCCCUUUUCCUCCAAAUCUGUUCCUGAGAUAUUGAACAAAUUCUCACUGAAGCCACAAUCAGAAGAAGCCGAAACUAUUAAGAAAACAAUUGCAGAGUGCGAGAUGCCUGGAACAAAAGGGGAAGACAAGUACUGUGCGACUUCACUCGAGUCAAUGAUUGAUUUCACUACUUCCAAGCUGGGGAAAGAUGUUCGAGCAGUUUCAACUGAAGCAGAAAAAAUAGAUACCAAAAUCCGAAAAUAUACUAUUAAGGAUGUUGCCAAGUUGAACACGGCUGAUAAAGUCGUUUCUUGCCAUAAGGAAAAGUAUCCGUACGCAGUAUUUUACUGCCACACAUCGCAGAGUAAUGCAUAUAUGACCAAUUUGGCUGCUGCUGAAGAUGAAGCUAAAGCUAAAGCUGUGGCUGUUUGCCACAAGGAUACAUCACAAUGGGACUCAGAGCAUUUGGCCUUUCAGUUGCUAAAGGUGAAGCCAGGAACUGCUCCAAUCUGCCAUUUCCUUCCUGAGGAUCACAUCAUUUGGGUUCCAAAGUAAUAAAUAUUCUGCAACAAUAUUGCCGGCAUCCCCUGUCCGGGAGUGUAUCAAUAUUUGUCAAUUUAACAUGGCAUUUAUAUUUGCUGCAGUGUGGGAGUUCCAAUCACAUGCUCCUUUUUUUGUUUUUUUGGUUGUUUCAGUCGCAUGUUCUUCCCAUGAUUAAAUGAAACCUUGUUUAGUUUCGUCUCUAAUGGUUGUACUAUGUCGAUGUAAUAUCACCCAGAUGGAAUGGUGUCUGGGUAAGUAUUAUUAAUGGUUCAAUUGUCUGUGGGCUGUUUUUCAAUGUGUUUGUGGGUUGUUUCUAGAUGUGCUACUUUAGUUUUAGACUGUUUAAUAAAAAUUGUUUUUCUAAAACACCUCAAAAAUAGGAUUGUCUACCGGUAUGCUCGAAUUGGGCAUGGGGCCUCACAAAUUCCAUUUUAAACCAGUUUGCCUUUAGAGUAUGAACAAAUUGGAAAAGAGUGUAAGACAAAUUUAAAAUGACCAUUUUUUAAGGUCAAAUAUACUCUCAUGUCUUCUUAAUUUUCGGUGUUUAUAUACUCUUUUUUUUUUCUUUUCGUGGUGAUAAAAUGGUCACAGCUAUAGCAGGUCACCUUAUCGUGGGUGAGACGAGGUAAAUUAUGCUAAUAAGUUCUUUUCAUGAUUUGAAUGUCUUUCUCUUGGAUUCUAUGAUACCUAAUGUAGAACAGGUUGCGCAAGGUUUCAUGGACAAAAUGGAGCGUGCAAAGAAUCACAAGACAAGGCCAGGAGGGACAAACUUCUGAGCAUGUCCGGCGCCAAACUUCGUGGAAAUCAACUUGCAAGGGUGAUUGGUGUGCCAUGACCAGCGCUGGUCGUCAUCGGCAACUUUAUUUUUAUUUUUCUUUUCUUUCUCUUUUUUUUUAAUGUAAUUUCAUUUUUUUUUCAAUUUAGAACUUCUAAUUUAUAUGUAGGGUCGUACUAGGUUAUUUGAUGCUGUUAUUUUGAAUAAAUUAUUUAGCACUUUUGCUUUUAUAAUCAAUGAUUAACUAGCCAUUAAUUGUGAUAAUUUCAAGGUGUUAAAUUUGCAAUGAGAAUUGAAAUUUAAUACUAGUUCAAAAAAGUGUUAUACUUAGGGAAUACACUCACGGGAGUAGGGGCACACUUUUGUGAUUUUGAUGGUUUGUUCCAUGUAAUUUUAUAGAAGAAAGGAGAUUGUAAUUAAUUUCAUAACACAAGAGUAGAUAUGGAUUAACUACAAGUAUAGUUGAUUUACUAUGAGAGUAGAUUUCACAUGUAUUAGGAAAUUAUGCCAUAACUAGUCAAGAUAAUAAUAUUCAAUUAAUUGAUAAUUUCACUUGUAAGAAAAGUAAAGAAUUCUACAACCCUAAGAGCUUUCUAUUGUCAUUUUUGUGACUGUUAUUUUAUGUUUGUAGUGUAGAUUUAAUUUUCUUGUAUUUGUGAUAGUCUAAAUAAUAAAAAAUUUAAAAAUUAUUGGUAAUUCACAAUCUUCCCUAUGAAAUCGACAUUUAAUAUCCUCUAUAUUCGAUAAACGAUAUGUAUACUUAUAGAAAAUAAAGUGUUUAGCUUUUAUUAAAAUUUAGUAUAUGGUAGAACCUCACUAAGUUUUUGACACCGUUGUCGGGAAAGCUUUGGUUCAAUAUCGGUACUAAGAACAAUUUUAUUAGUUUAGAUAUUUUUACUUGUUUUUCUUGUAUUUAUUGUGUCAAGUUUUUUGUUUGUUGUACUUAGUGUCUUGUUGAGUCUUUUAUUUUGUGUUUAAUGUCUUGUUUUUGUUUGUGUCUUUUAAAUUAUUCUUCUUGACUAAUUUUGCUUUUUAGAUUGCUUGAAAGCACUUUUAGGUUCUAAGGAGGAUUGUUUAGUAAACAAACGUAGAUAAAAUUUUGAAAGAAAAAAAGUUCAGAAAUGUACUACAAUUUUCAAAAUUACAACUAUGGAUGUAAUCAAAAGAUAUCCGAAGAUAUGCCUUUUAAAGAUGGUUUAAGUAACUUAAAGGUUAUCAAGAUUAAUUAAAAUUUUAAAAUUUUAUAAAAAAUCUUUUAUGUGUUUAUGAAUUAGACUUUUAAAUUAUGAAUAAAAUUGUAACUAAUGCAUGAUAGUUUCUUUUCCUUUCCUUUCUUAAUCCAUACAAAAUGAAUGGAUUUUGAUUUUCUCCACUCUCCUUUUCUUUUGUACUAGAAUUCUCUCCUUUACUUUCCUCCCCUCCCCUUUCCUUCAAUCCAAACAGAGCCUUAAGGCUUUGUCAAAUUGGCUAGUAUACCGUGAAGACGCAGACAUUCCAAAUGUCUACAUCUAUUGGCCCAAAUCACAUGUGGUCUCCAAUUUGUAUCUUAGGUGAGGAAAGAAUAAUCUCUUGUCUAUUUGUCCCCUCUAUUAUUUUAUUGUUUAUGGUUUCAAUUAUGGCUGUACUUCGGGGAAUACUUACUGUCAGUGUUUUUUUAAUUUGGAGCUGAUUGAAUAGUUCAACCGGUUUGAUCGAGAAUGAGGUCAUUAUUCAAUCCGAGUUAUUCACAUAAAUCGAGCAAUUAUUGGUCUAGUAAAAGAUUCAGUAUGAUGGGGAAAUCAGGUUCUUCAAUAUUCUUUCAUACUUCUUUGUAUCUUCAUAAUUUAUAUACAUGUUUAUAAUAUCAUGAUAACUUCAUUCACUUUUCAUUUCUUUUUUAAUUACGAUACAAUCAAUCAAACCUCUCAAACCCUAAACACCCCCGGCCCCGCGCGGGAAAAAAAAAUUUGUGGUGUGCUUUUUAGUAUCUUAUUCGGACUCAGUUAUAGAGUCCCAUUGACAUAGCUACUCUAGUGCAAAAUGAAGGCGUCGGACAUGAGCACGGCGGGGCAAAGUGAAGAGCCUGAGUAACAUAGGUUGCAGCUGGUUCCAUCGACUUAAUAUAACGAACUUCAAGAUUGAAUGGGACUCUUUGCUCGUUGUUUACUUCUCAAUGAUAAGCUUGACAAGAAUUUCAUGGGUUCACGAUCAUCUUGUAGUAUUCAUGUCGGGAACCACUUCUGAAGCGUUUUGUUUUUGUUAGUUCGGUGGUAAGUUUCGUUAAUACGAGGUAAGUCAACUUUCUGCAAAAAGAUAAAAGUUCACCUGAAAAAAACACAGAUACACUUGCCAGUAUGAAUUUAGCACAACCUGACUGGUACUUACAUGAUCUGAAAACCGGUAGGUGAGUUCAGGGUUGGUCUGGAAGAGUUGAUGUAUUUGACGUAGAUUCAUCAGAAGUUUGAUAUGUUGAUGAUCGUACACAACGUAAAAUAGUAGAUAUACAGAUCAACUACAUACAACCAAUAUUUUGAAAAUUGGAUUGGAUCGGUUGGUUCGAUCGAUUGAACUGCAAACCGAUCAUGUCUCCGGUCCGAUUUACUUAAAAAUUCAAAGAAUUAAUUGAACCGGUCAAAACCGGGGAGGUUUAACCGAUUUUAUUAAGUAUUUAUUUUUUAAAAUAAAUAUUUUAGUUUUAUUCAAAAUGUUUAAUACUAAAAUGAAUAAAAAAUUAUUAAACCUUUAAACCGAAAUCGAACCGAUUGAACCGUAAAUCGAAAGAUUUUUCGUUUCACUCCUCUGUCCGGGUUUAAAAACAUUGCAUACAACUGAACCAAUAAAAAUACUCGAUUCCCCUAGUACCUUUACAUUUGGAGAAUAUUACACUGACAUAAUUGAUAAUUAAUACAACCAGAAGAAACGAGACUAAACAAGGAUUUAUUCAAUUAUGGGAAGAUAAUUAAUAGAAGUCCCAGGCUGCAGAAGACCACACACAAAACAUCAAAGCGACAAAUAUUGAUCACUCGUGCGAUAUCAACAAGCUGCUGCUGCGGAAUAUUUAGUGCUUUGGAACCCACACAAUGUGAUCCCCGGGAAGGAAAUGGCAGAUUGGAACAGUUCCAGGCUUCACCUUGAGCAGUUGAAAAGCCAAAUGCCUGGGGUCCCAUGAAGACGUGUCCUUGUGACAAACAACCACAGCCUUGACUUUUGCUCCAUCAGAACCAACCAAGUUAACCAUAUAAGCAUCGAUGUUCUGGAAGCUGUGGCAGUAAAAAACCUGCGUAGACAUAGUUUUGCUUGUGACAUGCAACCAAUUCAUCAUCAACGAUUGCUUUAUCAUUGUUCAGCUUGGAAACAUCCACAAUACCAUAUUUUUGGAUUUUUCCUGCAUUUUUUGGUGCUUCAUUUGAAAAUGCUAGAAUAUUUUUGCCGAGCUUUGAAGUAGUGAAAUCGACCAUCGACUCGAGAGAUGUCGCACAGUACUUAUCUUCCCCUUCAAUUGCAGGCUCCUCGCAUUCUGCUAUGGUUUUCUUGAUAGCUUCGGCUUGUGCUGAAUGUGGGUUCACUGAGAAUUUAUUCAAAAUUUCAGGAACAGAUUUGGAUGAGAAGGGAGUGGAAUCAGCCACCUGGCGGGGUAAGAAGGCCGGAGUAUCAUUCACUGAUUCAAUAAACUGCAUAUUCACGCUUGAGCCGCGAUGGAGGUCCUUUUUCAAGAAGAAAGCUGUUACUUUUUGGUGAUAAUGGAGUUGGUCUUCGGUAGGACUAUAAUGCGCAAUGUAUUUAUAUAUUUUCAACGGGAUUCUGUCUGGUCUUACGCUGAAACUGCCAACUCCCGGGGGCUUUCCUGUAGUUAAUUGAUGAGCAACAAGGUGAAAUACCAAAUAUUUGAGGGACCAAAUUUAACAUAUUUAAACUAAUAGUAAUAUCCAACAUAGAAAAGCUUCACAGUUUUGUGGGGUAAGAGUUUAAAUUUAUAGAAAAUAUAUCUAAAUUUUUUUACAGCUUAGACCCUCUUGCUGAACCUCUAAUUGUAGCGAAUAUUGGGAACGGUUGUGAGUUGUGACACUUUCUUUGGGUUUGAUAACUGGGAUUCUGCUGGACCACUAUAUUUGUAUGAUCUUGUGAACUAAAUGUAGUGUACAUGAUUAUGUAAAAUUCAAGAUAUUUUACUCAUUUUGUCGGUAAAAGCUUUUACACAGUGCAUGAAUAUGAAAUAAUUAUAAAACAUUUAGCCAAAUCCCUUUUUUUAGGGCAAAUUCCACUUUAUCUCCCUGUAGUUUAACAUUUUCACAUAACCCUCUUAUGGUUUGGAUUAAAAUAUCAAAGUGACGGGAAUGAUCAUUCUCAACGGAGUCACCUAAAAUGUCAAAAAUACUCUUAUGUAAAGUUGAAAAUUAUUUAUUAACCAAGGGGGGUUAUGUGUAUAUUUUAAAAACCAUAUGAAUGUUAUAUGGUAAAAUAUUAAACCGUAAGGGGGUUACAUGGUAAAAUAUAAAAAUCAUACGGGGUUCAUGUGUCAUGUAUUUAUAAGGGUAAUUUUGACAUUUUUAGAUUCCGUUACGAAUGACUAUUUCCGUCACUUUGACACUUUAAUUCAAACCAUGAGAGAGUUAUGCAUACCUUUUAAAACCAUAGGAGAGUUAUGUAAAAAAAACGCUAAACCAUAGGAGAGUAAAAUGUAAUUUGCCCUUUUUUUAUAAUUAAAUAUUAGAUUUUUCUAACAGAUACCUAAUCAGCACUCCAUUUAUUAUGCUAACAAUUAUUAUACUCUUUUACAUUUAAACCCAUCCCUACACUUAACUUUAUUUUUUAAAAAAGUUAAGAGAUUAACUCAAUCUUAAUGAAUGUCCACUCUCGUUGGACAAACCCUUAACUCUUUUACCCAUUUCAUUAUUGGUCCUUGAAUGGGACAAUUGAAAUAUAAAGACCAGAUUUAUUGUGUUUGUGAGCAUAAUUUUGUGAUUUUUUUUUGGUUUUCCCUUUAGUGAAACUAGAAAUUUGUGGUGUAAAUUUUCUCAAAAUUCUUUAGCUUUUGAAAUUGGUUUAGUAUCUAUUAAAACCCUUGAAAUCUUGGGGAAACAAACAGGAAAUUGGGCGAGCAAUAGAAGAAGCGGAAUAAAUAAUAAAGAUUGGAAAGGAGCAGUUCUCGGACAAACCAUUGCGUACGAUAUCUCUGAGAGCUUUGGGCAUCGGACUGUUUGGAAGCUUGGAUUUCCAAUAAACUUCGAGAUCUGCAUGCUUUGCUCCAACUCCUGUCUGGUAUAAAUUUCACGAUACCCAAAAACAAUAUAUCAGCAAUUAAGUUUCCAGGCAGCCCAAAAUUAUCACGAAGUUAAAAAUUGAUAGCCUGUAACUUUGAAAUAUAUAUACACACACACUCACAGAAACAAGUGUGAGAAAGUAGAGGAGCUUGAGCAAGUCCAUAAUACUUAUGCCACAGUAGAAUUCGGCUAUGUAAGGCUGAGUGAAGAGAUACUAAAACCAAAAUGUUGAUGUGAGAUAGCUCAAGAACCUUGGCAGCAGUAUUUAUACAAGUGCAAGAGCCACAGUGGCUUGCUAAAUAUUUGAGAGGGGAAAAGUUGUGACAUGAUUAAUGCUGCACAGUUGAGCAUUUAAGGGUUUGUUUGUUUCGAUUGAAAAAUUUUUUAAGAAAAUGUUUCCUCAAUUUGUGCUUUUUAGCUCAUUUUAAACCCCAGAAAAUGAUAUCUCCUGGUAAAAUGUUUUGCAUGAGUGUGCGUAAAUAAUUCCAGUUACAAACUUACUGAAGUUAUUUUCCACCCUCGUAUCUCGUCUCUUUUGGCUUUAGUUACCUUUAUCAACACAAGAAGUCAAAGGCUUAUUGGAAAUUGUACAGUGGCCUGAUUCACCAACAUCAGUCGGCAAUUCUGUAUACCAAUAACAAUGUCCAGCCUUUGCUUUGGAAAUUUCAAUCCACGAUGAAAUCUUUUAGAUCUUUAAAAGAAUUUUGAUAGUAAAAUAUUCUUGCGAGUCUUGACUUUAUUGCAUUAUCAUCCUCAAUUUCUUGUGGCAGAUAAUGGCUAAUUUGGAAAACUAAUAUUGAUCAUUCAUGUGGCUAUUGCUGUAUUCUCUUCUUGGUCGGAGAACAAUAGCGCGAGUGGUGUAGGUGGUGGAGGACUGGACAGGAGUGGUUGAUAUGUUGACGAACUGAAUUAAUUAUUCAUCAGGACGGGUAUUUUCUAGAAGUAACCAAACACAUGAAAAUUAGAAAUAAAAGAAGAAAAAUUUUUCCAAAAGAUGACUUCCAAUGAAAUUAGUUUCCCAGAGAAAAUAAUUUAUAUGGUACCGAAUAGAUCCUUAGUCACUGUACCUUUCAAUUUUCAUGAUAUGCAACAAUGGAGUAUUUUCAUAAUAGUCAUCAUCGUGCCUACAUCAGUUGAAAAGCUUUGCUGAUAUGAUCUCAUAAAUGAAUGAUUGGCAGAAGAUAUUAUGCAACAUUCUAAAAAGUUGAUUAAAAAACAUAUUAUUUUUUUAUUUCUAACUUUUUUUCUAUGCCAAGUUUAACCAAACAGAGCAUAAGUGCAUCCACAUAAUAUGGGACCUGUUUGGCACCUAGGUUUUUAAAGUAGUUUUUUCUCUACAAAUUUUUAAAAAAUUUUAGAUAUAUAGGAACCUUAAAAAACUUUUCAAAGUUUUUAAAAAAUAUAGCUCAAAAUAACUAAACACAGACAAAAAAAAUUUUUCCCUUCUUUUCUUUCUUUUUCUUCCUCUUCACACCUAGACCCAUCACCAUCUCUGCCAUUGGCCCGUGCUGACAGGCACCUCCAUCACCGCUAGGGCCUCUAUCUCUCUCCCUCUCUUCUUCUUUCUUUCUUUCUUUCUUUCCUUUCUCUCUAUCUCACUCCCUUUGCCUCCUCUCUUCUCCUCCUUUCCGCUACCAUCCCCUUCACCAGACCCCUCCCCUCCCCUCCCCUUGAAGGGAGAGGGGGUGGUAGGUGAAGGAAGGGAAGGAGGAGGAGGAAAGAGGGAGAAAGAAAGGGAGGGAGAGAGAGGAAGAAGGAGAAGAGAAAAAAAAAGGAGGUGGGGAUGGAGUUGGAUGGUGCCAACGGUGGAGGGAGUGGAGUGGUGGUAGUAGUUGACAGUGGAGGGAGUAGAGUGGUGGUAGUGGGGAGGAAGGGAGGAGGGAAGAGGAAGGAGGGAGAAUUUUGAGGGGAGCCGGGGAGAAAGAAAAGGAAAAGAAAAAAAAAAAGAAAGUUUUUUUACACAUUUCUUAAAUACCUAACUAUACAAAAGUUUUUUUCACAAAUUUUACAGUAAGUUACAAUAAAAUUUUAUACAAACAAUAAAAAAACUCACCAUUUAAAUGGGGUUUGGAUAAUCAGAAAACCCUUCUUCUCAUAUUAGGGUCACAAAGUUCAAGUCAUUUCCAUGAUUUCAAUGUGUUUCUCUUGGAUUCUAUCUCUCACAAAUAUUAAUUGCUCCGUUGGUUUUGUGCUUGAUGUUCAUUUGGGGUAUAAGUUGGGCGAAUAAAAGUAUAAUUAGAAGGUGAAUAUAGGAACAGAUAUCUGUUACAAGGUUGCAGAAACCGUCAGAAGGACCCUGCAGAUGAUUAUCUUGCAAAAAAAAAAAAAAGUAGCCCCUAUGGGAUAUCUCUUAUAAUUUCAAGAUGUGAUGAUAAGGUUAGACCAAUGGGCAUUAGCACACUGAUCAUUUGGACUUAUGUUGGGAGCAUUGUUUAAGGUUUCUAUCAAUUGAUUAUGAUACGUGAAGACUAGACACUUCAAAUCACAAGAGCAACGGUUAAUUCCAAUUUUCACUCUUCAACUAUAUUUGUAUUUUCACUUUAAUUUCUAAAUUUUAAAGUGGAAUACUUUAUUCCUUAAAAAAUAAAAUUUGUGUGCUUAAGUAAAAUGGUUGACGGAAAUAGGACACAUUUUAUAUUUAAGUGAGAUACAUAUGUUUUAAGAACUGAAGUAGAACAAAUUUUAUUCAUAAGUAGGAUACUUCUUUUAUAUAUAUAUAUAUAGAGAGAGAGAGAGAGAGAGAACUAAAGUGUGACAAAUUUCACUUAAAUUCAAUAGAUUUUAUAUUUUAGAUAUAAAAGUGUCUCAUUUUCAAAUUUAGGUAUCAAACUAGGGAUUCAACUAUAGUUAAACGGUGCAACAUAGAAUUGACUCCAAGAGGAAUUUUUAGGCAUCAGGAAAGAGGAAUCUUUUAUAAGUCAGUCCCCUCCUUAUUGGUGGCUUUAAUUGGCCCAUAAUGCAUUUAACAUCAUGGCUAAUACGGACGAAUGGUGGCGGCCGGGGUUGGCAUUUGGUGGGAUAGUUGAUAGUGCCACUGGCGUGCUUCAAUUUGCCGCCGUGACGAUGCCAUCUCAGCCACCCUACCCUAAAAGAAAAGGAAAUGAAAAUAGCUAAAAAAAAAUAAUAGAUGUCUAAUGAGUAAUAACAAAUUGUAUUGCUGACGAGACCUUGGUCUAAUAAUUAAGUUGAGAUCCUCCUUUUUCUUUCAUAUUUCUUAGAUCCCAUUCAUCUCCGGCUAAAAUAUUUUGAGGAAAAAGAAAAGCAAAUUGUGUUUUUUGUGUAGUUGAAUUGAACAAAAAACUAAAUAGCUUAGCUCGAUAUACUCGCAAAAAGAAGUGAGGAGACUUUUUGAAACUACGGAAAAAUUAUGUUGCAAAAAUAGACUUUUUUUUUAAUAUUUUACUGUUGAAAAGAAAUUUACUUUCUUCUUUUUCUUUUCUUCUUUUUCCUCUGUUCUCGAGGAGGUAGUGUUAAAUUAAACCAGCAUCGCAUCAAGUCAGUUUCAGCAAUCAAUAGCACUUAAAUGGUCCCAUGAUUGGGCGUGUCAAUUGAGAAGUUUGAGCAAGACUUUGACAAGCCAAGCUCAACUCACAAUAAAAAUAAUGUGUGUUUGGAUAGCAAUUCUUUUUAUCAAAUACUAUUUUACUUGCAUAACAAUUAUAAUUUUCAAUCAACAUUGUAUGUUCCUAAUAAUUUUUUUUUAUCUUACAUACAUCACAUCAUAAAAAAUGUUAUAGUAAUUAUUUCAAAUAAUCUCCUAUCCAAACACAUUCAUCAUAAUUUUAUUAAAAUUUGCACUAAUGACAGAAGUUACAUCAUCAAUCAUACACCAACAUUAAAGAACGGCUCUAAGAAGUACGGAGACUACAUAUUUGAAGAAUAAAUAAAAAUUAAAAUAAAAUAAUUAUAACUUUAAGAACAUUUGUGCAUGCUUCCAAUCCAAAUGAAGAUGCUUUAAUCUAGUGUAAAUUUUGCUGCAAGGUUGGGAAAAUGAAAUAAAAUGUUCAAUUUGGAAUGAAACACACAUACAAUUAUCACUAUGUAGAUUCCAUAUUAACUUGGCCUAAUAAUAGAGUAGGUAAAAGCUCGCCCGUUAGAAGAUUUCUGUUAUUAUGGUAGAUUAACUUGCAUAAGAAAGAAAAAGUUUAUAUAAGAACAUGGAUACAGAAUGCCAAGGAGGCCUUGGUCUAGUGGUUAAAAUUGAAACUCUAGAAAUUAAAGAUUUUGGGUUUAAAUUCCUCUACCCCUCGCGCUUCUUAAGUCGUAUCUCUCCCCUGAUGAUGAAAAUGUUUUUUUAAAAACAUGGAUACAGGUAGAGGUCAGGUUCGGUCCAGAAGGUUGAUAUAUGUGUUGUAGAUUCAUCCAAAAGUUUGGUAUAUUUUGUUAUAGGAUCUACUUUGCAAUUAUCAUACAACGUAAAAUAGUACACAUAAUUUGUACAUCAACCAUCAAUAAUACUCAUCGAGUACCUUUACGUUUGAGGAAAUAUUACACCGACAUAAUUGAUACUACCAUUGGCAGAGAAGAGGCUAAGCAAGAAUUACUUAUUUAUGGGCAGAUAAUCAGUCGCACUCCCAAGCCAAGUUGAUAUUAUCUACUUAGAGGGGGAUUAUAAGUUCAAAUGGUUUUAAAUUUGAUAUUGUCUACUAGUUUAAAAAGGUUUAAGUCAUAAUUGAGUAUUGUUGAACUGUCAUACUAACAGCUUAGAACCAAUUUGGACCCCUGAAGGGAUAUAAAAUUUCUCUCUGAGUUGUAACUUGUAAGUCGAAGGUCUUGAUACCUUUGAAUUUAAAAAACUUAGUGUGUGCCACUACACCCUUCUAAUCUAAACGGACCUUCCCUCUAGCCCCAUAUAUAACACAGGUGUGUGUGUGUGUGUGUUGGGGAGGGGGGGGGGGUGUAAUAUUUGUGUUGCCAAUUAUUAAAGAGCAAACAAAAACCUUACCAGCAUUUUGGUCCUAUUGGAGGGCCACAUCUAAUGUGAGAUUGUCCUUUAGCAUAGGUCCAUAUUACAAUUUACAAGUAUCCAUGACUUGAUGUCAAGAGGGUUGAAUUAAAACUAAUUUCUUGUACACCAAACAAAUUAUCAAAAAAACCUCAGGGGAAACGCCAUUAGAUUAAAAUUUUAUAACUAAUUUAUUAUAAUACCCCCGCCCCCUACCCCAUUAGCCCCGCAGGCAUCCGCCUCCAUUGUCAUCCUUAAGUGCCACUGGGUUAUUAUGGUAACAUUUUAGCAUUCCAUUAUAUCAGGAAUACGUGUCAUGACAAGGUGCCACUACAUCAUUAUUUUAUGAUACUUGCAAAUGCCAUCAAUUUGAGUUUCGAUACAACUUUAAAUGCCACUAUAUUAAAACUUUCCUGUCACUUUGAAAUGCCACUAAAAAAUUAAGAAAAGUAAAAAAAAAAAUUUGAAAUUAAAAAUCAAAUUACCCUUAUUGAUCCUGGUAAUUAAUUACAACUCAGGAAAAUGAAAGUUUCUCCAUAAAAAGAAGUCACAACUAACUAAUAAAUCUAGUAAGAAAUUAUAUGACAACAAUCUAUACAAAUUUAUACAUUUUACAACCGAAACAUGUCUAAAGACAUUAAUCUUUUAAGCUAAUAACUUGAAUAAGAUCAUGUCUUCUUUGCUUCAUUAAUUCUCUCAGAUGCUAUCUAAUCUACAUUUAAACAAUACAAUGAAUAUUGUCUCUUCUCAAGGAUUAGUAAGUAAAAAUAUUAACUUAAGAUAUUAGCAAUAGUAGCUUUUAUACUCUAUUUUUUUUUUGGUGGUAACAAAAUGGUUGCAGCAAGUCACCCUAUCAUGGGCGAGAUGAGGUACCUUGUGCUAACCGAGGGAGUGUUUUUAGAUUGGUUGUGGAGGAGGGAGAUGAACAAUUCUAUAUAUCAACAAUAAUGUCCAGCAUUUGCUUUGGAUGAGAUCUUUUAAAUCUUUAAAAUAAUUUUGGCAGCAAAAUAUUCUUGUGAGACUUGGUUUUUGCAUCGUCAUCUACAAUUUCUUAUGACUGAUUAUGGUUGAUUUGGAAAGCUAAUAUUGAUCAUGUCGCUAUGGUUUUAUUCUUUUCUCGGUCGGAAAAUGAUAGCUGGGUGGGAGAGGUGAUGGAGGCUGGAGAGGAAUGGUUGAUAUGGUGAUGAGCUGAAUUAAAUUACUCUUUACUCGCCACGACAGCUAUUCCUAGAAGUAAGCAAACACAAGAAAAUUAGAAAGAAAACAAGAAUUAUUUUUCCGGAAAAUGACUUCCGAUGAAAUUGUUUUCUCAGAUAUAACUAUUUACAUUGUACCCAAUAGAUCCUUAGUGAAAAGAAAAAAAACUCCUAGAAAAUUAGUCUGAUCAAAAGUUUGGGAUACUUCUACGUGAGAAAAAAAAAAAACCUGUACUGUUCAAUUUUCGUGGUAUGCACGACUGGAGUAUCAACAUAUAUAAUAGUCAGCAUCUUCCCCACGUCAGUGGAAAAAUUUUUGCUGAGGCGAUGGUGGCUUUUUGAGGACUACAUAGUCCAUGACCCCACUCAUAAAUGAAUGAUUGGCAGGUGAUAUCAUGGGAGGUUCUAAAAAUUUGAUUGAAAUAUAUAUAUUUUCUUAUUUCCUACCUUUGUCUUUUAAUCUGGGCCAAGUUUAUGCAAACAGAGCCUAAGUCUGCCGACACAAUAUGUUUUCUGGAUGAUCAGAUAACCCUUCUCAUAUUAGGGUCACAAAGGGUUAAGUUAUUUCCAAUGUGUUUCUCUUGGAUUCCAUAGCUCUCAUAUGUUAAUUGCUCCAUUGGUUGUGUACUUAAUGCUCAAUUGGGCUUGGAGUUGCGUGAAUAAAAGCAUAAUUAGAAGGUGAAUAUAUCUAGGAACAGAUAUCUGUUACAAGUCUGCAGGAACCCUCAGAAAGGACCCUGAAAAUGAUUAUCUUGCAAAAAAAAAAAGAGUAACCCCCCCCCCCCCCCAAGGGGAUAUCUCUUAUCAUUUCAAGAUGUGGUGAAUAGGUAAUUAGAACAAUGGGCAUUAGCAUACCCAUUCGGACUCUUGCUGGGAGCAUUGUUAGUUAAGGUGCCCUAUGCUAAUGGGUUAAGUUCUUUUCAUGAUUUGAAUAUCUUUCUCCUGAAUUCUAUAAUACCUCGCAUAUAUUGAUUGCUCCAUCAGUUUCGUACUUGAUGUGCGUCUACAUAAAAGUAUAAUUAGAAUUAGGUUAAUAUAGCAAAGAUUAUAUAAAAUACUACUGUUUUAAUCAGUUGUAUUGUAUGCACAAGAAUUGCAAUCUGUACUUCCAAUAUAUGUGCGCUCCUAAGGAUGAACUUCAUCUUUUCCAUAUAUGUGCGCUAAUGUGAUGUCCAGAGCACUAGAUUUUGAUUGCAGGAACCUUCAAAAAUAUCUCAUAAUUUCAAGAUAUAUAUGACGAACAGGUCAGAACAAUGGACAUUAAUCACAGCCAUUCGAAUUUUGUCGCGGACAACGCUUGAUGCUUUCUUGAAAUUGGCUAUUGCGCCCUAGCUAGAGACGUAGACAUUUCACAUCACCUGUGGAAUUUUCUUUUUGGGCUCCAAGAUGAAUCUUGGAAUAGGAAAGAGCAAUCUCUUAUCCAUUGGUCCCAUCCUCCUUUACUUAUAUGUGGUUUAAAUUGAUAGCAGAUGGCCAUAGGCAUAUACAAUCGAAAUGAAAAUACCUUCAGCAAAGACAUCAUACGAGGCAAUCAAAGUGUUGAGAUGGAACUAGAGGACGGGUUAAUUUUGCAGAAUUUUGAAGGAAGAUGGUUAGUUGGCACUCACUAAUAUAUAGUAACGCUGGAUGAGCUGAAAGUCCUCAAAGUAGUGGGGAAUUGAACAACCCAUAGGAUAAGGUUUAUUAUUCCCAUUAACUUAUUUUAAUAGGCAUUACUCAAAUACAAAAUAUGGGUAUCCUGUCUAGGGGUUUGAAACCCUUUUUUCUUACCAAACACCCCUGAGUAGCGCAGUACCGGGCUUAGGGUAUCAUUAGAGACUGGAGAUACUGGAAAGAAGCAUGGUGUCUGCUUCUAGUGUCCUAGCAGACUGAGCUGUUUGCUGGGGCUUAAAUCUGGGUUGCAGCAGCUUGUUCCACAACUUUGUAUUAUGAACUUAUAGAUUGAACUUAAAUCUGGAUAGAAAGGUAGUGACGUUGUUUACUUGCCCAUGGACUCUACAUCAUGAAGUUAGUCAGUUGCAGCUCAUUAAUUUUGCUGGGAUAUAUCAUUGUUAUAGAGAGGCUAAUAAACCUGCGGACUUGCUUUCUAAUAUUGGGUGUUCCAAAGGGCUGCCAAAGAUUUAUUCUUUUGAAGCAGAACUUCCACGUUUGGUUAGAGGAGAAGUUAGAGUUGAUAGAUUAGGCUUACCAUCAUCGUGUAAGAAAUGCUAGUUUUUUUUUUCUUUUAAUUUUGUUCUUUUAGUCAGUUACUCGUGUAAUUUCUUGGAGGUAAGGUUCAUAUCCCCAUCCUUAUAAUCUCUUUGGUUUUAUUAAUAAAAUUUGAGUCAAAAUCCUAUCCUCGUGUACGGGGUUUGCAUUGAAAAAAAAAAAAAGAAUUAGACUUUUUGCUCAUUGUAAACUUUAUACACAAUUGUUCAAUUUAGACUCACGAAUUGUCUCCUUUUAUACACAAUUGUUAAAUUUAUCUCUGUAUCUUUAUCUAUCCAAAAAGAAAAAAAAAGUUUAAUGAGGACACUAAAUUUCUCAAGUAAUGAGCUUGACUCGGUUGCAAAAAGAAUUGCAUAGGAUCAUGAUCACCUUUUAGUGUUUAUUAGGUGUUGUUUUUUCUAGUCCGGCGUUAAUUUUUGUUAAAAAAAAAAUAGGCAAGCUUUUCUAGAAAAGAGUAAUGACUUUCUUAAAGAUCGAAGUUAUCAGCAAUUAAGUUUCCCUACUGCCCAAAAUUACCACGAAGUUAAAAAUUAAGAUAGUGGAGGAGCUUGAGCAAGUCCAUAAUACUUAUGCCACAAUAGAAUUCUGCUAUGUAAGGCUGAGUGAAGAGAGUACUAAACCUAAAAUGUUGUGGUGAGAUAGAUCAAGUACCUUAGCAGCAGUAUUUACAGUGCAAGAGCCACCUUGGCUUUCUAACUAUUUGAGAAGGGGAAAGUUUUGACAUGGUUAAGACCGAAUAGUUGAGCAAUUUAGGGACUGUUUUGAAAAUUUUUCAAAAACGAAAUAUUUUCCUUAAUUUGUGCUUUUUAGCUCAUAUUUAACCCCGAGAAAAUGGUUUCUCUUAAUAAAACCUCUUGCAUAGGUGUGUGUAAAUAAUUUCAGUUACAAACUUACCCAAGUUAUUUUCCACCCUCGCGUCUCUCAUCCCCUGGGGCCUUAGUCACCUUUAUCAACGUAAGAAGUCGAAGGCCUAUAGGAAAUUGUUCUGACGGGAUUCACCAACAACAUGAAUCGGCAAUAACAAUGCUUUUGCUUGGGAAAUCUCAAUCCAUGAUGAGAUCUUUUAGAUCUUUUAGAUCUCAAUAAUUUUAGAUCAAUCAUGUGGCUAUUGCUUUAUUCUCUUCUUGAUUGGAGAAUGAUUGUAGGGGUGGAAUAGGUGGAGGAUGCUGGGGGAGGAGUGGUUGAUAUGGCGACAAAUUGAAUUAAUUAUUCAUCAGGACAGGUAUUUUUCAGAAGUAACCAAACACAUGAAAAUUUCAAAGAAGACAAGAAUUUUUUUUUCCUUGAAAAUGACUUCCAAUGAAAUUUUUUUCCCAAUAAAAAUAAUUUAUGUCGUACCAAAUAGACCCUUACUUUCAUCAUCUUCAUACAUAAUAGUCAUAAUAUUGCCUACAUUUGUUGAAAAAAUUGUGCUGACGUGAUGGUGGCUUUUUGAGGAUUAGCAAAAACUCGGUUCGACAAAGAUCGACAACGCCACUUGUAGACUGAAUGACCCAUAAUGUGCCACGUUCUCUUUUCAUUCUUAGCUUCUUUCUUCCUCAUAAAAUCUAUCAAUGACAGGAUGCUUCAAGGUUUUCCGGGUUAGUGACAAUUUAUCCCUUUAAAAUAUAUCUUGACUUUCACUUUAUCCAUUAAUCUUUAUUUUCUGUCAUUUCACCCCUAAGAGACAAAAAUACCCCUCUAUUAUGCUAAGUUUUUAUUUUUAAAUUUUCUACUUCCUAUAAUCAUUGAACUUUAACCUGUGAUUUGGUUUUGACUACUCUAAUUGAUGGUGAUGAUAAAGUUUCGCAUGAGAAGAGUACAUAUAUUAGGGAAAACACUAAUAAUGAUUAUUUAAAAAAAAAACAAAAAAGGAUCCUAAUAAGCAAAAACUCAUUAGAGGAAAAACAACAAAAAAAUGUCCAAUGCUGACAUGUGAAGGUGUGAGUAUAAAAAUGGGUAAUUGACUUUGAAUAAUGUAACUAUAAGGAAACAGAAUAAAAAUUUUUUCUUAAUUUAUUAAAUUGAAAAAUAGAUGAAAUUGAUUGGUAUUUUUUUUUUUUUUUGUAAAUUAGAGAAUGGACAUCCUAAAUUUUUUCUAUUGGAGAAAUUUAUUAUUUUCUUAUAAGUAAAAAUUUGAUAAAAGAAAUCAAAUUUGGAAUAAAAAAAAUGGGGAGAAAAAAUGAAAAAAAAAACUUACAUAGUUGAGGGAUACUUUUGUCUUUCGGGGGGUUAAAUGACACAAAAUAAAGGUUAAAUAGUAAAGUGAAAAUCAAGGCAUACUUAAGCGAAUAAAUUGCAAUUAACACCUCUCCGUCUCCUCUCCUCAAUCCAUCCAAUUACCACCACCAUUAUGAACACCGCCUCCUUACCUCUUCCAUCCCACCCAACUCCAUUACUCUCAUCCCUUUCCUUUGUUCCUCCACUGACACUUCCUGCAACUCUCCCAAUCUGAAAACUCCUUGUCCUCCAGAAGAUUCUCCUCCCCUUCCUUCUUUUUGAGACAAAUUCUACCUCUUAGUUGUUUCAUCAUCUCCCCCAUCAAAUCUUCUAGGAUGCAAGACUAACAGUAUCUCUUUAGUAGAUAUGCAUAUCAAACGAAAAAUAAAACUGAUGAAUUUUCUUCCCUUGGAAUGGCGAACAAAGAAAUGAAGUUAUUCCCAUAACCGUACUCAUAGUAAGGUCACAAACAAUGAAGUUUGUUCCCAUGAUUUCCAGUGUGUGUCUCUUGGAUUCUAUAGCUCUCAUGUCAUAUAUUAAUUGCUCCAUUGGUUAUGAACUUGAUGUGCAUUUGGGGUUGAAGUUGGGAUAACAAAAAAGUAUAAUUAGAAGGUGAAUAUAGGAACAAAUAUCUGUUACAAGGUUCCAGAAACCGUCAGUAAGGACCCUGCGCGCAGAUGAUUAUCUUGCAAAAAAAGUAACCCCUAUGGGAUAUCUCUUACAAUUUCAACAUGUGAUGAAUGGGUUAGAGCAAUGGGUAUUAGCACACUGAUCAUUCGGACUUAUGUUGGGAGCAUAGCUUAAGGUUUCUAUCAAUUGACUAUGAUACGUCAAGACUAGACAUUUCAAAUCACUAGAGCAACGGUUAAUUCCAAUUCCCACUCUUCAACUAUAUUUGAAUUUUCACUUUAAUUUCUAAGUUCUAAAGUGGGAUCCUUUAGUCCUUAAGAAAAUUUUUUUUGUCUACUUAAGUGAAAUGAUUGUCGGAAAUAGGACAUAUUUUACACUUAAGUGAGAUAUAUUUUAUAUUUUAAGAAAGAAAGUAAGACAAAAUUUUCUACAUAAGUAGGAAAUACUAACGUAUAACAAAUAGGGGUGUUCAUCGAAAUCGAAUUCGGUAAUUUGAAAUUUUGAAUUCGGAAUCUUUUGAAAUUCGGACAUUAAGAAUUUCAACCAAUUUCGAUUUUGAUUUCACAAAUAUCGAAUCCGAAUUGAAUUCGGAAUUCGGUUCACCGAAUUCAUGAGGAACUUUUUGGAGUUUUGUUUUGUAUUUCUAAUUUUUUUAUUAUAAUUAUAUAUAAGUUUUGCUAAACUAAAUGCUAACUUUUGUAUAAUAUAUGUUUAUAAUUAUAAGAUAAUAUACAACUAACUUAAUAAGACUUAUUAUCGUGUUGUUAUAUAAUAUAAUUAUUAGUUAAAUGUAUUAUUAUAUAAUAUAAAAUUUAUGUUACAUAUACUAUAUAUGUAUAUAUAAAUAACAUAUGAAUUUGAAAUCGAAAUAGGUAUUCGAUUUCUGAUUUCGAAUUCAAAAAAUUCAUUACCGAAUUGGAACCAAAUUAAUAUAUUUCAAAAACGGAAAACCCGAUUUCCAUUUCGUUUAGGUGCCAAACUCGGAAUUUAAGUAUAAUUAAAUGAUGCAGCAUGGAAUUAACUCCAAGCGGAACUUUCAGUUAUCAGGAAAGAUUAUCAAUCGGUCCCCUCUUUAUUUGUGGCUUAAAUUGAACAUGGUAGAGUACUAGUGCCCGUAAUGCAUUUAACAUCAUGCUAUACGGCUGCUUAUGAAGUGAUAUAAUUUUUUCUUUCUUUUUGAAUGCGUAAUCGCGACGGAUGGUGGUGGCCGGGGUCAGCAUUUGGUGGGAUAGUUGAUGGUGCCACUGCCGUGCUUCAAUUUGCCACCAUGACGGUGCUACCUCAGCCGCCGUACUCUAAAAGAAAAGGAAAUGAAAAUAACUAAAAGUAAUAAUAAAUGUCUUAUAAGUAACGACAAAUUGUGUUGCUGAUGAGAUCUUUAUCUAAUAGUUAAAGUUGAAAAUCUUUUUCUCCUUCAUUUCUUAAAUUUCACCAUUCCUCUCUUAAAAUAUUUUAAAACAAAAAACAGAUUGCAUUUUUUAUGUAGUCGAGUUGAGCAAAAAAUUAAAUAAUUCAACUCGAUAUAGUCGCAAAAGGAAGUGAAAAGACUUUGAGAAACUCUAAAGAAAUUAUGUAGAAAAAUAAAUUUUUUUUAAUAUUUUACUUUUGAAAAGAAAUUUAUUCUCUUCUUUUUCUUUUUGUCUCUGCUCUCGCGAAAGUAGUGUUAAAUUAAACCAGAACUAAGGCAUGAAGUCAAUUUUAACAAUCAAUAGCACUUGAACGGUUUCAUGAUUAGCUGUGUCAACUGGGAUUUUUGAGCUAGACUUUGGUUAGUCCAAGCUCAACCAAAACAUUCUUACGCACAUAGAAUAAAUGCACAAAAACUCCCCUGUAACAUUUUUAUGAGUUUCACUUUGCAUUCACAUUUUAUGAGUUUUAAAUAGGCACGAAGUCCAUCUUGGUACCAAAAAAAAAAAAAAAGAGCUGAUUAAACAAGAUAGAAACAGGCACAAGAUCAAGAUUUCAUUUUUGUAGGAAAAAUCCCUUGAAUUUAUCUGUUUUAGGGUGUCAGAAGAUGGGCCACCACUUCAUGUAGGAUUUAAGGACAGUCCUUAACUUUCAAAAAAAAACGUUGCACAAAAGCGAGAUAAAGCAACACAAGGGCCGCCGCAAAUGGAAUGACGGACCAAGGGUUAUUAAAAUAAUUCCUCAUUAGAUGAGUCCUCCAGAUGCUCCAACGCCGGCUAGAGCACUCGUUCGCUAGCUUGAAGAAAUCAUAUAGCUUAACAAAUUUCUUGUCCUUAUUUUUUUGGUUAAUUAGUUACUUACGUGUUAUCAUGUGAGUAAUUCUUAUUGUUUAAAUUUAACUCCAGUUUUGUUUCUUUUUUUUUUUAAUAUAAUUUUACGAACACAUAUGUGAAUGCGACUAGAUUUUGUUGGUAAUUAAAAAUUCAUAAAUUAUCCUAAAUUUACUUCAAAUUAAUAACAUUGUGGAUUGGAUUUACUCUUGCCGGCAUUUUAGGGACUAAAAUCGAGCAUGUACCAAAUAUUUGGGGCUAAAUUUGUUUUUUUUUUUUUUUAAACUUCAAAAAUUAAAAUCGCGCAAAUGCCAAAGAUUGAGGGUCAAAACUGCAUUGUCCCUCGCUAAAAAAAGUCCAAAAUGUUUUAAUAAUCUUUUGAUUAUACCAAAUUAGAGCGGUCACUACCUACAUAACAAGUGACGCAGCCAGAAUUUUUUCCUUGGGGGCCAAAAUUUUUUCGAAUAAAAUUAUCUUAAUAUGUUAUGUUCAAAAUAAUUUUUAUUUAUUUAAAUAUAUGACUUCUUAAAAUAUCAAAUAUUAACUUUAAUUAUAAAGGUAUGUCUAUUUCAUAAAUAUGUAGCAUAGUCAUAACUAAAAUUAAGACAAGAAAUAACAUUUGAUUAAAUAUUUUAUAACAUCACAAACCACCUAAAAUGCACAUUAUGAGAAGAUGCUCUAAUGUGUCACUUGUGCAAAGACAAAAAUAUAACUAUGCAAUAUAAAUAUAACUAUUUUCAAUUAAAAAAAGAUAAAAGUUAUGUUAACAUACCUUGAAAUCUCAUCCUCUUUUAUUGAAAGUAAAUUGAGCAUUACAUUCUCUCACAAAACUAAAUUCCUGUAUAAUUGAAUCAAUGCUAAAUUUUUGAACAACUUCCUUUUUUUAUGUACAUUGUUAGGCAAUCAUUCACGAAAUUAUCUUUUAUCUUGUUUUGGAGCUUUAUUUUGAUUAUCUUCAUAAUUGAAAUUGUCUAUCCUAUAGACUAUAGAACAAAGCCAGGAUUUUUUCCUUUGGAGGGGGACCAAAAUUUUUCUGAACAAAAUUAUAUUAAUAUGUUAUGUUCAAAAUAAUUUUCAUCUAUUUAAAUACAUGACAUCUUAAAAUAUCAAAUAUUAACUUUAAUUAUAAAGGUAUGUCUAUGUCAUAAAUAUGCAGCAUAGUUAUAACUAAAAUUAAGACAAGAAAUAACAUUUGAUUAAAUAUUUUAUAACAUCACAAACUACCCAAAUUGUACAUUAUGAGAAGAUGCUCCAAUAUGUCACUUGUGUAAAAACAAAAAUAUAGCUAUGCAAUAUAAAUAUAACUAUUUUUAAUUAAUAAAAGAUAAAAGUUAUGUUAGCAUACCUUGAAAUUUCAACCUUUUGUUUUAAAAGUAAAUUGAGAUUUACGUUCUUUUAUAGAACUAAAUUCAACUAUAAUUGAAUCAGUGCUAAAUUUUUGAACAACUUCUGUUUUUCUAAUGUAUAGUGUUAGACAAUCAUUCAAAAAAUUAUCUUUUAUCUUGUUUUGGGGCUCUGUUUUGAUUAUAUUCAUAAUUAAAAAUACCCGUUCUAUAGUUGCAAUUGACACGGGAAGAGUGAGGACAAAUAUAUCAAUAUAUCAACAACAGGAUAGAUCACUCAAUUUCUUGUCUUCACCAAACCUUCAGUAUAUUUGUAUAUGGGUUAACAAGACGAUAGAUCACAAAUUUUAAAUUUUUUAUCAAUUAGGCUAAGUUGUAUAUUUGUAUAUGGACCAAUAAAGUAAUUAUUUUGUUUUAACCCAUUGAUAAUUAUGAAUUGAGUCUUUUAUUAUAAUAUAUAGAAAUGGGUCAAUUUACUAUGGAUCAUCAAAUUAUAUGUUUAAUUUUUUGAACGUUAAAUAAUUAGCACAAUAAAAAAUAAAUAAAUUUUUUUUGAAGAAAAACGGAUAUAUAUAUACAUAUAUAUAUAUAUAUAUAUAUAUAUAUAUAUAUAUAUAUAAACUCUCAUAAUAUAAACUAAAAUUGUAAAAAAUUAGGAGGGGUCAACUUUGUCUUAUACAUAUAUUUACAUAUUAUGAAUUAAAAUUUUCAAAACCCCCCUCAGCCCACCUUGACUUCGUCAUUGUACAGAAUGGCUUUGAUAAGGGGUGGAGCAUGGAUAUACUUGUCCUGAACAGAGUUUUACAUUCUUAAGAUUGCAUCCAUCAUCCUGAACUAGGACGAAUUCGACCUCAGCGUGCAAAAUACCAAAGGACAUUUUCAUCAUAUGCUUAGUGUAGUACCCAGGAUCAUCUUCCUCGAGAUGAUCAUCUCUCCCGGACAAUUUUUGAUAUGAGGAGUCACUUUGUAGUCUAGAUGUCCAGUGAGCCGAGGACACUUACAACAAGAAGUGAUUGACGCGACACCUUACAAGCUUUUGUAGGCCUAUGCUCUUGCUCCAGCAGAUCUAGAGCCUACCUAUAGCUGUAUCCUAUCCCAUCAAUGCGGCCCGAACCCCAAGGACACCUCUCAUGUUUCACUAUAAAUACCCCUCUUUUCUUAGACCCUAGAGAUAACUGUUUCUUAACUCUCAUACUCGGUAACUUAUGUCUGAGUUGUUAACUCUUGCUAACUUAAGCAUCGAAGCCAAAUUGGGGGAAUACUCUACCUGUGCUUUUGAUAUCAUACAGGAAAUCCGAACUAGAGUUUGUCGAUCUCCAGUUUUCUCAGGAGUUUCGAUCGUGACUCUACAAUUGGCACUGUCUGUGGGAAGUGAAGUGAAUACAAUUGCUCUACUCUCUCAUGACUAAGACUUGCUCUAAUCGUGGAAACCAGAACCCCUUAACUUUUGGGAGCCGUAUAGCCGAUCCAAGAGAUCAGGACAUACCAGAGAAUUCACAUCCUCAUGGAGAGGUCAUAGCUCGAGUGGCCGAGUUUGUGGCCUCCAGUCUAGGGUUUUUGGAAGAGAUUGUCAGGCAUAUGAAAGGUUAGGAUAGAGGCAAAUCUUCUCAAAGAUAGCCCGAAGAGUCUUCUUUGUCUUCUUUUGAGGGUGACUCGAAUGACCAUCACUCCAAGAGGAAAAAGGAAAAGGACCUUUCUAAAUUGAAAGGCAAAGUGCAUUCUAAAGUUUCCUCCAUUUUCGAGAGCACUGCUCAAGAACCCGUUCAAGAGGAAGGACACAAGUGAAUGGUCUAGAUACAGAUCGGCCCUCUAUGGAGAUAACAUGGUCCUUUCACCCCUAACAUUACCUAAGAAGUUUUUCCAGCAAACUUCAAAUUCCCAAAUGUUCCAUUCUAUGAUUGAAAAGGUGAUCAUGAAGACCAAGUCCAUGCCUUCUUAUCGGCAUUCAGAUUGUAUGGGAUCCCCAACACAGUGAUGUGUCAGGCGCUUCAUCAUUUUGUUAAGACUUAAUAUUUGAGCAAUUUAAUGGCUAGCCUUCUCAUGCAUGGUAUGCACCGAUCUUUAGAAUCGGCAUAGUAUGCAGGGGCAACCGCCAUCCCCAAGUUUUUGAGAGUUUUCUUUUAGCUCCUAGGAAAUUUUAGGAAAUUUCAUUAAAAAUCUUUCUCUUUCACCCGUAUAUUAUCAGUUUUGAGCAUAAUUCUAUGAUUAUGGCUUGUAUGUUUUUUUUUUCUCUUCUAACUCUUAGCUAUUCAAUCUUGAUAUCUGAUUGCAGCUCAAAAUUUUUUUAUCAUUGUCUUUUUUUAACAAAAAAAUGAUAAUAAAUUUAGUGACAUGAAACACAACAAUGAAGCUGCAUAUUCAUUACCGAAUCGAAAUAUGCAUUAGUUAUUUAUUAAUAGUAUUAUCACUUUACCUCUUAACAUUCGGUGUCACUAUCAAUUUCUCCCUUAACGUUACCUUUUAGUCACUUUACUCCCAAGACUAAUGGUCAAACUUAACGGAUUUUGUUAAUUAAAGUGAAAAGAUACGUUUAACCCUUAAAAUUAUUAUCACUUUAUCCUCAUAAACUAUACCCUCAUUAUCAAUUUACCCCCUAUAGUUAUUUUUUAGCCAAUUUAUUGCACCAUUAAAUCAACUUAGCUAAUUAAAGAAUUCUAGAAGAAAGUACUCUUUUCUUUGUAUAAUAAAAAUAAUAAAAAAUUUAGAAUAACUCUUCUCCUUUUUAGUAUCAAGAAAAAAAAUCAAAUUGUUAAUCUCUUUCUUCUUAAUAAUUGAUAAGUGGAUAUUUUAUGUAUUUUUAGUAUGUUUUACCAGUUAGUUUUGGUGUGUUUUAUAUAGUUUUAUAGUUAAUUAACUAGGGUUUUGGUCAAAAUAUCUAUGUUGCGGUUUAAUUGGCAAAAAUUACAUUUAUAUAAAUUUUAACGGAAAGAACUUCAUAUUUUUGUAGGUUUAAAGACUCAAUCAUCAGUUGCAGUGAAUUGAGAAGAAAAUUGGAUGAUAAUUGAUGAAUUGAAGUGGUUUAAAGAAGGCAUGAAGUACAAAACAUUCAAUUGAGGGAAUUCAAGUAAAGACAGUUUCGACACAUCUCGAGCUAUAUCUCGACACAGUUUCGACAGUAUCUUGGUAUUUCGGCUAUAUCUCGAGCUACAAUGAUCGGAUCGAGGUGAUCUUGAUACCAUUUUUAAGCUAAGAGAUAUAUCUACAUUUGGUAUGAGACAUCAAAGUCCAAUUCAGCCAUUUUCCUAGUUAAAAAGUCGAAAAACAUAAACUUAUCUGGAUGGUCGAAAGCUGAAGCCCAGAAUUGACCAGUUUAUGGUAUUUUGACGAUAUCGCCAUUCACCGAUCUCCAAAUUAGAUGAUUCUUGAAGCAUUGGAAUGCUAAUUCAAAGGGUUACAACUUUUGUGUUUUACACAACAGCCAGUUCGAUGGCUAUAAUAGAGAAAAUUGUAGUUGAAAUGACGUCAAAAGUGAAAAUGCGUAUGGCAACCGAAUUUCUGCAAUUUACUUAGCCAUUUUUCUCAUAUUCACACUACUUUCCAGCUAGAGUUGGAGAGAAAACGUAGGCUGCAUAUGUUUCUGAUGCACAAAGGAAGAAAAAUAGCUUAUUGUCAAGUCAAAAAUAUACAGUAGAAUCAAGAGGUUGGAACUUUGUUCUGUUGACUUGGUUAACACCAGAUUUAGAGAAUUAAAGGGGAGAAGAAAAAUACGGUAGGUGAAUGGAGAAUAUCAGAAUUUGAGGAUAAAAACUGAGGCUGGUCAUAUUCUCUUGAGCUAGCAAUUUUUGUAGAAGCUUGAGGAGUGCGGAAAUGUAGUUCUUCCAUUUUCUUAGUGUAGGAUACUUUAGCUAGUUAACUCAUCCACUCUUGUAUAUUGGCUAGAUUAGGAUGAAGAUGGAGAUGAAGAAUGAGGAAUUGAAACUCAAGUGACAUGUGUUAUCUCUUUUCCAACUCUUUAUCUUUUGCAUUGAAUUCUUAAAUAUGGUUAAUAUGCAAGUUCUGGAUUUUGUGUCUAUUAUGUGUUUUUAAAGUUUAUGCCUUGGGUUUGGUUGAACUUUCUAUGAUUGUUAGUGUUUAUUAUUUGGUUAUUUGAUGUUAUUAUUUGAGCAAGUUAUUUAGCACUUUAACUCUUUAAAUCAUAAUUAAUCUAGUACCAUUAAUUGUGAUUAUCUAAGGUGUUGUUUCUGCAAUGAAAAUUGAGAUUUAAUACUAGUUCAAAAAGUGCUAAACAUAGGGAGUACACUCACGAGAGUAGAGGUGUAUCUGUGUGGUUUUAGUGAUUAAUUUCAUUGAAGAAUGAACUUGUAACUAAUUUCAUAACCAUGAGAAUAAGUAUGGAUUAGUUAUAAGUAUAGUUGAUUUACUACGAAAGUAGGAUUUAUAUGCAUAAGGAAAUUACAUCAUAACUAUCCUAGAUAGUAGUAUUCAAUGAUCCAAAUAUAGCAUUUGCAUGAGUAGUUAGGGAUACCAUAAUCUAAGGUGCUUUCAUUUGUUAUUUUGCAUAAGUUUAGUAGGUUUCAUUUCUUAUAUUUCAUUGAUAGUGUAAAUAAUAGAGAAACUUGAGUAACACCGGUAAUUGUUUAAUCUUCCUCAUGGAAUCGACCUGAUACACGCCCUAAACUACUAAUUUGACCUGUAUAUUUGCAAUGAAACGGGAGUAAUUCGAAUUUUUAACUUGUACGUAUAUCAAAAGCCCGUCAAGUUUUUGGCGCCGUUGCGUGAAGAGCAACUUUAUUAGUUUGGACAUUUUAUUAGUUAUCUAGUGUGUGUUAAUCGUGUCUAGUUUGUUGAAUCAGUCCUGAAUGUCAUUUUCUUUUAUUUUUGUGUUUUAUAUGUGUAUGUGUUUUAUUACCUAUUUUUCUUACUAAUUUUGCUUUUGAGAUUGUUUAAAAGCAAUUUUAGGUGAUGAAAAAGGUAGAUUAAUUUGGAGGACAAUGCUUGAGAAGUGAAAGAUUGGCAAGGGAUGGUUACCAAGUGCAAAACUCCUUUAAUAGAGGUAACUAAGAAAUUAUCGAAGGUAUGUCUUUUGAAGAUGGUUUAAGGUGCUUAAAGGCAAAAUUUAAUGUAAUUAUGUUACAAGUUCAGAUGGACAUAAUUAUGCAUGAAAUCGAGCAAGAGAGGAAUGUUAAUGAUUUUAAUUCUUAUUAUGUGAUUUGUGACUUGUGUGGAGGUUAUCAUGCUACUAAUACAUGUAGACAAGUACAAAAUGUGAAUUACUAUAAUGAAUUAGAUCAUUACAAUCUUUGUUUUAAUCAAUAUGGUGCUAAUUGGAGCAAUUCUUAUGCUUAUGGUUGGGAUAAUCAAGGUACUUGUAGUGAUUCUUCAUAUUUUUAUCAUUACUAACCUGAAAAUGUCCAAUAUGAAUCAAAACCAUCUUGGGAGUUAGCUAUAGAAAAAUUAACUAAUGUGACUUCCGACCGUUUUGAUAGGAUUGAUGAAAGAAUAGAUGAAUUAACUUCUCACUUUGGUAGAAUAAAUGAGCAAUUGAAUGCAUUGUAUGGAGUUAUUUCUUCUAAUAAUUUGCAAAAUGAUCCUAGCAUGAAUGGUGAAAAUGUUGUAUGUGAAAAUGGAUUGCAUGUUGAUGAAAAUGAUGAAUCUCAAUUGUGUUUCGAUGAGCAAAUGUCCAUUUCACAUGAUAAUAUCUUUGGAACUAAUCUUGAACCUCAAGAGGUGAGUUUUAAUGACUCAUUUUUUACCUCUCUUGAGGAGUGCAUUGAAAGUAUAGGUUCUAAGGGUAUUGCUGCCCAAGAUAUUCUCAUGUCAUCUCCUUUGGUAAGUUCUCAAGUGGUGCAUAUUCAAGGUAAUAUCUAUGAAACACUUGAGAUAGGUAAGUCACUUCCAUCUCUCACAUCAUUAAAACAUGUGAUUUUUUCUAUAAAGUCACAUUUUAAUGAUCCACCACGCUCUAAAUUGGUGAAUUAUUCAUUGACAAAGCCUCCUUGAGAAAUAAGGCAAAAAUAGUCGAGCCAACGACUAUAAAUAAAAGCGCUUGUUGGAAGGCAACCCAAUGUUUUGGUUAUUUAUGUUAUUUUGGUAUGAUCUUAUAUUUAAAUUAUGUGUUUGAGUUAUUUUGGUAUUUUUCACUUGUAGGUAUCGGAAAUAGAAGCAAAAGUGACCAAAUGAGGUGAAAACGGCGAAUUUUGAUCAAGGAACUCAACCCCUCGAUUUGCAUUAAAGGUGUUUUGGAUCCGUUAGAAAGGGUGUGGAGAUAAAUGGAUCAAUAGCUCUUGAACUUCAUGCUGUGACACUUCAAUCACAAUAAUAGGGGAGUAUUACUUUCUUUGUCUUGAUUUCCCUUUUUACACAUUGAGGACAAUGUGCAUAUUAAGUGUGGGGGAGAAUUGAGAUUAUAUACAUUGUAUGUGAUUGACUUAUUGGUUGCAAAUAUUGGACUUGUGUUAAAAUUCUAAAUUUUUUUCAAAAUCUUGUCCAAAAUUGCAAAAUUGCCUCAAAAAAUUUCAAGUUUUUUCAAUUUUAUCCAAAGGACAAUAAGUUCCAUACCAUUAGUAGUUCAAAUUCCUUCUACAUUUGAGAUAAAUAUAUGUUAUUUGGAAACUUCUUUUCUCCUUUAACUUGGAAAUGACUAUUAUGUGAUUAUAAUUUUGCAUUUGUAGGAAAGUAUAUCUUUUAAAGUGGAGAGAAUUAUGCCUAUUUUUUUUUUUGCAUAUUUAAUGAAAUUUCUUCUCUUUAUUUGAUUUUAUAAGUUAAGUGAUAAAUAUGGUCAAUAAGUGCAAUACUCUUCUCAUGAUUAUUCUUUUGAGAAAAUUAUUAUUUUUUAUUAUCUUCGCUGUUAAAAAAAGAAAAAAAAGAAAAGAAAAAAUGAUAAAAAAGAAGAAAAAAGAAAAUAAGAUUUGUUCUACUCCAAUGAUUCUUGUACUUAGUAACCGAGAGUCUUCAUUUACAAAUGUCGACUUUCGCGUAAAACGGUACUUGAAUUAAGAGUAUGCAAAGCAAUUUGAGCAUGUGAAAUGUUAAGUAACCGGUGAUCUUUAUUUAAAAAUGUCGAUCCUCGCAUCGAAAGGCACUUUCACGUCUUAAGUAAUAUUUAGAUAUGUUAUAUGAAUAAAUACCUUUUUAAAUAGAAUAAAAAGAUGAUCAUGAGUUUAAUAAGUAUUUUAUUGACUAUAUGAGUUACUUGCUUAUAAAAUUGGGUAAGGAUGAGAAAUUGAUUUGAAUUUGUUAUAAUAGGGGUAUAAUUGGCUCUUCUUUACUUGAUAUUAUGAAUACUUGAGGAUUAAUGAAAGAUUGCAUAAUGGUUAUUUACCUUGUUUUGAGAAAAUGAAGUUAAAUGGUACACAUAUGUUUAAAAGUUUGGACCAUUGUUGGUUUAUAUUUCCAAUUACUUGAAAAUAAGCAAUGAUUCAAGUGUGGGGGUAUUUGAUAAGUAGAUAUUUUACGUAUUUUUAGUAUGUUUUAUUAGUUAGUUUUGGUGUGUUUUAUCUAGUUUUAUAGUUAAUUAACUAGGGUUUUGGUCAAAAUAUCUAUGUUGCGGUUCAAUUGGCAAAAAUUACAUUUAUAUAGAUUUUAACGGAAAGAACUUCAUAUUUUUGUAGGUUUAAGAAUUCAAUCAUCAGUUGGAGUGAAUUGAGAAGAAAAUUGGAUGAUAAUUGAUGAAUUGAAGUGGUUUAAAGAAGGCAUGAAGUACAAAACAUUCAAUUGAGGGAAUUCAAGUAAAGACAAUUUCAACACAUCUUGGUAUUUCGGCUAUAUCUCGAGUUACAAUGAUUGGAUCGAGGUUAUCUUGGUACCAUUUUAAAGCUAAGAGAUAUAUCUACAUUUGGUAUGAGAUAUCAAAGUCCAAUUCAGCCAUUUUCCUAGUUAAAAAGUCGAAACACAUAAACUUAUCUGGAUGGUCGAAAGCUGAAACCCAGAAUUGACCAGUCUAUGGUAUUUUGACCAUAUCGCCGUUCACCGAUCUCCAAAUUAGAUGAUUCUUGAAGCAUUGGAAUGCUAAUUCAAAGGGUUACAACUUUUAUGUUUUACACAACAGCCAGUUCGCUGGCUAUCAUAGAGAAAAUUGUAGUUGAAAUGACGUCAAAAGUGAAAAUGCGUAUGGCAACCGAAUUUCUGCAAUUUACUUAGCCAUUUUUCUCAUAUUCACACUACUUUCCAGCUAGAGUUGGGGAGAAAACGUAGGCUGCACAUGUUUCUGAUGCACAAAGGAAGAAAAAUAGCUUAUUGUCAAGUCAAAAAUAUACAGUAGAAUCAAGAGGCCGGAACUUUGUUCUGUUGACUUGGUUAAUACCAGAUUUAGAGAAUUAAAGGGGAGAAGAAAAAUACGGUAGGUGAAUGGAGGAUAUCAGAAUUUGAGGAUAAAAACUGAGGCUGGUCAUAUUCUCUUGAGUUAGCAAUUUUUGCAGAAGCUUGAGGAGUGCAGAAAUGUAGUUCUUCCAUUUUCUUAGUGUAGGAUACUUUAGCUAGUUAACCCAUCCACUCUUGUAUAUUGGCUAGAUUAUGAUGAAAAUGGAGAUGCAGAAGGAGGAGUUGAAGCUCAAGUGACAUGUGUUAUCUCUUCUCCAACUCUUUAUCUUUUGUAUUGGAUUCUUAAAUAUGGUUAAUAUGCAAGUUCUGGAUUUUGUGUCUAUUAUGUGUCUUUAAAGUUUAUGCCUUGGGUUUAGUUGAACUUUUUAUGAUUGUUAGUGUUUAUUAUUUGGUUAUUUGAUGUUAUUAUUUGAGCAAGUUAUUUAGCACUUUAGCUCUUUAAAUCAUAAUUAAUCUGGUACCAUUAAUUGUGAUUAUCUAAGGUGUUGUUUCUGCAAUGAAAAUUGAGAUUUAAUACUAGUUCAAGAAGUGCUAAACAUAGGGAGUACACUCACGAGAGUAGAGGUGUAUCUGUGUGGUUUAGUGAUUAAUUUCAUUGAAGAAUGAACUUGUAACUAAUUUCAUAACCAUGAGAAUAGGUAUGGAUUAGUUAUAAGUAUAGUUGAUUUACUACGAAAGUAGGAUUUAUAUGCAUAAGAAAAUUACAUCAUAACUAGCCUAGAUAGUAGUAUUCAAUUAUCCAAAUAUAGCACUUGCAUGAGUAGUUAGGGAUACCAUAAUCUAAGGAGCUUUCAUUUGUUAUUUUGCAUAAGUUUAGUAGGUUUCAUUUCUUAUAUUUCAUUGAUAGUGUAAAUAAUCGAGAAACUUGAGUAACACCGAUAAUUGUUUAAUCUUUCUCGUGGAAUCGACCCGAUACAUGCCCUAAACUACUAAUUUGAUCUAUAUACUUGCAGUGAAAUGGGUGUAAUUCGGAUUUUUAACUUGUACGUAUAUCAAAAGCCCGUCAAUAAUCUUAUUAAUAUUGAAAAAAAAGAAAGAUGUGGAGGAGGAGGGGGAGGGGGAGGGGGAGAGAGAAAGAACUCAAUUCUUUUUAAAAAAAUACAAAUAAGAAAAAAUUACAUACUUUUAUUAUUUUAAAAUUAUUUCAUUUUUCUAUUUACCACCAAAUUUCAAUCGUAAUCCCGACAACCUUAAAGUAAUACGAUGAUGUUAGACUCUUCUUUAUUUUCUUUCUUUGCAAAAUCUAAUUUUCUGUCUCCUUCUUUUCUAUCUCCUUUUCUUUUCCUAGCAUUAGUAAGUGUGAAAAAAGAAAUUUGAGAAAUUCUUUUAUUUUUAUGUUUUUGGAUCCCUUAAAGUGAAAAAAAGGAAGAAUAACCUUUCCAACUUUUUCAUUUUUCAUUAUAUAUAAAAAGGGUAAAUAUAUUUUAAAAAUUUUGACCAUACUAGUUAGAUUAACGAUGAGAUAAAAUGCUUAGAAAAUAAUGUUAGGAAUUAAAGUGAUUGUAUCACUAUAAUUUCAAGGGAUAAAAUGGUAAUAACAAUGUGAUAAUGGUAUAGAAUAAAGAGGUAUUUUCGUCUAAAAUUUUUUAGCAUGUUGAUAUAUUUUUUGUAUAUAAUAUUUAUAUAUAUUUAUAUAUAUAAAUAUUUUUGUAUAUUAAUUUUUGUAUUAAUAUUUAUAUAUGUAUUUAUAUAUUUAUUAAACAAAAUAUAUUUUUUUGUAUAUAAUAUUUAUAUAUAAAUAUAUUUUUUGUAUAUUUGGAGUUGUUUUUAAAAUAUUUGUUUGGAUAUGGUGUUUUUGAAGUUGUUUUUGUAAAAUUUUUACUGUAGCAUUGUAGAUGAAAAACAAAUUUUUGAAAAACUCUCAAAUCCAAACGGAGUCAAUGUUAGAGGGUAAACUGAUAGUAGUGAUAUAGUUUAAAGAAAUAAAGUGAUAAUAACCCAUAUUAAUAUGACCUCUCAUUUCUCUAUUCUUCUCAUUCCUACAAUCUUAAGGGCAAAAAGUUGACUAUUCUCUAAUCUCAAACUCUCAAAAGCAAUCAUAUUUGAUCAGGAUAUAAAUUGAAAAUACCCAUACACAUACUAUUGCUAAGAUGUGUGAUAUUUGCACUCUUAUAUUAGCCUCUCAUAUUGCAAUUCACUUACUGAAUAAAAGGCCAUCUAUGAGUGUGAGUGGCAAAUUUGGGAGUGGAAAUAUCACUUUUUUGUUUCUAAUUAGAUGCAUGUAGUGGUUUUAUAUGUUUAAGGAGAAAACUUUUGGAUAUAUACAAAAUUAAUUAUUAGUUUCAACUUCACAUAUAAAAGAUCACAUGUAUUUAGGACCAACUACAUAAAUUUGAAAUUUGGUAGAUAAUAAAAAUGAAAUAAUUAAUUAGUUGAAUAGAUCACAAGUAUUUAGUUUUGAAAAAAAAUUUCUUGGCAUAGUAAAUAGAAUUUUGAAUAAAUCAACAUGUAAUGCUAAUGCAAUUAAUAACAAGUUGAACUUCAUAGAUUAACAACAAAAUAUCAAGGUAAAAAAUAUUUAAAGAGGAAAAGUUUAAAUUUUUCAUAAAACAAAAGUUAGGUGUUGGGUGACAAUGCAAUUUCAUUAAAUCUAAUGGGGCAUAAUAAAGAUCUUCAAUGAAAAUUUUUGAAAUUUCAUAGGGACUAAAAACAAUAAAAAACUUGGCUGUCCCCGUAGCUUCCCGCCGCCCAUGAAAAAUUGGCCACAUGCAUGGUUUAUUGCCCCACUCAAAACGAUUGAUUGGCAUUCUGAAAGAUUAUUUUGCUGAUGUCCAUGAAAGGAAUUAUGUGACAUCCUGUAAUAAUUAUUAUUAGAAUAGGAAAGAAGAAUCUCUUAUCCAUUGGUCCCCUCGUCUUUGUCUGCAUUGAUCAAUGUUCUGUGGUAUAAGAUAAGCAGGAAUGAUUGUACACAAUCUAAAUUACUAAAGCUAAAAAUCAACCAAACAACUGAACCACUAACAAUACUUAAAAAUGAAACCAGGUACCCUUACAUCUUUGUAAUAUUAGAUUGACAUAUAUAAUUUGAUAUCAAAGUAGAGAACAAACUAAACAAGGAUUUAUUUAAUUAUGGCAACAUAAUGGAUAGAACUCCCAAGCUGCAGAAGACAUACGUAAAAACAUCAGAGCAACAAAUAUAGAUCACUUGGGAGGCGUUAACAAGUUUCUGUACUAUAUUUAGUGCUUCGGAACCCAGACAAUGUGAUCCUCAGGAAGGAAAUGGCAGAUUGGAACAGUUCCUGGCUUCACCUUCAGCAGCUGAAAAGCCAAAUGCUUUGGGUUCCAUGCCGAUGUAUCCCGGUGACAAACAGCUACAGCCUUGACUUUUGCUCCAUCGGCACCAACUAAAUUAACCAUAUAUGCAUCUGUAUCCUGUGUGGUGUGGCAGUAGAAAACUGCGUAGAAAUAGUUUUGCCUGUGGCAAGAAACUAUUUCUUUAUCGUUGUUGUUCAACUUCGAAACAGACACAAUACCAUAUUUCUGGACUUUUGCAUCUGUUUUUUGUGCUUCGUUAGAAAUUGCUAGAACAUCUUUGCCCAGCUUUGAAGUAGUGAAAUCAACCAUUGAUUCGAGAGAAGUCGCACAAUACUUGUCUUCCCCUUUCAUUGCAGGCACCUCGCAUUCUGCUAUCGUUUCCUUAAUAAUUCCAGCAUCUUGUGAUUGUGGAUUCAGUGAGUAUUUGUUCAAAAUUUCAGGAACAGAUUUUGACGAGAAGGGAAUCGAAUUAGCAACCUGGCGGGGCAGGAAAGCCGUAGUACUUUUCAGUGAUUCAACAAACUUCAUAUUCAUGCUUGAGCCGCGAUUGAGGUCCAUUUUCAAGAAAAAGACUUUCACUUUUGGGUCAAUAUGGAGCUCAUCUUCAGUAGGAUUUCUACCAUAGAUACUGAAUCGAUAUCUGACACCAUAUCUUGUCAAUACUGGGGUUGCGUCUGGUCUUAACCUGACCCUUUCCGGCAACUUCCCUGUAUUUAUUGGAUGAGCAACAAAUUAGUACAACAUAUAAAUCCGGCCAGCUUUUAUUUCUGGUAAUGGACUACAAUGUCCCUGCGCAAAUUCUUCCAGCAAUAUCCCCCUUUUGAAGAUCCUUGUCAUACGCUUGCUCAUGAUUAAUGGAAGAGUAAAAUUAUUAAAAGAAAAGCAUGCUAGCUCUUUUUCUUUUCUUUUUUUUUUUAACACGGUACAAGAAAACCCUGUAAUUAUUGAAGUACUUUUUCUUUUUGUUUUGUUUUAAGUGAAACUAGAAGUUUUCUAUUACAAUUUCUCCUUUUUUUUUAAGGAUUUUGAACUUGAUGAGUGUCUUUCAAUUCCCCCCAGAAUCUAAGGGAAACAAACAACGAGCAAUAGAAGCACAGUAAAUGGUAGAUAUAGGAAAGGACCAUUUC
rnacentral:lncRNA from 1 species